CAAUAUAGUAAUUUGGUGCGUAACCAAUAUUCAAAAAAAAAAAAUCUACGAAGAGUAGUAAUUUUUCAUCUGAUAAAUAUAAAUUGAAUUAAUUUUUCCUUCCUGAUUAAAUAUGAUCCUUUUUUUUUCUUUCUUUAAUUUUUGUGCUUUAAAUUACAGGUACGAGUGCUUAAAAACAAAGUGCACAAUUAUUUCACUCACAACAUAUAUUGAGUAUUUUUAUUUUCUAUGAAUAAAUGUAUCUUUUAGUGAACAUAAAAUAAAAGCCAUAGUAAAACUCAUGCCAUGCUCAAAGAUAAUAUCUUAUUGUUAAUAAUAAGAAGAGGCAAAUUUAAGUUAUUUUUAAAUAAUGAAAUUAUACUCACUGAAGUAAAAAUGAAAAUAAAGGUUUCGAAUGUACAGGAUGCGUUUGGCGCGCGCGGGUCAAUCAAGAUGUGUUCUGCGCAAAUGGUUCGGACAAAGGCGGCCGAAUUUGACCACUCCUGAAGCCAAGAAAAGACCCGCCCUCGUCGUGGGUCUAAGCGAGUCUGUAAUUUUCUUUUUUGAAAACAAAUUUUAAUUUAUUUAUUUAACGUAGUUUAAUUAUUUGAAAUUAUUUUAUUUAAUAUUUAAUAUAUAAUUACCUCCCAACGACCAGCAUCACCGCCUGGCGCCUGCCAUUGUAUUUUGCAGCCAUCUGCCAAUCUUAGAAAUCAAUUGCUUAGUAUCAUUGCUUAGAGAUUGAGAAAAAAUAAAAUAAAAAAUCAGACACUAGAUAUGACUUAAACAAAAUACUGUAUUUAUAAGCUUCGAUGGUUGUUUCGUUUUAAAAUAAGAGUAAUGAUAUUUAGCCACAUCAGCAUAUAAGAAAGCUAAGCUAGAAACGUCAGGUUUCUUGUGCCAUUUUGAAUUUUUAGAUUUGAAAAUUAAAAAUGGUCUUUAUCAUUAAAAAAUGGUCUUGGCCAUUUCCAUCGCCGACCAGCCUUACAACUCUCCUCUACAGUAUACUUGAUGAUUUUGGACUUUUUUUUCAUCUGCUCAGAUAAUUAAAUUUAGUAUGUUGAGGAAAGUUUUGAUUUUUACUGGGUCGGGAUAGAGGUAAGUGGAUUUGAUAUUGUUGGUGUUCAGUCUUUUGCAAUUUUUUUUUUUUACUACUGGUGUUUUGAUUUUUUUGGUAUGUAUAUUUAAAAAUGAGAAAUUAUCACCGGUAUACACUAAAAUAUCACCGGUAUCCCCUAAAAUGUCACCGGUAUCAAACGUACUACAACACUUUUCACUUGUAUCACUCGUAUACCCUAAAUUGACAAAAGAAUUCUGGCGUCCACCUUUCCGUUUACUACCGUUAAGACAUGCUGACGUCAUAGGGGUAAUAUAGUCUUUUAAUAAAGAAGAGGCUGCAAAGAAAGACGGCGUCGUUUUAAUACCCCGAAAACGCUGCCGUUUCACUGUAACAAAAAAGACAAAACAACGUCGUUUUUUAUUUUGGUUAAAAAAAAAAGUUACAGAGAAACGACAUCGUUUCACUGUAACUCAAAGACAAACAAACAGAAGUGGUCCAUCCUCCCCAUUCUUUAUUCACAUCGAGAGAAGUUUGCAUGCAUAUGAACAACCGGUGCAAGACUGUAUGCAUGGCAGCCAUUUUUUUACUAAAAACCCUCAAUAUUUGACCAUCAAACAAGUUUAAGUGAUAGCUGUGGAGAUUGAUUUGGAACUUGACAGAAGAGUAAGUUGAUUUCAAUCGAAUCCAGCGAGCGAAGCAUCGAGUUGUUAGGUAUGUUCAUAUAUAUAUAUAUAUAUUCAUGCAAUAUAUCUCUUAUCUCUUAUUUAGUCAAUAGAUGUAAGAAAUAAUUUGAAAUUAUCCGAAUUUAUGAGAAUUUAAUUUUUGUUACAAACCCUAGAAUGUUAACAACGAAGAAAUAAGCAGUGGUUAUUUUUUGGGUUAUUUAUAUUCUUAUGUGAUCAAUGUUUUAGGUUUAUAGAAGUGCAUUUAGAUGGUAAAUGAUAUCGGUUCUGGUUUUUGCAUAUUGAGGGUCUAUUGGCUAUUACAUGUAUUUCGUUAAAACUAAUUGGGGCUUUUUUCAACUUGCAUAUUAAGGGUUUGGUUUUUUGCAUAUUGUAUGAUAUUUAUUUCCUACGCUGUGUGUGUAAAGCUUAAAGAAUCCAUAUUUAAGCACAUUCCGUUAUUUUUGGGAUACAGUAGACAUGUUAACAAUGGAGCUAGUGAUUUCUUUCAAAGGAGAAAAACAUCAUGUCGGUAUGAUUAACCCUAAAGAUUGGACUGUUGAUAGAAUAAAGGCUGAGGCAUUGAAGAUAACUACUGUACAUGAGUUAGAUACAGUUGGUAAAAUCUUAUUGACUGUUAUGAACCCAAAUAGUAAAGUCAAGGUUGUUUUAGAUUCUGAAUAUGGGAUGAAAUGUUUAUUUGGGUUUCAUAAUUUGAUGGGUGUUACUACAUUUGAAGUUGAAGUCGUGCCUGUUUUAUGCCCUCAAAAUCCAGAUGCUCCGUUAAUACAAUCAUUGCUGUUUAACUUAGAAGUACACAUGUCUUCAGAAGUUAUAGAUAUCUUGAAUGAUGGAGGUACACCAGAAGUUAGGCAUACAGAUCAAGAAGGGGGGAGUAACAGAGAUGAAUUCAAUGAUAUGCAAAGGGGUUAUGGACACGAAGCUACUGCAACUAUUCAUGAGGGUGAAAUUGAUGAAGACAAACUAUUAUCAGAUUGGUCAGACAAAAGAAGUGACAGUGAUGGUGAGGAACUUGUUGUGCAACCAAUACCUACUAUGCCUGUUGAUGAUAUUGUGUCUAUUGAUGACAUUGACGAUAGUGAGGGCAGUGAGGACAGCCAAUGCGAGAGUGAUAGCGAUGGAGGUGGAGAUGGUUUACUAGAUGAUGACACUAGGGCAGUCAAAAUGGUUGUGAACUCUUCUGAUGAUGACAUCAAUCUUGGCAGUGUGAAGUUUACAAAAUAUUUAGAGAAAUAUGAGUAUAAAUUAGAUGCUGAUGGGAUACAUAGGCUGAGAUUAGGUGAUGUGUUUAGGGAUGUGAAUCACUUUAGACAAGUGUUACAUGAGGUUAUGAUUAGGAAAGGGUUUAAAAUUAGCAUAAAAUAUAGUGAACCGCAGAGAUAUUUUGCAACUUGUAAGGAGGCUGGCUGUCCAUGGUUUGUUAAAGGUGCAAGACUGAAUGAUAGGAAUGGUUUUUGGCUGCGGGGAUAUCAGAAGAAGCAUGAGUGCAAGCUUACCAAGAAAUCUGUGAAAGUUACUUCAACAUGGGUUGCUGAAAUGAUAAAGGGACAUGUUGCUAUUGAUGCAAAUGUCAAGAUAUCUCUUCUCAAGAAUUAUAUGCAAGAAAAAUUCAGGUUGAAGAUUGAGAAGCUCACAAUGUAUAGGGCUAGAGAAAAAGCAAGGAUUCUAGUAUAUGGUGACCAUUCGAAGGGCUAUGAGAAGCUGUUUCAGUACGCUGCAACUAUUCAUCGGGCUGAGCCAGGAGCCAUUUGUAAAGUGUUAUGUGAUGCAGUCACUGUUCCUGAGAAAUGUCUAUUUCAAAGAUUUUUUGUUGCAUUUCCAGCACAAAAAAAUGCUUUUCUGAAUGGCUGCAGACCGUUCAUUGGAAUCGAUGGGUGUCACCUAAAGGGAAAAUAUGGUAGAGUUUUGUUGGCUGCUGUUGCUUCAGAUGCUAAUAAAUGGAUAGUUCCAUUGGCAUUGUGUGUAUGCGAGAUUGAGAACACAGAAACAUGGACUUGGUUUCUUGAUCAUUUGCAUAGCUAUUUAGAUGAUGGAAGGCGGGUAACAUUUAUUAGUGAUAGGCAAAAGGGGCUGUUGAAUGCAAUUCCGAACACAUGGCCUACUCAUAGGGCAUAUUGUAGGCAUGUGUAUGCUAAUUUUGCGAAAGAACAUGCUGGUGCCAACUUGCAGACUCUUUUUUGGAAGGCAGCAAAAAGUAGUAAUAAGCAUGAUUAUGAGGAGGCAAUGGCACAUAUCAAAGAGGAAAAGUUAGCAGCAUAUAAUUGGUUAGAAAGAGAGCUGCAGGGAUACACUUGGUCUAUGCAUACAUACGACAGAAACUGCAAGGUAGAAAAGACUGAUAACAAUGCCUCUGAGUGCUUCAACAGUUGGAUUCUGCCUUAUAGAGACAGGCCUGCUUUGUCAAUGCUUGAGGAAAUUAGAUGCAGACUGAUGAAAAGAUUUACAAAGAGAAGAAAUGAGGGAAAUACUUGGCAAAAAACUAUUGCUCCUAGGAUUUACAAAGAGUUGGAUCAAACUUUCAAGAAAGGAGAAAAAAUGAUUGUGCAACCCUCGAGAGACUUGAAUUUUCAAGUCAUGGAUAAAUCUUAUUAUCCAGCUAGGAGGUUUAUAGUGAAAUUGGAGGACAAGACGUGCGAUUGUGGUUAUUGGGAAAUUGCCGGCUUACCUUGCUGUCAUGCUAUGGCUGCCAUAGGCUAUGCAAGGCAUGAAAUUGAAGAGUAUAUUCCAUUUUGCUUUACCAAGCAAGCCUACAUUAAUACAUAUUCAGUUAUGUUUAGUCCAAUUCCUGAUGAGCGGACAUGGGAGCGUGGCGAUAGGCCCUUAAUUGAUCCCCCAAUUGUGUGGAAAAAGAUGGGGAGGCCAAAGAAAUGUAGGAAGAGAGCAGCCACUAAACCUAAAAAACGCAGCAUGAGAUUCUUUGUCAAUUGCUCGGUUUGUGGUGGCUCGAACCACAAUGUAAGAUCUUGUCCAUUGAGACCAUUGGUUGCAAGGCCAAGCAAAGCUACAAGCACUAAUUCUCAGGUAUCUAUUUAGUCCAUUAGUUUUAUUCAUUUAUGUUUAUUGUUUAUAUUGUCAUCUAACACAGAAGUUGCGUUUUUUCAGCUGUCAAUUGGAAAUUCUUCAGGCCAGUCAGCAGAUCCUUUAAGCCAGCCAUCAAAGCCAACCAGAAUGAGAAAUACAGCGAGGAGAGACCAUGUACCAAGUGAUCGAAGUAAAAGCUCCAGUGCUGGAUCGAUGAAAAGAAAAAGUGCAAAUGCUGUUGGAGUUGCUGGAACAAGCAAAAAAAGAGGUUGAAUUUCGUUUCUUUUUGUUCAUAUUUCAUAAUUGCAUAUAAGGAGCUUAAUUUAUUUUCUUUUCUGUAAUAUAGGAAAGACUUCACAUGUCAACCUAUCCCAAGUCAGCCAAUCACAGAAUCCAUCACAAGCGUCCACUGUCACAGGUGCUUUGUAAUGAGUCCACUGUCACAGGUGCUUUGUAAUGAGUUUGAUGCUCAUUUUGCAAUGUUUUGUUGGAAACAAUCUAUCAACUUCAAUUUCCUUAACUGUUAUGCUAGUUAUGUGAUAUCAACUGAACUUAAUUAUGCUCUUGCAUGAGCUAAGCUAUCGAAUUGGUUUUUGGAAUAUGUAUUUGAAGGAGAUAUGUUGCUAUCUGCAUAUUUUGGAUAUGUUAUGAUUAGAUUAAUAUUUUAGUUGAUAAUUAUGACUGUUGAAUAUUUCUUGAAUACAAACUUUGUGUGUUACAUUACUUUCUCAUAAGGACAAUUACAAAGACACACACUAGCACAAUUAGGAUCCAUUUAAGCUUUCCUUCGAUGCUUUUUAGCCUUUUCUUUAUCUUAACCAAAUCAUCAUUCAGCUUCAAGUUUUGCCCUGGCAUUGCGCCAUUAGUAUUAGGAUAUAUGAGAGAUUCCACAGUGAACCAUUCCCAAAAUCCACAAUGCCUCGCUCCACAAUGCUUCCACCUACAUGACCAAAACAUUGCAUUAGGGUUUUGCAAUGUAGUUGACACCAGAGCCACUGCUUGCACGCCACACUUGCAGUAUUUUGGUUGGCAUUUUACUUUAUCAUAUCUGGUAUGUCCACUAUCAGCAGAACUCGAUGCUUCACUGGAGGCCAUUUUCAUAUGAAUUGCUUGGCAUGUGAUUGCUUGGCAUGUGAUGGAUCAAUGAUUUGUUAAUGUGCUUCUGGUUUUUAGUUGGAAAAGAGUAGCAAAUUGGUUAAAUUUAAAGAGAUUAUCAGGUGUGUGGUGGCUAAUUUCUUGUUGCAAAUUGGUUGAAUGUUGCAAACUAUUUUUUUUGUUGUGUUUUAGGUCAUUAUAUAGCCAAAAAUGUAACCGUUAUUGGCUCCCAACGAUUACAUUUUCAAUUGCUUCACUUUCAGGGCAAAAUUGUCUUUUUAAAUUAAAAGGGUAAAAUAGUCAUUUUGCUCAAAUUCCGUUAAGUUCUUAACAGUAGUAAACGGAAAGGUGGACGCUAGAAUUCUUUUGUCAAUUUAGGGUAUACGAGUGAUACAAGUGAAAAAUGUUGUAGUACGUUUGAUACCGGUGACAUUUUAGGGUAUACCGGUGAUAAUUUCCCUUUAAAAAUUACUAGAAAUUAGUUAUUUGAAAUGUAGAUUUUGUUUGUUUUUCUAUUUAUUAAAUCUAUAGGAUUUGAUGAAGUAUGUCUAUGUGGGGUUUUGAUUCUUUUAGGAUAUUAUUAGAUUUCACAGCUGAUUUUGAGUCCAAUUGACAUAUAUUGUUUCUGUGUUUAUAUAUAUAUAUUAUUUCGGCUGCUUAAUACUAGCGACUUUUGGAGGCCUGUAUGUAUGUUUAAUUGCUGGACAUAUCUAGGAAUUAUUAUUUGGUAGCUGAGAAAUGAAAUAGAAAAAUGAAAUAUUAAAGUUGUUUUUUCUUUUGAUAUAUAAUUUUAUCUGAGUUAACUAGAACGUUUUGUUUUUAGAUCUUUGUUAAACUUUUUAGUGGUUUUAAAGUCAUUUAAGCAAUUGGCCUUUGCUUCAACAAGAAAUCAAUGAACCAAAGCAAUGGCAACCGUGGCUUGAUUCUCCAAUCAUCAACAAUUGCCUUGUUGUUCAUGCUGCCACCAGCACAAUUCAACAAAACAAGCCCUCGAACAAGUGUUUGACUGGAUUUUUAUGGUAGAAAAUAUAGCAGGUUUUCGCAAACCAUAUUAACCGAAAAGGCUAAUCAGGUGCAAGUGUUUCUUUGCAAGCAUGAUGACGAAUAUCUGAUUCCCAAGAGGAAGUUAAAUUAAUAUACCUGAGGCAGCAAAAACACAAGGUAGGCUUCGAAUAGAAUUACGUACAAGCACUAUUGGCUUCUGAGCAGCUUCAUCCAAGAAAUCCAAUAUUAGUUGUAUCGGUGAGUCUCACUCAAGUUAGCAAGGAAAAUAACUAAAGGUCAAGCAAUUGAUGAUAUAAGUACAGGAGUUGUGAAAUAACUUUAAAGGAAAAUAAUUGCUUAUCCUUAACAUUUGUGGAUGCCUACAAUUAUAUGUUCACAGAAGUAAAUAGAAUAAAAAAAAUAGUACAUUAUCAAUAAGAAAAGUUCACUACAAGAUGAAAAUUAUUUUUUGUCAUUUGUGCCUUGUGUACUAAAUUUUGUGUUAUUUUAUUACAUAUAAUAUUAUUCUACGGAAUGCGGGAAGAAAAAAAGUGGGGUCGAUUUAUUGUAAGCCCCAAAUUCAACCGAAGAUCCAAGCGCAAGUUUCAAACUAAACCAACCCAAAGUUUGGGCAACAGUCCAACGCAACCCAACUAAAAUCAUUUUAAUUUGAUUUUAGUUUGGGUUGACUUAGGCUUUGAUAAAUUCACAUGUUGUAUACCAUAAUUAAAAUAAAGUAUCAUUUGUCAUACAUUUUGUUGAUGCGAGAUUCUGGUUCUCCUCGUUCUACGACCAGGCUCUCUGCUCGAUCAACUUCACCACGACCAGGAGGUCUCCUCGUAAGGCUUCUUCUCCAGAGCCUCCUGCGCACACAGACAAGUCAGAGUACGCCGGUUGUUUUCCUGGCGCAAACCCUCCGACGCUCAAGUCAGAUAUGAAGGUUCGGAGAACGCUUGCCACAGAUCUUAUGGCUUUUUCGUAGUUUUCUCUUCUUUAGAAUUUCUUUAGCUCUCUUCUAAUCUCAAAAUUGCUAACCCUUUUACCUUCGUUGGCUACCUUUUUAUAGGCUUCCUCUGAAUCCCAGUUUUCCGCAGUCUACGUCCGUUAUCUUCCCACCUCUCGAACGUGGAUUCCCCAUUUCCGUAGUCGUGGGUGGUUGCGUGGCCUUCGUGCCUAGAUUCUCGGGCUGGAGAGCAUGCCUCGCCAACUGUCGUUGACCGGGUCUCCUCGAAUCAACCCUCAGCGAGAAUACAGCAGGAAUGGCUUUAUGCCUCUUACAGGAAAUUGACCUCGCAGAUGACGUGCUCGUGGAUGAGCAGGAUAUUCCUGCCCCUGUUCCCCUGCUACCUGGCUCUUACAGGACAUACCUGCUCGCAGAAUUCUGCCACUAAACAUCUGCUCAUCACGUCUGGUCUCGUCGGAGUAUUUCCCUCAAACAUUGGUCCCCUAGUUUCUGGUGUUGGGUAAUGUAGUGCACCAGCAGUAGAAACUUGACAGUACUUGCUCGCGUGGGAUUGGAAAAGGCUGCCAAGAGUCAUAUCGCAUUUAAUUGCGGACGAGGUGAUGUGGCAGAAAUCUGCCCCUCUAUUCGAAUUUCAAACCAACGGUUACCAGGCCCUUAGGAUUUGGUGCCGUUAAAUGCUGGCAACCCAAGAGUCCGUCCCCAUUAGGAAACCUAAAUCCUUUCAAACAACAAAUUCAUCAUUCCCUCCGUCUCCGUCUCUGUCUCUCCAGCAAAGAAGCUCCGGUAUACAGGCCUCCAUCUCUGUCUUUCACCGACUGAUCCAUUACUUCAUGUAUUUCUUCUAUCUCCUUGGUCUUGGAUAGUUGUAGAUAAUUUCUCUUCUCUUUGCUUUGCUUGGGGUAGUAGUUGGCGGUGGCGUUUUGGUUAUUAUUUAGGGAAUGUCGAAGGGUAAGGAGAAAGUCGUCGAGAUUGAUGACGACGAAAUAGGUUUCUUGCCUAAUCUAGUCACUGAUCCUGCUUUUGACCCCGGGAUCCCCUUAGAACCCAUUAGGUCUAGUGUCGGGACUAGUGCUAGGAGAUUGUCCCCCUAAACAACCUCUACGAGCGGAAGUAAUGAUGAGGAGAGGUCUUCUGGCUCUGAAGGCACCUUGAGUGAGAAUGGGGAAGGUGAUUCUGGUGAGGUGUCUCCAUCUGGAACAUCACGACCAGAAGAACGGGGUACAGUAGGGGGUAGAGCCUUGUCGCGUGAUUAUGCCAUUGAUUACAUGUCGUGCACGACCACGUUUGACGAGCUCAAUGACCUCCGACUUAGGUAUAGUAUUCCUGGUGAGAUACCUCUUAAGAUCCCAGGAAAGAAGGAUACACCUAGCCGGCCUCCUAGGGGAUACGUUACCCUGUUUCUGGAGAGCUUUAAGUAUGGGCUGAGGUGUCCCUUGCAACCUUACUUUGCCCGAAUACUUAACGGGCUAAAUCUGGCUCCUGGUCAGCUGAACCCCAAUGGGUGGAGAGUGCUCUCUGGUCUGUUCAUAUUGUAGGACAGAUGUUGCCAAAGCGAGCCCACGGUUGAUGAGGUGAAGCACCUGUACCAGCUGAAGAGCAGCCCUAAAGAUGCCGGCUGGUACUACUUCCAAUCUAGUACCAAGAGCAGGAAACCCAUAACUGAUCUUCCAACUGGUGGUGGUGGGACUUGGAAGAGGAAAUUCUUUUUUGCUGGGGGUCCUUGGGGUCAAGUUGCACAAAUAGACGGGAAGGAUUGUCGCGUCCCACCCCGUUUCACGGUCCCAGGUUGCCUGCUCGCUUUAGAUGUCUUGUAUCCAUAAUUGUUCUUGCUGUAUUGGUUUGUCUCUAACCAAGUGUCUGUUUGUGCUGUAGUUUCUUGGGGUGUUCAUUUCCCGCUCAAGCCUGGUCAGCUUAAACGGGUCGAGGCUGUACUGGCCAAUUCCUGCCCAAGCCGAGAACUGCUAACUACGUACAACUUCCUCGAGUCUCACUUAAUACUUCCUGGCCAUAAGAUGGAGGACGCUGUGAUUGGGGCUCUAACCAGGAAACGUUCUCGUCCUCCAGCCACGAAGAGCGACCAGAGUAAGGACGCUCCUGCUGCAAAGCGGGCCAACAUCGUGCAGCAGGUCUCUCCCUUGAAGACUUUACCUCCUCCUCCUGCCAAAACCGGAGAAAUUAGUGGAGCAGCCACUGAUCCUGCUUCCUCUUCUCCUCCUGUUGGGCCUCGGUCUCGUCUACCUGCCAACCGAGCAGAGCACUUGGCCCCCUAUCUCAACGAGCUUUCCAAACUCGUGAGCAAGAAAGACCUCGAGGAUUUUGAUGGUUGUACCCUGGGCGAGCUGGUGGGAGCCAUGCAGUAUAGCGCUUUCCAUCUCAGCUGCAUGACCACCUACUAUAAGGCCAAGGUUGGCCGUUACGACAGGAAGAUGAAGGAGGACAUUCAAUCGGCGACGACCAGAGCUGACGUUGCCGAGAAGAAAGCGGGGGAGCUAAACGUUGAGAACCUCAAGCUGAUAGAGCAAGAAUCUCUUGCUCAAGCAAAAGCCAUUACCCUCGAGGAAGAGCUGACCAAGGUCAAGGAGGAUCUGCAAAGGCAGAGGGCUAUGUAUGAGGCUCAGCUCGAAUCUCUCCGCGAUUCCCACCGAGCUCAGGUCGAGAACUUGGAGAGGGAGGCCGACAACCAAUACGACCAGGGACUUCGGCAUUCCUAUCGUUGCAUUAUGGCCGUCCUCGGGAAGCAGCAUCCUGAUAUGAAGAUGGAUGAUCUUGCAGCUGGUGUUGCUCAACAUAUGGACGAGGAAGUAGCCAAGGAAGAUGCCGAAGGGAUAGAGCAGAUCGUGAUUGAGGAGGAAAGUUCUCCUCCUCGUUCAGUCCCUGCUGACGUUGGCGAGGUGAGCACCCCUGCUGUCGUUGCCGAGGCGAGCACCCCCCCGGACGCAACUGGUGAUACCCCCCCCGCACCUGAGGAGGUUCAGCCAUCCGAUGCUGCUCGGCCUACUGAUCCGCCAUCUUCUUGAACAUUUUUCUCGCGUUGUAAUGAACUACUUUGUUGGUUAUUAAUAGAUUAAUGAAAAACUGCUUUUGAUUACUUUCUUGAGUUGUAAUCAUGAAUUAUUUUUCCGUUUGAGAAUCUCCUCGUCCUUGUCUGGUCGAGCAGGAUCGGGCUUGGCAUAUGGCUUUGCCACCUGCCUUAGAAAAUUUUUCGAUGUUUGGGAUUCUGCUCGCCUCCGCGCGGUCGAGCAGAUCCCGCCAUGUUUGGCUUCUGUCUCGCCAUAAACUGGCUGUGAGACUUGACGAGCCUUUGCAUGCCUCAGAAAUUUUUUCGAAUGCUUUGGAGUCUGCUCGCCUUCACGUGGUUGAGCAGAUCCUGGCAUGCUUGGCUUCUGUCUCGCCAUAAAACAAGCUUUGAGACUUGACGAGCCUUUGCAUGCCUCAGAAAUUUUUUCGAAUGCUUUGGAGUCUGCUCGCCUUCACGUGGUCGAGCAGAUUCUGGCAUGCUUGGCUUCUGUCUCGCCAUAAAACAGGCUUUGAGACUUGACGAGCCUUUGCAUGCCUCAGAAAUUUUUUCGAAUGCUUUGGAGUCUGCUCGCCUUCACGUGGUCGAGCAGAUCCUGGCAUGCUUGGCUUCUGUCUGGCCAUAAAACAGGCUUUGAGACUUGACGAGCCUUUGCACGCCUUAGCAAUUUUUUCGAAUGCUUUGGAGUCUGCUCGCCUUCACGUGGUCGAGCAGAUCCUGGCAUGCUUGGCUUCUGUCUCGCCAUAAAACAGGCUUUGAGACUUGACGAGCCUUUGCAUGCCUCAGAAAUUUUUUCGAAGCUUGGGAUUCUGCAAGCCUUCUCGUGGCCGAGCAGAUCCUGGCAUGCUUGGCUUCUGUCUCGCCAUAAACAGGCUUUGAGACUUGACGAGCCUUUGCAUGCCUUAGAUGAUUUCUUCAAAGCUUGGGAUUCUGCUAGCCUUCUCGUGGCCGAGCAGAUCCUGGCAUGCUUGACUUUUGUCUCGCCAUAAACAGGCUUUGAGACUUGACGAGCCUUUGCAUGCCUUAGAUGAUUUCUUCAAAGCUUGGGAUUCUGCAAGCCUUCUCGUGGCCGAGCAGAUCCUGGCAUGCUUGACUUUUGUCUCGCCAUAAACAGGCUUUGAGACUUGACGAGCCUUUGCAUGCCUUUGAUUCUUCAAGGAUUGGGAUUCUGCUCGCCUUCUCGUGGUCGAGCAGAUCCUGGCACGCUUGGCUUCUGUCUCGCCAUAAAACAGGCUUUGAGACUUUGAUGAGCCUUUGCAUGCCUUUGAUUCUUCAAGGAUUGGGAUUCUGCUCGCCUUCUCGUGGUCGAGCAGAUCCUGGCACGCUUGGCUUCUGUCUCGGUAUAAAACAGGCUUUGAGACUUUGAUGAGCCUUUGCAUGCCUUUGAUUCUUCCAGGAUUGGGAUUCUGCUCGCCUUCUCGUGGUCGAGCAGAUCCUGGCACGCUUGGCUUCUGUCUCGCCAUAAAACAGGCUUUGAGACUUUGGUGAGCCUUUGCAUGCCUUAGGAAAUUUUCACAGUUUCAAGCGAAUGAAAUUCCUCAUUGAUUCAUUUAUUACUGAGAUCGGCUUACAUGAGGUUGCUUUGAAAUAAGAAAUCAAAAAUAGAAAACGGACCCGAACAGAAAAAAAUUUUAAAACAUGAAUGAGUCUUACUAGAAAUAUUUCCUGAGGUGUGCCGCGCUCUAGGGGCGUUUCACCUCGUGGCCCUCCGUGCGAACCAACUUGUAGACUCCGGGUCCGACUAACUGCCAUUCCCGGCUUCCACUCGGGUACCAAGGUAUGUUAUCUGCAUUGCUUCCCUUGCUGCCGAGGAGUAACAGCUUCGUGCGAUUCUCUGGUCUCCUCGUACCACUCCAACAACCCCAUUCACCCGGUACUUGAGAGCCAGAUAAUGGUUGGACAGCACCGCUUUGCUCAUCCUCAGAAAUGGCCGGCCUAGGAUCAUCUGAUAAGGACCUUCCUCAUCCACUACCACAAAGUCCAGUAUCAUUGUCCUUUCUGUCGGGGAGCUCCCAAUCGUGAUAGGCAGCUCGACCACGCCCAGAGGGACCAGCUUUCCUCCUCCAAACCCCUUCAAGGAGGUAUUGGUGUAUUCCAACUUCCGGUCUGCUAUUCCCAUCUCCUCCAAGGUUGACUUAAAUAACACAUCAACUGAACUCCCUGUAUCAACCAGUAUCCGGUCACACUUCUUGCUAGCGACAGUAGCCUUGAUGACUAAAGCAUCCUCGUGGGGGUAUAGAAUUCCUUCCUCAUCUUCAUCCGUCCACAUGAUUGGCACUUGCCUGACCCUUGCUCGUUUGGCUGCUGGGGUGUUGAAGAAUACCUCUUUACUAGUCAUGGCGUAUCUAGCAUAGUUCUUCCUAGAUCUGUUGGAAUCUCCAGCCAAUGUCGGGCCCCCAGCAAUCACCCUUACUGUAGGCUGCUCGUGCCUCAAAUUUCUGCCACUCUGCUCCCCUUCACAUGUCGAGGCCACCAUCGGGAAAGUCCCAUCUACAAACUCGUCCAGGUACCGAUUUCUCACCAAAUUUUCAACCUGGGUCUUGAGAUCUUUGCAUUCUGCGGUGGUAUGGCCAUGAGUGCCAUGGAACUUACAAUGGCGUCCCCUAUCCCUCCUGCCCGGUAGCUUUGUUAUUGGGGCAGGGAGGUACAGCAAUCCUCGGUCCUUUAUGGCCUCGUAUACUUCGUCCAGGGACAUCUUCAAGGAGGUGUAUCGCCCAUACUUCUGGUUCUGGUCAAUCAGGUGCACAGCCCUUUCUCUAUUUGAUCCGUUCUGAGUUGGAGGCGAUGGCAGCAUUUCUGGUCUGCUCCCUCUACUACUGUGGGAGUGUUGAUGAAGACUACCAUAUGCCGAAUCAUGCCUUCUCCAAGGCUCCUUAGCUGGGGAACGAGGAGGGUGCGCCCUGUUGCGCUGAUACUGUGGUGGCCUCUGAUGAGGCUGGUGAGCUGUUAUCCGACCUCCUGUUCCACUACCUGAGGCCUGGAGGUCCCUCCUCCUGAUCGGCCCAUUUCUCGGUAAUGCCCUCUUCUCUUUCUUUUCCAGCCCCUCCAGCUGGUCUGUCUUAAUCCGAGCUGCCUUUUCUUCCUCGAUCUCUAUGUCUCUUUUAGCCUGCUCGUAUGCGGCUGCAUACGUCUGAAUAGCUGGGCUUCUCAAGUUGUACCACAACCUUUCUAUCUUCACUCCCUCUUUCAAUCCCCUUAGUGCCUGAGGAUGGUCGAAGGCUCCCAAAUCGAGGACAGCACGAUGAAACCUCUUGAUGAAUUCCCGAAGGGUUUCUUGCUCCCCUUGCUUCAUGCUUUUCAGCUCCAUCAUGUCAUCUUCUGGUGCCAUUGCCCCACGAAACUGCUCUGCAAACUCCUGGCACAUCUGCUCGAAGGUUUUAAUGCUCCCCCGAGGAAGUUUCCUGUACCAUUCUCGUGCACGUCCCUCAAGGGAUAGUGGGAACACCCUGCACCUUUGGGAUUGAGAUAAUCCUUGUACUCCAGUUAUGUCGUUGAAACGCUCUAUGUGCACCAGCGGAUCCGUUCGUCCCGAAUACCUAAGGUCUGGGAGGCGGAAAUCUCUCGGAAUAACUGCCCUCAUGAUCUCUGUUGCGAGCGGUGAUUCUCCGUCCAGCAUUAUCCUCCAACCAGGAGGUCUGCUCCUUCCUUGCAUGUCGUCAAUUAUCUGCGCUAGUCUGCGCACUUCCUCCUUCAGCUGCACUGCGCGACCAGGGUCACGUGCUGCAGCUUGAUCCCGCUCUUGCUCUACAUCAAGCAAGUGUUGCCUCAACUCCGUUUCCUCUGCAUUUGCCACCCCGUCGUCCUCGUCAAAAAUCUGUCUUGCCGGGGAUUGCUCUUCCUCUCUACGGAAUUCUCCCUGCAGAGGUAUGUUACCUCUCUCACCACCAACUCUCUCGGUGGUUUGACUUCUCCUCGUACUAUCGGGACUUGGAGCCACUCCCCCAACUCUCAUCCUUUCCUCCUGGGUUACCCUUCAUUCACUCCGCAACUCAUGCAGGAUGUUUGUCAGGGUCUCCAUCUGCUUUUCCAUCCGUUCCACCCGGUCGAACAUGGCUUUUUCCCGUGCUUCACUGGCUAUCUCCCUCAGAGUCACGGAAUCGUUAAGCCUCAUAUCACUCCCUUGUGCACUACUUCCUCCUGUCUCCAUUGCUUUUCACUUGCUUCACUCCUCUUCUUGCUAUCAACAGAAGCUUUUUGAUCAGCUCCCCACAGACGGCGCCAAAAUGUUGAUGCGAGAUUCUGGUUCUACUCGUUCUACGACCAGGCUCUCUGCUCGAUCAACUUCACCACGACCAGGAGGUCUCCUCGUAAGGCUUCUUCUCCAGAGGCUCCUGCGCACACAGACAAGUCAGAGUACGCCGGUUGUUUUCCCGGCGCAAACCCUCCGACGCUCAAGUCAGAUAUGAAGGUUCGGGGAACGCUUGCCACAGAUCUUAUGGCUUUUUCGUAGUUUUCUCUUCUUUAGAAUUUCUUUAGCUCUCUUCUAAUCUCAAAAUUGCUAACCCUUUUACCUUUGUUGGCUACCUUUUUAUAGGCUUCCUCUGAAUCCCAGUUUUCCGCAGUCUACGUCUGUUAUCUUCCCACCUCUCGAACGUGGAUUCCCCAUUUCCGUAGUCGUGGGUGGUUGCGUGGCCUUCGUGCCUAGAUUCUCGGGCUGGAGAGCAUGCCUCGCCAACUGUCGUUGACCGGGUCUCCUCGAAUCAACCCUCAGCGAGAAUACAGCAGGAAUGACUUUAUGCCUCUUACAGGAAAUUGGCCUCGCAGAUGACGUGCUCGUGGAUGAGCAGGAUAUUCCUGCCCCUGUUCCCCUGCUACCUGGCUCUUACAGGACAUACAUGCUCGCAGAAUUCUGCCACUAAACAUCUGCUCAUCACGUCUGGUCUCGUCGGAGUAUUUCCCUCAAACACAUUUUAUACAUUAAACACAUAAACGUCCUCUCUGGAAUCUUUGUGGGCAACGCAUACGUGGUAUCUUCACUAAUAAGUGUUGAAUCUUUAGCUUCAAAGGAAAGAAACUAAAAAGGUUUGUAAAUUUACCCCACUUCUACAAAAUAAUUAUAAUGAAUUCACAAUAUUUUUUAAAAAAUUCAAAUUAAUAAAAAUUUUGUCUAGUUAAUCAAUUAAAUCCUUCUAUUAUUUUUUUAUUAGAUUUCUUUGAGUAUAUUUGAUCAUAAACUUGAUAUAAAUUUUACUUUACUAUUUUAGUAUUAUGAUAUAAAAUGGCCAAAUUGUACAAUAAACACGGGUUAUUGUAUCUAAUAAUUUAGGUAUUUAAUUAUGUGAACUAACAUUUUUAAAUGAAAUUUAACUAUUAUUUUCACUAUCUUACGUGUAAAUGAUGUAAAUUUGACAAGCUAAUAAUUUAUAUGAGUAUUGUGCCAUAAAGCCAUUAUGUUUGUUUAAUUAAUGUUUUAUAAUCAUACUAAUAAAGUAGUAUUAGAAAUAAUGAAUUGCUAUAAAAUUAGAAAAUAUUGAAGUUAAAGAAUUAGUUUGACCUUAUAAGGAUAAAAUAAUCAAUUUAGACUUAUGUCAAAUCAAUCUUUAUGAUCAAAUAUAAUAAAAAAAUUUAAGUCACAAAAAGUAAAUUAAGAUAGAUUUGUUAAUUUGUUCUCCAAAGUUCUUAUUUAUUUAUUUUUUUAAAAUAAUGUGUACUUUUUGUAAUUGUUUUUUAAAAAUGGGGUGGAUUUGGAGAUAUCAUUAGCCAACAAAAAAUUUAGUAAGGAUUAAUUUGAUAAUUGCCCAUAAAAAGAAGGCAUGUAGGUGGUGGUAGGGAAGCCUUUUUCCAUUCUAAAAUUACAUGUAAGAAUCUAAUAUAAAAAAGAUAAAUGUGUUACAGGAUGUGGAUAGAAAAAUUGAUCUUCAUUUGGGGAUUCUUGAUCUUCAUUCUUCACUCCACUAAAAUUUAUUAGAGAAUGAGGUGAAAAUUAUGGGCCAAAUAAAAUUAUUAACAUAUAAAAAAAUUUAAAUUAUUAAAAAUAAUAACUAAAAAAAUACAUAUUUGUUAAGAAUUUUGGAAUUAUUUUUCUUCGAGUAAUAAUAUAGCUACAAACUCUUGUACAAACUUAUCUUGUACCAACUAAUGUGGCAUGAUAAAAUUGGUUAAAUUAAAUAUCUCUUAACUCACGUGAUUUAUUUUCAUUAUUUUGUAUUUUUAUUCAACUAAUGAAUUAAUGUCACAUCAAUUUGUACAAAAUAAAUUUGUACAAGAAUUUGUGAUUGUAUCAUCACUCUCUUUUUUUUAAUCUCCAUAAACACAUCAAAAUUAGGGGUGGGAACUGUGGAGUCCACAACCCGCCAAAAAUCUCUAGUCGGCCAAAUUGGACUUUUUAUAGUCAGUCCUCAAAGAAAUUUUGAGAAAGGCAGCAGACAAUGAGUUGAAUGAAAUUACUACGAAACUUCCUUGAAGAUUCAAGGUAGUAGUGGAGGAUUCGAGCGCACAGACACAUUCAAUUCAGUUGAACUGUUUCUAUUAUGGUUUCUUCAUCUUCUUCUCAUCCAUCCACCAGUCUGUGUUUGAUGAGACCCCUAAACAUCAAUUAUGGUGUUUUUGUCAGAUUCAGAGGAGAAGACACCCGUGACAAUUUUACUGGCCAUCAAGUAUGGGUCUUUUGGGAUUUCAAUUUCGAAGCUUGAAGAAAGAUUUAAAGAGAAGUCAGAGAAGCUGCAGACUUGGAGGAAUGCUUUGAAGGAAGCAGCCAGUUAGUCUGGCUUUAAUUCUUAUAACAUCAGGUGAAAAGUUACUUUUAAUUUCGCAUACUAAUAUUUAACACUGUAAAUAAAAUUCACGCAGCACUCUUAGUUAAAUUUUCCAGAUGUUAAACUACACUUUUAAAUUUUUUUCAGGAAUCAAAUUCUAGACUUCUUGAACGUCCCCACUUUUGAACUCCUAUAAAAGAAUUUUUACAGAAUUAAUAAUAAAAGCUCCAAAAGUUUGCAAUAUACUUUAACAAAAUUAAUGGUGUUCUGUCGUUUUUUCCAAUCUCUCAGUCAUUUACCAUGACCAAAAAUAAUAAAUAAAAAAAUAAAAAUAAAAGUAAAAAUAAAAAUCUCUCCCACAUAUAACAUAUCCCUAUAAUUUAAGAGUUAUUAAUUUAUAGGGAGAUUGUAAAGUUCGUUACUUAAAUUAAUAUAUACCACUUAUACAGACUAUUUUCACAAUAUUUAAUAAGUCUCUUGGUACCAUCAUUUUACAAUAUUAUCCUUAUGAAAAAAAAUCAAAACUAUCAGACCUGAGCUUCCGGUCUCCGUUAACUGAAUUUUGGUUGUCGUUGACCAGUACGGGCAAUUCAGUAAUUUCACAAACUUUUGGGAUAAUGUUGUAAUUUCUGAAAUUGGUGGAUAAUUUAGUAAUUUUGGACUAGGGCGGUUAGGUAAUUUGAGAUUUCAAGGGUAAUUCAGUAAUUUAAGUUAUUAAGGGCAUUUUGGUAAUUUCAAAAUUCAAGGGUAAAUUCGUGAUUUCGUACCUUAUGGUUAUUUUUGUAGUAUGAAUUAAGGAUAGUUUAGUAAUUUAGAAUUCUGAGGACAAUUUGGUAAAUUAUGGUGUCGACGGCAUUUUGGUAAUUUUUGGCAUGCAGGGGUAUUUUGGUAAUUUCAUUCAUACGGGAAUAGUUGAUUUUGGGAAAAUGUUUGUUUCGAGCUUUAUUGCGUAAAUUUAGUUGUAUUUCAUGUUACAGAUAACGAUGUCGUUUCCUUAAUUUAGGAGGAACCGCGAACGAGAAUCAAUCCGCAAACGUAACCGAUACUUGAGUUUGAGUGUAAUCAUUGUGAGUGGAAUAUACAAAACCUAUUUUUAUAGUUAAUUAUGAUAGUAAAGCCUAUUUGUGAAAUGAGUAUCUUAAAUAUUUUGAUUUAAUGAUUUUCUUGAAAUGGAUUUUAUUCACGCAAUGAUAUUUUAUUAAAAUGUUUGGUUAAUAGUUUUCCAUAUUGAUUUGAAUAAAGCAUGAUAGUAUUCUUAAGACAAGAAAAAUUCAAAUGUGUUAAUGAAAAGAACAGUAUGAUUUUCAAUAUGAUUAAAAAGUAUAUGGUUAUGAGUAUAAAGAUUGUUUUUGAAAUCAUUAGACAGUACCAUUCCCCUUCAGAUAAUGUGAUACAGAUGAGAUGAGAGUCCUUUAGGGCUCGUCUGAGUACAUAUAGAGGCUUUGGGCUGUGUACUUGGACGCUUUAUCCUUUGGGGACCAGAUUAUGCAGAUACGAGAUAUGAGAUAUGAGACAUAUGAGACGACAUUUUCCUAUCUACCCGUUGCAACUCCGGGGCAUGACGAUUUCCUGAUUGCCCGUCCAUCGAGGUCUGGGUAUGACAAGAUUAUUUGCUUGGGUAAUUGUUUGGUGACAGUUUUCAGAAUUACAGUGUUUGAGAUUACAAUAUGUUAUGAUUUCAUUGAUUUUAUGCAAUAUUAUGUAUUAUUGUUAUAUUAGUACUUGAUUUAAAUUACAUGAGUUUAUUUAAGUUCUUAUGAUAUUUUGAUGAAAUUGAUUUGAGACAGAUUAAAUUAUUUUAAAGUAAAUUUAUUUUCAAAAAUUAUUAUCCACUCACUGAGCUCAUUGAGUUUUAUACUCACCCCGUUUUUAUUAUAUUUCCCCCCAGGAGAUUUGCAGGUACAUUAGUCGACCCAACAACAAUAACUAUUUUUGAAAUUGUGGCCACAUGAUGGUGCUAGGAAUCAUAGAUGUAUUGUUGGGAUAUUUUGGAUUGUAUAAAUUAUUACAUAUUUGUGACUAAGGAUACUCUAUUGUAGUUGACAUUAAAAUAUUUGGGUGAUAUUUGGUAUGUUGAUUAAGGAAGUUGGUCGUGGAGGUUGGUUGAAUAUUGAAUUAUUUUUAGAGUGCUAAUUUUAUAAAUUGUAGGUUUGGGAAUGUCAUCAUUGUAGAGGAGACUCUACCGAAUAAUCUUUAGUAAAACCCUUAAAUAUUAGAUUUAUUAUCGGUUCAAUUAGAUGGGAUUAGAUGACUCGUCCUGAGGUUUCGGGGCAGGUCGUUUUAUCUAUACAUUAAAGGCUCAUAGACUAUUAGAUACAUUGAAGCCCAUAAUACUAAAAAUCUUAAUAGAUAUCUUUUAAUUGGGCUUAAUUUUAUAUGACAGUUUGCAACACAUAAUUAUUCACAUAUAAUCCCAGCGUUGGGUUAAGGAUUUAACAAUCCUAGAUUAAAAAAUCCAACAAAACUAUUACUUAUUUAUUUUAUUUUUUUACAAUAGUUUACAUAUAAUUCAAAGUCCUGUACAAUUGUCUCUCUAUCUUCACAUUAAACAUAAUUAAAAAGGAGAAUUUAUUUCAACAUUUUUUAAUAUGAACCUUUGAGACUUGUUAUCUCAAUUGUCGUAUAAGAAUUGAUUUGAUGUUGGGUUCCAGCAGUACCAGCUUACUUUUACGUAUCUUGGAUGCUAAGUGUAUUGCACAUGGAUCUGGUACUUUGAUGAUAUGAUCAAAAUUGGAGAUUGGAUUUUAGGGUGAGAUAACUGGCUUUUCUCUUUUGAGGGUAAGCUUGUACUUUUAUGGCAUGUGCUUCUUCCAUACCGUUACAUAUCUUCCAAGUCCUCUGAUUGCCUACGGUAGUCAUUAAUCAUCUCGAGCAAUAGUUCACCAAUUUCUUAUUAGGAGAUACAAAUUCAAGACGGCGCAUCUACUGGUGCAAAUUACCAUAUGUUUAAUUCCUUGUGGAUGAAAGUGGUUUGGGAAUUCAUUUUCUUUUUCAAAUCUGGCAGAUGCAUUUGAGUUAAAAAUGUGGUAGAGAUUUCGGGACCAGCAAUCUCUUUGGGCUUCACUCAUGAAGUCCAAGUAUUGCAAAACCUUACAUCCCAAAAUGGUUCGAUUUCACUAUUCUAUUUCCCUAUUUUGUCGACAUUUUUGCUCCAUUUGUUAUGUUGCUAAGCCUCAUAUACACUGGCUAAUUAGAUCUAGUGAUAAUAAUUUCUUGUAUGAUUGUUGUUUGUGGUUUAUACUUCUCUUUCUUUUUAAAAUUGGUACUGCUUCUAUGGUUCCUGUGUCAUUCUUUUGGCGAGGAGCAGUUUAGGAUAGGAGCAGGCUAUUGUCUGUUCUACUUCAAUUGUUGAGUAGAUUUUGUUGAUCACUAUUUUUGCUGUUAGACCGAAUAUUCUUCAUUGGACUCUAUCUAGGGAUGGGAAUUUUUCUAUAAAGACUAUUUGGGAGCUUGUUCGUGGGUCUCGGAUCUGGAAUGAGAUUUUUACUUAUAUUUGGCAGCAACAUAUUCCUAAUGAGGUAUUUUUUGUUAUUGUGGUUGUUGUAUGGUUUCUUAGCUGCGAAUGAUGCCUUGGGCUUGCACCAUUAAGAUAUUCAGGCAGUUAUUUUGUGAAUUGCUCAUUAGUUGCGCAAAUCUGACAACGAUUUUACUCGAUGAUUGGUCUUUGAUACCUUCCUUUCUAUCUCCUCAUACGUUGCUUGUUCACUGGCGGCAUUGUGCCCAUUCUUCGAGACAUUUUCGAGUCCUUCUCUCAUGCUUCAUCCUGUGGCAUGUCUUGAAGCCUUGAAAUGCUUUUAGAUUCGAUUCUAGUUGUCAUUGCUUUUUGAGUGGUUUCGGGCCUUAGACUCGCUAGCUCUGUUUUUGGUUUUAAGUUAUCCCAAUUGAGGGGUGUUUUGGAUACCCAUAUUAGAGAGGGUUUGUAGAUAUUUUGCCUCCUCUUUGACCGGUCGCUUGGUUUCCUAGUUGAGGCUACCGCCUGGCGUGAUGAAGUUAAAUGCGGAUGGUUACUCUAGGGGCACCUCUGGUAUGUCUGCUGCUGAAAGUGUUCUACAUGAUCAUUCGGGAGUAGUAUUAGUUGCUUUUGGUUCUUUCUUAGGGCACCAAUCAAUACUGUUUGCUGAGCUGUUGGCUAUGCUUGAAGGAUUAGAUCUUGUGCUCAGCUUGGGUUUACUGUUCUAGAGUUGGAAUCUAACUUGGCCACUGUGGUUUCUUUAGCUACUUCGCUUAUCUCCUGGGUUGGAUUCAUGCUUUAUUUUCUAGUCCUUUUAUUACUAUCAAACAUGUCUUUUGAGAGGCCACUUCAGCCACUGACUUCAUGGUUGAUUAAGCAUGUACUCAUAAGACUCAUCAGCGAUUCUUCAGCUCUGGGGAUCUUAUAUCUGGUCUAUUUGGCAUUCUUCAUUUAGAUGCUCUCGAGUUCCUUUAUGUUCAACAUUGAUUUCCCUUUGUUGGUUUCUUUUAUAGUUUGUUUUCCUUUUUUUUUUAAAGAAGUUUUGGUUUAUGUCCCCCUCUUCAUAUUCUUUUCAUCAUCUAAUUUUUCUUUCAUUGUAGGUAGAGGUUUGGCCUAAUCCCCCACCUUCAUGAUGGUUUAGAUUAAAAAAGAAAAAACCAAUUUGACGUUAGGUUUGAAUAUCCUAACUAGAGAGGGGCGAGGAUUGCUAAGGAUCCUUUGGUAAUGAGAUUCACAAGAUUUACACAUAAAUCAACUGGAAUAAUAUCGAUUUGUCAUCCUCACAAAUGGUGGAAAUCAGAGAAUCCACUUUUCGUAUGCUUAAAGUUCUUGGGAUUGAAAAAUUGCAACAAGCUAAAAAUGUGUCAUAAAGAUUUUUUCUUGGAAAAUGUUAUAAGAUUCUUCUACAGUUUUACCCUUUUCACCUAUUCCUCUUUCAAUGUGAAAAAAAAUGCAAAUUAGUUUAAACUUUAGAGAAUUUCAGAUGAAAUUAUUUCUGCAUCCAAUUAGAUUGUAUCUACUUGUUUGUCCAUUAUCAUAAUCUUAAUUUAGUAUAUAAUUGUAAUUAUCCAAAUAGGGCUUUUAAGGGGUAAAUAGAAGGGGUGCUAAUAGUCCCACUCUUUCCGCAAUUAUUAUUGUCCUCGAAUAUUUCUCCAACAUUUUAUUUCAUAUUUGACUUCUGCUACUAAUACUAUAACAAAAGACGCUUUUUGACCAACAAAGUGUUGGCUCCACUGGAAAUGAAGUCCCCUUAAGUGGCUUGACUGGGUUUGCUCCCCAGUUCGAGUCGCAGGGAAGUCCCCUUUGUUGGGAGAACAUGUGCCUCUCGAUUCGAGCGGGGACUUCUACUCUGGAUUGUGGUACGGGCUUAAAGGUGCCUCCCACAGUUAGGGCCCUCCCCAGGAUACCUCGUGGUCAAAACCAAAAAAAAAAAAAAGACGCUUUUUGAAUUACAUCAGUUUCUAGUUGCAUUUUAUUGAUAAAUUAGCCGAACGCAGAUUUUUUAUUUCAUAUUUGACUUCAGCUACUAAUAACAUUGUUUGAUGCAACAUUUUAUUUCAUAAUUGACUUCUGCUACUAAAACUAUAAUUCAAAAGAUGCUUUUUGAAUUACAUUAGAUUUUUUAUUGAAAACGAACAAAGGGAUUAUAUUUUACAAUUUAGGAAAUAACUAUAUUUAAUAGAGAUAAUUUUGGGAUAUAGCAUUUACUUUCUAUUGAGAUAUUUUCAUAUAUUAGAUAAAAGUUUACUUAAAAAACAAAAAUUAGACUUCACACGUUUAACAAAUAACUCGAAGGAAUAUGAAUAAGAAUUAUUAAAACAAAAAUGAUAAAUAAGGAUAAUUUUAAAAUUAAAUGCAAUUAAUUGAGAGUUGAUGACUAAUGAGAAAAAUUGGGGGAAAAUAUUAAAAAAUCAACCAACUACUCAUGGUUGAUAGUCAUGACCCACUCAAUUUGAGAAUUAAAAGGACAAAAGCCAUGUGUUGAAAACUAUGGUGUUCAUGGGGAAAUUUCAGGUAAAAGUCUAAAAAGCAGUGAAAUUAUCGUGCAGCGCACGGUGCCUGGACAAUGAGAUGAAGUUGAAAAAUUAUCACGAAACUUCAAGGAAGAGUGCCAAUAGUCUUACUCAUAACGCCGUGUCUAACUCAUAACAUAGAGUAAGAGUUCUACGAAAGUAACGGCAGAGUGCCAAUAGUCUUGACUCAUAACGCCGUGCCUAUAAUUUCAACUGAAAAAAUCUGCCAAGUCGAAAAAUUAGGUGGGCGUUUCAAUAACCCUUGAAUAUUCCAUGAAUCAUUGUCCAGGAAGCUUGGAAAAUGAGAUAUCAGGUCAAUAUAUGCUGCAGAGUCACGCUCAUUUUGGCUUAGUAAUUGUUUUCAUCUGAUCACAAUCUCUCUCUAAUCAAUUCAACUGCUUCUGUUGAUUAUGGCUUCUUUUUCUCGAAACAACAAGAAGUAUGAUGUUUUUGUAAUAUAAGCUGCCUUUUUUUAAGUGGAACUGCAAUUGAAGAACUGCCUUCAUCAAUUGAGCUUCUACUUAGGCUGGAGUACUUGGACCUUUCAGACUGUAAAAGGCUUAAGAGUCUCCCAAGCAGCCUAUGUAAGUUGAAAUCUCUUGAAAUUCUUGAUCUCAGUGGUUGCUCAAAUCUUCAGAGAUUGCCCGAAUGUCUUGGCCAGUUGUCCUCUCUAGGAACAUUGCUUCUAGAGAAAACCAAUAUUGAGAGAAUACCAGAAAGCAUCAUCCAAAUUUCUGUGUUGACUUACCUCCGCUUAAGCUAUUGUGAGAGGCUUCAAUCCGUACCAAAGCUUCCAUUCCUUAUACGAUGUUUAGAUGCCGAUAAUUGCACAUCGCUGCAAUCAUUAUCAGGUUUAUUCCCAAGUUCUGAAUUUUAUAUAUAAGCAGUGUUUUUUUACUAGAGCAAUAAUUUGUAUUCCCAAGUUCUGCAAUCAUUUAGUGCUAUUGUAGCAUUUUCAGACCGUCAUGUAGAUGAUGACAGAUGGUUUUCAUUUUCUUGUGAGUUCAAAAUGAAAACCGAAGAUUGUGAUCCGCAUGUCACGCGGAGAUUUCUGAAGCGCCUUGCUUACGUAGAAUCAGCUCACUUACUUUUGGGGUGCUAUUUUUUCAGUGAGGAGGAUUUCCAUGGUUUUUGGAAAUAUAAUUGCGUUCCUGAGGCAGUCCGCUUCUUUUUUGAUGAUUUUGAUCGUUUUCCAUCUUUGGAGUGCGAGUGCUGCGGGGUGAAAAAAUGUGGAGUCCAUUUACUUUACAUCCCAGAUUCUACGGAUUCAAUGGAAGUUCCAAGCAGAUGUUUCAACUGUUACGAAGAAGGCUUAAGAUUUUCAUGAAUGUAAUUUUAUUUUUUUCUCUUUUGCUAAUCACUAUUAAUAAUUAAAAAAAAAAAGCCAAGAUUAGUCUUGGAACAAAACAUGCAUGUAAUAAUUUUCGAGGGACGUGGUGCAUGUAAUAUUAGAUGAAGGGUAUAGUGAAAGCACGUAUUUAGCAUUGUAAAAUUACUGGCCUUCUUUUCCUGCAGAUUUAAUCUACUUGGCGUGUUAUUUUUUUCCCUAUUUUUUUUUUAAAUGCAGGUGUUUCAUUCAUGAUAUUUUAGGAUAACGAAAAAUGGACUGAAUAGAGAGAAGAGACUUCGUUUCACAUCUUCAAAGAUUGCAUCUGCAAUUGGCCUUUGCUUCAACAAAGGAUCAAUUAGCCAAAGCAAUGGAAACAAUAGCUUGAUUCUCCAAUCGUCAACAAUGCCUUGUAGUUUAUGCCGCCAGCAUAAUUCAACAGAACAAGCCCUCUAACAAGUAUUUGUAUGUAUGUAUGAUCAUUCAUUCUCAAUCAACCACCAAACUGAUGUCUACAAAGCCAUGAGGAUUGUCUCACAAGUCCCUUAUUUUCCCUCUCUUUUGGCCGGAGACCAGUAAACCAUUUGAAAUACGGAUGUGUAAACCAGAAAAUAAAUCACGAAGUUACACACUAGUCUGCUUUCGCACUCAUUCGGAACUAUAAUUGAUACUUGUUGAUGCGAGAUUCUGGUUACGCUCUUCCUACGACCAGGAUAUUUGCUCGAUCAACCUCACCUCGAUCAGGAUCUCUCCUCGUAUGCUUUCUUCUCCAAGUAUUCCUGCGUCCACAGAAACAAGUCAGAGCACGCCGGUUGUGUUCCCGGCGUAAACCCUCCGACGCUCAAGUCAGAUAUGAAGGCUUUUGGAACGCUUGCCACAGAUCUUAUGGCUUUUUGAUAGUUUUUCCUUCUUUUAGAAUUUCCCUUUUCUCUGUUAUAAUCUCAAAAUUGCUAACCCUUUUACCUUCGUUGGCUACCUUUUUAUAGGUUACUUCUGAGCUCGGGCCUCCCCUCCAUUCGCGCUCGUUAUCUUCCCACCUCUCGAACGUGGACUCCCCAUUUCCGUAAUUGUGGGUGGUUGCGUGGCCUUCGUGCCUAGAUUCUCGGAUUGGAGAGCAUGCCCCGCCAACCGUCAUUGACUGGGUCUCCUCGAAUCAACACUUAGCAGGAAUACAACAGAAAUGGCUUUAUGCUUCUUACAGGAAAUUGGCCUCGCGGAUGACGUGCUCGUGGAUGAGCAGGAUAUUCCUGCUCCUGCUCCCCCGGAUACCAGGCUCUUACGGGACACACCGGUUCGCAGAACUCUGCUAUCAGAUAUCUGCUCAUCAUGCCUGGUCUCGUCGAUAUGGUAUGGUGUAUAAAUUAUACUAAAGUGAAGGCUGGAUCAAUAAGAAAUUCAAAAUGUUUCAUCACAUUUGGGGCUUGAUGAUGCCAUAGAAAGACCAUACCAAUUAUGACGAACAGUAAAAUGUGAACAAGAACAAGCAUACAUUUAAGAAAGCAGAGAAGCAUGAUUAAAAUAAAUGAUUCUUCUCACUAUUCUAUGUUGUUGGAAAUGGACCAAAAUAAAAAAGAAACCAUAUAUGGAACGUCACAACAAGAAUAUUUGUGCAUUUGUACAUCAUAGGAUAUUGGGAAGACAUCAGCAGAAAAGUGCAAUUUUUUUUUUUUUGGGGGAAAGGAACAGAGAAGUGCAAGUCAAAAAGGAGAAAAAAUAAAAACAGAGAGAUUAAAAGGAAUGCAAUCUAAUUAAUCGUCUAAGGAGGCUACUAUGCUACAUUUAGCCAUUCGUUGAAUAGGCAACUUGUCUUCUAGUACAACUUUAAAUUUACCAAGAUUGAGAAUUUUCCUUCGGAAGAAAAGUAAUUUGUAUAGUGGCCAUUACCAUCUUCAUCCCAACGGUAAGCAGCUCCAUACUAAGGAAAGAGUGAAAUAGGUGUGCUUUACUUGUAGAAGCUCGUUCCUGUCCAGAGUGAUUAGUAAGUUGUUUCACCAUGACCCCCAUUAUGGUGACUGGAAAAAGAAAAAAAAAAAAUUUGCCCAACACAGAAGUGGCACCCAAGAAGUCCUACUUAAGAGGCUUCAUACCCUGCACAAAUCAGAAAGUUUUUAAAAAUUUUCAUGUUCCAGGUUCCAAAUGAAGAUUGCCCAUUAAAAAAUUACACACAUAAUGUAUGUAAAGCAAUUAAAACAGAAAAACAAGGAUAACCCAGAAACAAUCCAACCAUCAAUAACAUAAAACUUUUGUAAUUCUGGUAAAGUGAAUGAGAAGCAAAACAUACAUUUCACGUAAUAAUGAAGAUACAUCUUUUAAUCAGUUUUUGCUCUUAUUUUAUUCUCGUACUUCCUUCCAAUAACAAUUCAUAAUGCAGGUUGGUAUCUUGAAAAAUUAUAUCAUACAUUUCUCUUAUCAAUGGGGCAGGUUGCUAUUGAACAUUAUUCAUAAACAAAGAGCCAAAUAUGCUUUAAAGCUACUUAAAAAUAUGCCAUCAGGCAUUGACGCAGACACUCAACAACAAAAAAACAGAGUUAUCAGCACUUAACAACACAAAAGUAAAAAAGAAAAUACUCUCACUCAAGUAUUAUAUUUGUUGCACAAAUAAGAAAGACGAUAACAAUUUUAAAUUAACCAACAGGUUGAAUCUUAUCGUAAUACACACUAUCAGCUAUGAAUCAUCCGAUAGAAUCAUCCGUGACAAUGCUCCAGUGCUUAACCUGCCACAUUUAUAAAACCUUAUUUCAAAUAAAAUUACAGUUAAGGGCAAAGAAGAAAUAAACACAUGUAGGAUUUUUUUCCCAACAAAUUACUUACAUUAAUAAUCAAUCCCUUUUUUUUUUAAUUUCCUACCAUUUUAAUUCUUAUCUAACUAAGAUAAAUUGUAUAAAUAUAGAAUAAUCUAUUUUUCUUUUCGUAUUUCUUAUUGAUUAAAUAUUUCGUACUCAAGAUUACUUUCAAAUUACAAUCUAAAAUAUGUGUUAUUUAAGCUAAUGAUUAGCAUUCAAACUUUAUCACCUAGAAAACUUUUUAAUUUGUAUGUAGGAUAACAAUAAGAUUGUAAAAGGGAUGAAAAAUAGCACAAUACUACUUUGAGUUUUAACAAUAAAAAAAGAUUAAAUGAAAAACUAAAAGAGCGUCUUGGAAAAUAAAAUAAAUAUAACUGAAAAAAAAGGUUUCAUUAAGAGACUAGAGGGGUGCCAAUAGUCCAACUUUUAAAAUAAAGUUUUAUCAAUUAUUGAUCCCUUUUUCUGCAAUUAUUAUUCCCAACAAAUAUUUCUCCAACAUUUUAUUUCAUAUAUUUACUUCUACUAUACUCUAACAAAAGACGCCUUUUUGGACUACAUCAGUUUCUACUUUCUAGAUGCAUUUCAUCCAUUGUUCAAUUUCUCUAUUUUUUUUUCUCUAAACAACCACUUUCUGUCAGCUCUCUUAAAAUUUAUUAAGGAAUCUAUGUUGAAGACCAUUUCAUCCUUAGUAUUGUGUAAAUGUAUAAAAAUACAUUUUACACUUUCAAAUUUAAAAUGACCUUCUUUUAGCACAAAAUUUUAAAACAAAUACCUCUAACUAAGCAACAAAAUGUAGAACACAUGAUAAGUACCAUAUCAGCCAUAUAAAAAGUGAAUCACACUAUGAUAUAUGUGCAUUUAUUUUGAAAAAUCAUCACGUAAAUAAUGGUUAUAUUGAAUCUAAGUAAGUGAAUAUCAUACAUGACACAACCCGGCCCAGCCUCUCUGCCGGAUUCGAGGUGAAUCAUGUGAUCUUAUAUCUAAAGCUUGUGAAAUAAAUUUAAUUCAUGAAUGCAUAACACUAGUCUCGGCCUUUGUUAUAAACAUAUAAUAACAUAUGUGACUCAUUCAAAAAUAUAUUCAAAACUUGCACAAUUUACAUCUUACUGUACAUACAUACACUUUAGAUAUAUACAUAUAAACAUAAACAUGCUCAAAAUAUAAGUUAUGCAGUAAUGCGUGUUGUAGCCCAACAUCAACUGAUUAGAAACUGAACUGCACAAAAUCCUAUGAAAAUCUUAAAGAAAUGGGGUAAAUAUGAAAAUAGUAUACUUGUGGCUAAAUGAGUGGAUAUAAUUAUAUAUAUAUAAAUAAAUUAGCGCUCUAGUGCUUGUACAUAAUUGUAUGACAUAACUUCGCACUGAACGCAUUACACAAGCAAACAUGAAAUCAUAUAUUUAUACAUGAUAAAACUGCACCAAAUAAUAUCUAGGAGAAAUAACUCUUCAAUACUCACUGGAAUCAUCGUUGCACAAGUAAAGUAGGGGAAACACCUCUCAAUACUCAGCCGAAUUAACUACAUCACAAGGGCCGAGUAAUCUAACUCUCAAUACACAUACAUAGAGCCUAUGGGGAAGGGUACACAUAUGAUAUCUGGCAAUUACAUCUCAUUAUUCAAUUAAUCAUAUAAUAUCAGUAUAUAUAAUCAUGACAUGAUACUAAAUCAUACUAUCAAGCAUCAAUACUUUGUAGAAUACAUAUAAGUAAUAAUAGUAAUCCACUCACAAAACAUUUUUCACUAUGGGGUUUGUUGGAGCUCCUAUAGAUUCCUUAAUUCUUGAAUUUCUCCUAAAAUAUAGGGUUAAAAAAUUAACUAUUAGAACUGAUAUAAAAACUUUUACAUAUGACAUUAACUAAAUCAUAAUUGUUCAAAUUUCUUAAAUACGUUACCUACUGACUUACUGGAUAUAGAUAUAACUAUCCAACUCUCUUUCCUAUAAUAUUUCCUCUCAAUUCCUCUUUUCAAAAUUAUUUUUCGCUCUCGGUUUUUCUUUUCUUUAUUUUUUCUUCUUCAUCUUUUAUUCUUCUGUUCUUUUCCACUUCUUCUUCAUCUUUUCUUCUUUUGUUCUUUUCCUCUUCUCUUUUCCUUUUGUUUUCUUCCCUUCUCACCUUUUCCUUUCUUUUUCUUUUCUCUUUGAAUUGCUUUGUUUUAGUUUGAUUCUUGAAAAUGGUGACAGUUGCUUCAAUUCUUUACUUUAUACAUAUCCAUUACCUCCAAUCAUGCACGACAAGCACAUAGCAUGCAUGUGCUUUGCUUUAAGCCGAUAGCUUGCUAAUUAGCCACAUGUGCUCCCUUUUGGCUUGCAUGUGCGUCACAAUAAAUGCAUUAAUUGGUUGUAUUAUUUUUAAUGUAUUAUAGAAUUUCUUUUAAUGAAGGACGUAGCCAACAAUUUUAUCCAGUUAAACAUGUUCUUUGACAUAUAAUAUAGUUUAUGGUCAAACAACUCAUAAGUAGUUGAAAUUAAAUUAUUUUCUAAUCUCAAUUUUCCUUUCCUCUCAAUUUUAAAAUACUUUAAAAGAUUUUCAAACAUAAGAUACAAUGGUAUACAAUUGAAGCCUAAUCCAACAUUGAAAGAUUAAAUAAAAUUAAUUUUCAUCACUACUCAAGAGACUUGAAAGGACAUUAAGGUAGCAUUUAUUUUUUAUUUAAAAUCUGAAUAGGUCAGAAUUUGAUUAAAAUCUGAAUGGCCUUGAAUAUAAAGGUUUCAAUAACAUGUUAUUUUUUUAAUAUCUAAAAAUUAAGUGGCAUCUUGUUUGAUUUAUAAUAAGAAGGGAAAUUAUCAUUCGUAUACCCUAAAUUUGUGCUUCUAUAAAAAAAUAUUACAACACUUUAAGGGUGUAUCAAUCAUCCACCCUAAAUUGACAAAAGUUAUCUGCCGACCACUAAACUGUUAGCUACCAUUUGAAAGUUAACGGAACUGUAGCUAAUUAACAAUUUUACCCUUGAAAAUUAUCACUUGUAUACCCUUAAAAUAACUUAUUAUCACUUCUAUACCCUAAAAUUAUCACUUGUAUCAUAUAAAAAGACCAUAUUACCCCCCUGACGUCAUCAUAUUUAAAUGGCAAUUAACGGUUUGGUGGACGGCAGAUACAUUUUGUCAACUUAGGGUGGACGACUGAUAUACCCUGAAAGUAUUGUACUAAAUUUGAUAAUGGAGUAAACUAAGGGUAUACGAUUGAUAAUUUCCCUAAUAAGAAAACACAUUAAAUGUGGUUAUUUAGCGGUUAUGUCUUUAUAGGUCAAAACGAAUAAAAGGGAUUAGGCUUCGUAGUUUAUGAAAUAACUAUAUUGAAUUGAAAUAUUUUUAGGAUAUAGUAUUUAUUUUCCAUUCAAACAUUUUUUUUCAUUUCGGCAAAGGUCACAAAAAUUUACUUUUUAAAUUCAAAUGUAAAUAUCUAAAAAUCAGACAUAUGUUACAAAAAAAACAAAUAGCUAAUUUUUUAAAAAAAAUUAAACUUCAUAUGUUUAAAAUCAACGCUACGAAACAUGAAUAAGAGCUAUUAAAACAAAACAAAAAAGAAUAAUUUUGAAACUAAAUACAAUUAAUUGAGAGAUGAGGACCGAUAAGAUAAAUUCAGAGAUAAAAAGUAACAUAUCACCCUACUUAUUGCUGGCAGUUAUGAGCAUUAAAGCACAGAAGCCGUACCAACAAAGUGGUGGCUCCACUGGCAAUGGGGUCCCCUUAAGUGGCUUGACUGGGUUUGCUCCCCAAUUCGAGUCGUAGGGAAGUCGCCUUUGUUGGGAGAACAUGUGCCUCUCGGUUCGAGCGGGGACUUCUAGUCUGGGUUGUGGUACGGGCUUAAAGGUGUCUCCCACAGUUGAGGCCCUCCCCAGGAUAUCUCGUGGUUAAAACAAAAAAAAAAAAAGCGCAGAACUCGUGUGUUGAAAAGUAUGGUGUUCGUGUGGACUUUUCAGCUAAAAGUCUACAAAGCAGUUGAAUUAAUCAAUCGUCGUGGAGUGCACGGUGCUUGGACAUUGAGAUGAAAUUGAAAAAUUAUCACGGAACUUGAAGGAAGGUUCAUGGCAUCGAUUUAUUCUACAGAGUCACGCACAUUUGGUUCAAUAAUUGUUUUCAUCCGAAUCAAAAUCUCUCUCUAAUCAAUUCAACUGUUUCUGUUGAUUAUGGCUUCUUCUUCUCGAAACAACAAGAAGUAUGAUGUUUUUGUUAGUUUCAGAGGAGAGGACACCCGAGACAACUUUAGUAGCCAUCUCUAUUCUGCUCUGAGUCGACAAAAUAUCCAAACUUUCAUUGAUGACCAACUUAACAGAGGAGAUGAAUUUUCGGAGUCACUUGUGAAUGCAAUUGAAGCAUCAGCCAUUUCAGUUAUCGUCUUCUCAGAAGGGUAUGCAUCUUCCAGAUGGUGUCUCGAUGAACUUGUAAAGAUCCUCGAGUGCAAGAAAGAGUAUGCACAGAUUGUGAUUCCGGUUUUCUAUCGGGUUGAUCCAUCAGACGUGAGAAACCAAACUGGGAGUUUUGGCAAUUCAUUUUCGAAGCUUGAAGAAAGGUUUAAGGAGAAUUCAAAGAAGCUGCAGACAUGGAGGAAUGCUUUGAAGGAAGCAGCCACUUUGUCUGGCUUUCCUUCUCAGAACAUCAGGUGAAAAGUUACUUUUAAUUUCGCAUACUAAUAUUCAACACUGUAAAUAAAAUUCACACAGCACUCUUAGUUAAAUUUUCCAGAUGAUAAACUACACUUUUAAAUUUUUUUCAUGCAUCAAAUUCUAGACUUCUUGAACUUCCCCACUUUUGAACUCCUAUAAAAGAAGUUUUGCAGAAUUAAUAAUAAAAGCUCCAGAAGUUUACAAUAUAUUUUAACAAAAUUAAUGGUGUUCUGUCGUUUUUUAAUCAAUUUCAAUCUCUUACUCAUAUACCACUAGGAAAAAAAAAAUCUCUUCCACAUAUAACAUAUUCUUGUAAUUAAAGAGUUAAUAAUUUAUAGGGAGAUUGGAAAUUUCCUUACUCAAAUCAAUAUAUACCACUUAUUUUGACUAUUUUUACAAUAUUUAAUAACUCUCCUGGUACCAUCACUUUACAAUUGGACAACGAGCAAUCUCCCUUAUUUCAAUUUUAUGCAAAUCCCUUCUAUUUGAAGUUACUGCUGCUAAUUUUAUGUAUUUGGUAGGCUUGAAUCGAAACUUAUAAACGAAAUUGCUAAUCACAUUUUAAAGAGACUGCUGGAUCAAGUUUUUCGGCGGAAUGAUAACAAAAACCAGCUGGUUGGAGUAGAAUCAAGAGUUGAGGAAAUUCAAUCUCUACUAGGUGUUCAGUCGAAAGAUGUUUACGCUUUAGGGAUUUGGGGCAUUGGUGGUAUAGGCAAAACAACAAUCGCUAGAGCUACUUUCGACAAAAUCUCUAGCGAUUUUGAAGGUUCUUGCUUCCUUGAAAAUGUUAGAAAAGAGUCACAAAAACCGGGAGGAUUAGCUUGCUUGCGACAAAAACUUCUUUCAAAUUUAUUGAAAGAUAAAAAUGUGAGUCUUGUUAUUGGUCUUAAUUUUAGAAGGCUCAGCCGCAUGAAGGUUCUGAUUGUUUUUGAUGAUGUGACUGGCUUCAGCCAAUUAGAAUCUAUAAUUGGAAGUCUUGAUUGUUUGACGCCUGUGAGUCGAAUCAUAAUAACCACCAGAAAUAAACAAGUGCUUAGAAAUUGGGGGGUGAGUAAAAUAUAUGAGAUGGAGGCAUUAGAAUAUCAUCACGCUCUUGAGCUUUUCAGUCGACAUGCCUUCAAACAAAACCAUCCUGACGUUGGUUACGAGAAAUUUUCAAGCAAGGUAAUGAAAUAUGCUCAAGGUGUUCCUUUAGCUCUUAAAGUGUUGGGUUGCUUUCUAUAUGAAAGAGAAAAGGAAUUCUGGGAAAGUGCAAUAAAUAAAUUGCAAAGAAUCCUCCAUCCAAGUAUCCUAGAGGUAUUAAAAAUAAGUUACGAUAGUUUGGAUGAUAAGGAGAAAAAUAUUUUCCUUGAUGUUGCUUGUUUCUUUAAAGGCGAGGAUGUAAAUCUAGUAAUGAAAUUCCAUAAUGCAAGCGGUUUCUACCCAGAAAUAGGAAUAAGUGUUCUUGUUGAUAAAUCUCUCAUUGCUAUUGGUUCAUACAGCAAGAUAAGAAUGCAUGAUUUACUACAAGAGCUGGGUAGGGAAAUUGUUCGACAAGAAUCAAUUAAUCUUGGAAACCGCAGUAGGUUGUGGCAUCAUGAGGAUAUCUAUGAAGUUCUUACAUAUAACACGGUAAGCAGUUUGUUGUGGAUAAUUAUUUUGAAAUAUUCUAGCAUUUACAAACUUGAUAUGAAUAUAUUUAUAUAUGCUCGAACUGAUGAGUCUUAGAAUUAAUAGAAGAGCAACAAUGAUUAGAAAAAAACCAUAUCCGUUAGAUGACGUAGCAAUAAAUUAUAAAUGCCAUGACAACUUGCAUAAUCAUUUGCAAGCAUAAUUGAUAUGCCAAUUUGUAUAGUACACAGACGGAAUUUUUAUAUUAAGUAUUACUUGUGUUAUUAUGUUUCUUUGUGCAUUUGCAAUUAAAAGUUUAACUGCCUAGCAAUAACUAAAAACAUGAAUUAUUGAUUUGAGAAAUGAUAAAGAGUCCACUCCAAUCCCACAUAAACUCGACUAAAUAAUAAAUAAAAAGUUGAAUUAUUAACUAAGCUACCUCUAAUUGUGAAUUAGUGAGAAACUUGCCCCAAAAAUUUGACUUGGAGGGGUUGAAGUGCGAUUCAUUGGUGGAAUACACAUAUAUUUCAUUUGAUUUUAACUUUAUUGCUUUUUCAUUUAUUUUUAGGGAACAGAAAAAAUUGAGGGCAUAUGUUUGGAUAUGUCAAAAGUAAAAGAGCUCUGUCUUAAUCCCAAUACUUUCACACAGAUGCCUAAAUUGAGAUUUUUAAAGUUCUAUAGUUCAUCAGUCAAUGGAGAGAACAAAUGUAAGAUAUCUUAUUUGCAAGAUUCCGGAUUUGCUGAAGUGAAAUAUCUUCACUGGUAUGGAUAUCCGUUGAAGUCAUUGCCGUCAAACCUUGGUGCAGAGAAACUUGUGUUACUUGAAGUGCCUGAUAGUGACAUUGAACGACUUUGGGAUUGUGUGAAGGUAUGCAUAUCUUAUUAUAUAUGUGCAAUCUUUCAAUAACAACCUUAAAUUAUUAUACGUGGUAACGAUUUUGUCUUGGCCUCUUUUUUGACCGAGCAGCAUUAUAGUAAGUUAAACCAGAUAAUCCAUGCUGCCUGCCAUAAGCUAAUUGCCAAAAUUCCAAAUCCCACGUUGAUGCCACGUCUGAACAAGCUAGUUACGUUGAAUCUAAGAGGUAGCAAAAGCCUGAAAAGUCUUCCAUCUGGACUUGGAAUUUCUUACCAAACUUGAUCUUUCGGGCUGCUCAAAACUGAAAAGGCUUCCAGAGAUCUCAUCAGGUAAUAUAAGCUGGUUAUUUUUAAGUGGAACCGCAAUUGAAGAACUACCCUCAUCAAUUGAGCUUCUACAUAGGCUCGGGUACUUGGACCUUUCAGAUUGUAAAAGGCUUAAGAGUCUCCCAAGCAGCCUCUAUAAGUUGAAGUCUCUUGGACUUCUUAGUCUCCGUGGUUGCUCAAAUCUUCAGAGAUUGCCCGAAUGUCUUGGCCAAUUAUCCUACCCAAUAAUAUUGAAUCUAGCGAAAACCAAUAUUGAGAGAAUACCAGAAAGCAUUAUCCAACUUUUCGUGUUGGGGUACCUCCUCUUAAGUUAUGGUGGGAGGUUGGAAUCCGGACAAAAGCCUUCAUUCCUUGAACGAGGUUGCUUGGCACUGCAACCAUUUUUAGGUUUGUUCUCUAAGUUAUGAAUCUUACAGGCAAUUUUUUUUGACCGGAGCAGUAAUUUUAAAUUGGAAGGUAAUUCUACUGCAGGAAUUAUUGAAGAUACCCUGAGAAUUCAGCAUACGAACCAUAUGCCCGAUGUACGUUUGCAAGAAAUAUGGCAAGAAGAUUGGCUAAAUGUGUGUCUUUAACUCUCUCUACUUACAAUUUCUACAAUCUUUUUUUUUUUGGGUUUAAAAUUAUGUUUUUUUGGUACAGAGAGGUUUUUCCAUGGGCAAAGGUCAUAUAGUACUACCUGGGAAUGAAAUUCCAAAGUGGUUUGAGUUUCAAAGUGUGGGAUCUUUUAUAACCUUGGAGAUGCCGCCAGAUUCCUUCAAUAAUAGCAGAGUGCAGGGCAUUGCAUUUAGUGCUAUUUUAGCAUUUUCAGACCGUCACGUAGAUUGUGGCAGAUGGUUUUCAUUUUCUUUUGAGCUCAAAGUGAAAACCACCAAAGAUUGUGGUACGCAUGACACACGAUUACUUCAUAGCAGAGUUAAUUAUGUAGAAUCAUAUCACUUACAUUUGGGGCACUAUCUGUUCUGUGAAGAGAAUUUUAAUGGUUUUUGGAAAUGCAAUUGCAUUCUUGAGGCAGUCCACUUUAAUGUUUUUCCCCCUUUGGAGUGCCAGUGCUGCGGGGUGAAAAAAUGUGGGAUCCAUUUACUUCACACCCCAGAUCCUACGUCAAUGGAAGACCCAAGCACAUGUUUCAACUGUAACGAAGAAGACUGAGAUAGGUGUCAUUUUCACUCAACUCACCUGAGUUGUGAAUCCAUUUGCUUAAACAUGUAUGCACUUUUUCAAGUAUCUCUACCAAUUCCAUAUUUGGAAUGGUGCAUUUGAUUCCAUAGUUGAUUUGGUAUCGUCUAUGGUUAGAAUUUAUAUUUACAAAAAUGACUUGUAAGGAAAGGAUUGAAGAUGCCUGUGAACUUAUAUUUCGAUUUAGAUUAUUGUAUCUUUUUCAUGUAUAAAAUUGGAUCCUAUCAUUCACAUAUCAUUGACAUGAGCAAUAUGGAUUACUAAAUCAUUAUUCUUUAUUAUUGUGCUGAAUUUGAUUUUUUAUUGAAUAAUUUGAUAUAUUUCUUGAAUCAAUUUGGAGCUUCUACAACUUGUCAGAGAUCAGUUUCUCCAACAUUCCUUUCGGCGCCAAAAGAUAACCAAGCGGUUGAAUAAGAAUUGAUAUAUACAACAUAAAUACAAGAGUUGUUUUGUCUUUUUACAAUAGGAAGAAUACAUAAUGCUCGUUAAAACUUGCUGAUGAGAAAGUAAAUUCCUCAGAAAUUAAAUGUUUCAGCCAACCAAGGAAGCAGCUUUUCAUGGACCAACUCAGACUUGUCGUCAUGGGGGCAAUGUCCUACUCCUUCCAAUACAAUUAGCUUCACAUUUGAGAGUUUAGAAGGCAGAGAUGAGAAGUAUUUACCAACAGGUCCAUCGAGGGGUGUGAAUGGAUCCUUAUCACCCCAUAAAACUAGUACAGGUAUAGAGAUUGAUGGCAUCAAUUGAACUGGGUUCGGCCCUGGUGGGCCUGUUACAAUCGAAACAAAUGCAUCAAGUGCCCCUUCCUCAUUGGCAGGCUCUCGUAUGAUCUGCAGUUUUGAGGUUGAUUCAUGAAUUCUGAGUAGCCAUGUUUGUAACAGGUUAAAAUGGCAUAUAAGAGGAGAAUAUUAAUACCUCAACCAGUGUUUCAUCCACAGAUUCCUUAUUUGCAUAAAUGGACAGUAAAAUAUUCCUCAGUGUUUCCCUACAGCACCAAUAUAUGAACAUCAUAGAGUUUUUUUUUUAAAUUUUGACUCUAGUGUCUUGGGAUAAUGAACAAUGGACUGAAUAGAGAGAAGAGAAAAUACCUUUGUUUCACACGCUCAAAUAUAGCAGAAGCAAUUGGCCUUUGCUUCAACAAAAAAUCAAUGAACCAAAGCAAUGGUAACAAUAGCUUGAUUCUCCAAUCAUCAACAAUUGCCUUGUUGUUCAUGCCACCAGCACAAUUCAACAGAACAAGCCCUCGAACAAGGGUUUGACUGGAUUCUUAUGGUAGAAAAUAUAGCAGGUUUGUCGUAAACCAUAGAUACCAAAAAGGAUAAUUAGGGACAAGUGAUUCUUUGCAAGCAAGUUGAAGAAUAUCUGAUGUCAAAGGGGAAGUUAAAAUAAAUAUACCUGAGGCAGCGAUAACACAAGCUAGGCUUCCAACAGAAUUACCUAUAAGCACAGUUGGCUUCUGAACAACUUCAUCCAAGAAAUCCAAUAUUAGCUGUAUCAGUGAAUCUCACUCAAGUUAGCAAGGAAAAUAACUAAAGUUCAAGUGAUUGAUGACGUAAGUACAUAGAAAGAUCCAACUUCUGGGUAGGGAACAUUGCACACCUGAGCCCAUGCCUCCAUGGUAUAUGAAUAACCAGCUGGCUUUUCUGAAGCUCCAAAUCCAAGAAGGUCAAUUGCAUAAACCGUGUAGCUCUUUGCCAGGGUGCCGAUAUUCCUGAAAUUACCUCAGAGAUGACAAGAAAAAUAUCAAUUCCUCGCAUUAUUUAAUAGGAUAAAGGAGUAGUGAACACACAAAUUUUCAUUCCCCUCUUCUACGGAGCGGUAAAAUGAAUACUUUUUCACUAGAUUAAGAAUCGGAAAAUGGAAGAAGCAUAUAUCCAUAAAAGGGUAAUAUGAAAUGGAACCCUGAAACUCAGAUCACUGGUUUGUCAUCGUCUAGGUGCAAGGAAUAGAACUAAGUGUUAAUGCCAAUGCACCAUGAAAUAAUGAAUAGAUUUUACUUUCAUUAUUCUUUUGCUUCAUUGAUCUUAAUUAAUUAUUAGAAGUAUAACACAUAUAAAUCCAUCCCUGGAGUUCAUAAUACAUAACAGAGUCAGAGAUAUUACAUACAUAAGGUAAAGACAUGCUCCAUACAAAAAAUAAAAAUUACAGUCGAAAAUACCCAGAACAUAAUUUGAAUUGAAUUCACAAUAAAGGAGCUACAUUUUUGUGCACCCAAUAAUCAACCCGCUAGACAAUUCACAACAACAAAGAGCAAUCUUAUCUCGCUAACCUGCGCCAGUGAGGAAUGGAGGCACCAAAGCCAUGGACAAGGAGUAGAGGAGGAGAAUCGGGAUGUGAAUUUGGAGUUGAAGAAACCAAGUAAUUGAUGGAGUACUGACCCUUCCAUUUCCACAUUUUGUAACUCUCCCUUAUCUCAUUAACCUCCAGUUCCAGUGCAGCAGAAGCAGAAUCCCCUCCACUGCUACUGUUAGUAUAACUGAUGGAAACAUUUUGUCUCUUCUNNNNNNNNNNNNNNNNNNNNNNNNNNNNNNNNNNNNNNNNNNNNNNNNNNNNNNNNNNNNNNNNNNNNNNNNNNNNNNNNNNNNNNNNNNNNNNNNNNNNUCUUUUCUUACUUUUUCAAUUGGAUAUUUUCUGUGGCCUGGCUUGGCCUGCUCCUCCCCUGCUUCCACCUCUAUGAGACUGUGGCUAUGACAAAAACUUUUUAUAUACUUAUUUAUUUAUUGGGCUUAUUCCACUAUAAUAUAAAAAUUUUACUGAUAUUCCUCAAAAAUCAAAAUGAUAAUACUUCGUCUAAAAAAUAAUUAUAAAACAUACAUGCUAUGUUUUUAAAUUUUCAAACAAAGAAGAACUUUGUAGAGUUAAUUAACUAGAUUUUCUUUAGUUUACUUUCUUGUGAUUUAGAUUAUUUUAUUAUAUUUAGCUACAAAGAUUGCUUUGUCAUAAGUUUAAAUUGAUUAUUUUACCCUUAUAAGGUAAAACCAUUAAGAAUUUACUCUAAUUUCAAUAUUUUUUUAAUUUUAUACCAAAUUCAUUGUUUCUAAUACUACUUUACUAGUAUGAGUUUUAAUCUUUAAUUAAACUAAAAUAGUAUCUUUAGGGCAUGAUACUCAUGUAAAUUAUUGGGAUGUCAAUUUUAUGUUAUUUACACACUAGAGAAAAUCACAAUUAGAUUUUAUUUUAAAAUAUUAUACUAUAAGCCACAAAAUUAGAUACAUAAAUUAUUAGAUACAAUAACUUGUGUUUAUUAUGGUAAUUUAGUCGCUAUAUAUCAUAAUAAUAAAAUACUAAAAUAAAACUUGUAUUAAAGUUUUAUGAUUAAAGAUGGUCAAAAAACCCAAGAAAAAAAUUAAUAGAAGGAUUUAACUGAUUAACUAUACAAAAUUUUUAUUAAUUUGUAUUUUUUAAAAAAAUAUUGUGAAUUCAUUGCAAUUAGUUUCUAGAAGUAGGGUGAAUUUACAAAAAUAGUGGGGUGCAAAUACCCUUACCCAGAUACUCCAUAAAAAGUGAAAACUAUAUUACCUUUUUUGAUGUACUUCUCUUGAAUUUUUUAUUUCUAAGGAUAAAGUUUAAUUCAUUCCUAAAUAAAAUGAUAAUCUCUAAUUUGCUCUCAAUGUAAACCUCAAUUUAUUCUUCAUUUCCGUCCAAAAGAUGAGGGGCAAAUAAGGAAUGUGUUCAUGGUUUUUUUGUUUUAAUCUUCUUAACAGGAUCCAGCUACUUUGCGUCAGGGGUUUGGUACCCCAGUCUUUUGUCCUAUAGCGAUUAAGCCUUUAGAUUGGUUGCAAAUAUAGUUGACGGUUGAGAUUUAACAGUUUGAAAAUGGGUAACCGGGUAGAAGAAUAGUAUCAGUAAAACAAAAAAGAAAUGGUAAUGAACGUCUUUCUCCCCACCGCUGAAGUGUGCUGUAAUAUUGAAACUGUUUUCAGAAGCUUCAAUUAGUGGGUCAGUUAAUUUUCUUAGGUUGGGGUUUGGGAAAAAAAGUAUUGAUUUAGAGGGUGAGUGGGUAGAAAGUAGAUUACGGGUACUGUGGCGUAAACUGGGGAUUUAAGUGAUGAAUAAGUUACGCUGUUAGGUUAGAAGUUGUCGUCAUUUGCUGUCAUCUAGGUCAACAUACAACCAUUUGAGUGGUGCUGGAGUAAAGUGAGCAGAGCUAAACUGUAGCGAUUUCUGUGGAGAGUUAUAUUUGGAGGUCAUAUCUGCUCGCAAUUUCGUUGCAAUUAGUUGUCCGCGGGAGCCUUAAUACGACAUUGAGGUAUGUAUUAACUGUGAAAAUUUAUAUGUGGCUCUUAAUUUGAGUGCACGUGUCUAAAUAGUAAACGGUAGUUGAUUGGGUACGCAUGAACAAGUAAAAAUAGGCAUAGAAUGUUAGGUUUGGUUGUAAAAUAGCAAUUGGGAGGAAGAAGUAGAAAUUGGGAAUAUAUUAUGUUAUGAAAAUUGAUAUGUUAGUUAUUAUGCAACUGAUAGAAGGAAACCUUGAUGAGGUGAUUUAGAUUUUGAUAGAUAAAUAUAUGUGAAACAGUAGACAUCAGAUUAAUAAUUAGUGUAUAGGCAUGAAAAGGCAGGAUUAUUUGAACAAGCAAUUCUGGAAAAACCAAACAUUGGUGGUUGUUGUACAAGCAUUGCAAAAAAUGUUAAUAAUUUAUAAUGGCGUAAGUAAUGUAGAAUUUGUUUGGCUUGUACACAAGUGUGUUCAUUUAAGUUGAUGUUAAUUCGUGAGUGGAAUAGGGAUGGUUUAUUCGGUUAUGGAAUGUGAGGUUGGUUUAUUUCGAAAAGACUUUAUGAAAUGUAGUAGACACAGCUGUUGGAAAUAAUUUGCCACAUAUUUAAAUGACAUUGAGAUUUGAAUAAUUGCAUUUCAGCUGACAGGUAAAGGAAAUAAUGUUUAUUCCAUAAUGGAAAACAGUAUAAAUGAUAGAUUAUGGUUGAAAUAGGUUGCAAGAAUGGAUGGAGUGACUAGUCGCAAGCGAAAGGAAUGGGAUUCCAGCAGGUGCAAUGAAUGUGUAGAAGAUGGCAAUGGUGGAGGAAAUGAAGGUGCUCGUUGCAACAAUGGAUUCGUAACUUUUUUGUAAGUUAUGGGGUUUAAUUUAAUUUGGGUAAAAAAAUUAAAGUAAAUGACAGCCGAAGAUGGUAUUUAUGUGAACUGUGAUGAAUAAUGAGUUGUGCUUUGGUUUAUUAAUUUGAUUAGUGGGGAAGCGGUACGACGAAUGAAGGCAAUCGAUGGAAGGGCAUGCAUUACAAAAGAGGUGAGUAAGUUGAAAGUGUAGUCGAUUGUGUAAAAAAUGAAUUUGUGGUUGUUUUUUAAAAUGACUAAAGCAUAUGAGGGGAAUGACUCAGGUUCGAAAGGAAAUUGGACAAGAAUUUAAGAAUUUGCCACCUGAACGGAAAAGCAAAUAUAGAAGUCAGCAGCAUCGAGAAGACAAAUAUGUGGAAGGUGAAGCCAAAUUUCUCACUAGGUGUGCUCCUGAUAGGCUAGCAGCCCUUAUAGCAGAAUUGACAGAGGAACAAAAAGAAGCAGCAUCUGAGAUAGGAUUGGGCAGAUUGAUUCAGCUGAAUUGUGGAAGGCUGAAAAGGAAACUAUGCAGUUGGUUAGUUGAAAGGAUAGACACAGCGAGUUGCACAAUAGAUUUAAAUGAUAGUAAGGUAGAGCUUAGUGGUCCUAGUUUUAGUUACAUAAUGGGAGUUAGUGAUGGUGGAAUACUUCUUCAGUUGGAGGGUGAUAAGUCUCGAGUGGCGGAAUACUUACACAAGUUUAAUGCAACAUCCAGUGGAAUUAACAUUAAAAGAUUGUCAGAUAUUUUACGUAAUUGUAGGGAAGCCGACGAUGAUUUCAAAGUGACAUUUAUGCUAUUUACAUUAUGCACUGUUUUGUGUUCUCCAAUAGGGGUGCACAUCAGUUCGUCAUUUUUAUUUUCGUUGAUCCAUAUUAACUGUAUAAGGAAGAUGAAUUGUGCAACGUUUUGUUUCGAUAGAUUGAUGCAAGGAACAAUUAGGUACAAGGAGGACAAGCUUGCAUACGUUGGUGGUUGUGUCCUAUACCUAGAGGUAAAUAAAUAAUUAAUGUCAUUCCAUCUACCCUUAAUAUUUAACUGAUUUGGUUGUAUUGAUUCGUUGUGAAUAUACCAUUUCUAUUGAGAAGUAAUAUCUUCUAUCUAUGGUUGUAUCAUGUGUCAGUUAUUGUUCUUUAAUUCAAUUGUGUACGGAGGCCUUUAUCGAGAUAGAUUAAUCUGCCCAGUGGCACUAUGGAAUGUUGUCGAGAUAAAGAGGUUGCUGAAGUGGAUAGAGAAGAAAGGGGGUUAUAAAAGCACAAGGGUAAGUUGUUCACGUGAAGACGAACUUGUCGGUAGAGAGAAAGUUACAAUGUUAGGAGCAUUAUAUGAACUUAACUGUGUAAAUUGUGAAUGUGAUUUUACAAAGAAAAUAAUUCUGUAACAUUGAAGUAUGUGUAUACUUUUAUAGUUGGCCAUUAUUGAAAACCCGGCCGGGGGGAGGCCACCUGGUGGAGGCAGUUAUACUUGUUCAGAUGAGGAGUGUAUCAGUGGCGUUAACAGAUAUGAAUGGAGUGCAACACCUUUGAUUGUAGAGGGCAAUGCUUUUGAGGCAGUUGAUACCUGCAGCCUGUCAAAAGGAGUUGUUGGAAACAUUGAUAUUGAAGGUUCAAGUAUACUUUGUUUUGUUAAUAAUGCAUCAGCAGCUGAAAGUCGACAAUCAUGUAGGGAGCAAAACAAGCAUCUAUCACUGCAGUACAGGGCUGGUCCAUUUGUGGUUCCGAUGUCACUACACUCGGAAGAGAUAAUGUUACUGGAAUACAUAAUGGCUGAAGACCUAGACGAAUGGUAAGUAACAAUGUACAUUGACGGCAAAUAUUGGAUACGAAUUAAGAAAUUCGUCGUAAGGAACGGAAACGUACCAUUGAUUUCGGAGAUGUUUAACUUUAUAAAUGGUGCUAACUUAUGUUGUUGGAUUCAGGGAGACACUUGUGAAGACCAAAAGAAAUUGUUUGAGUAGGAAAACCAUUAUGUCAUUAGCACUUCGACAGGUUAUCAAUGCUGAGGUAUGUUUUAAGAAUAUUGUUGGAAGUGUCCUUCAUAUUUGAUGCAUAUGUUUUGUGAUGGAAAUUAUUUAUUGGCCAAACUUGUGAGGUAGUUGUACUGUAACGACUGUAUCAUGAUGGGAAAUUAUUUCGUCUUCUAGGUUAUUUCUACACUGUCCGAAAUGCUGAGUGAGUUCCAGUUGUUCAAUGGCACAACAGGCCACAUUAGUUGGUUUCUGCCGGUGCUUGACAUGGUACAUGAGUGGGCAACUAAAAAUUUCCAACAUGUUUUAUGUUUGACGGAAUGGGGAGUUUAUCGAUAUCUGACUGAUUAUAGUGUGUUAUGAUUAUUUAUGAUUGGAAGUCAGGAUAAUCGCUCGUCCAUUUUGUACGGUGCAAACCUUAUCAUUACUUGAUACAUGAAACUUAUCAAAACUUCACCCCAACUUGCAGGCACAUGUCGCGGGCGACAAUCGUUUGUUGGAGAUGUGGUUACGCAAUAUAGCAUCCAAUAAUCAAUGUUGCACUUACAAGGCCUCAUGUGAUAGGGUAGAGUAAAUAUAGAUGCUUUAUUUUUACUAUAUGAGAUUUGUUUAUAGUAGACUGCAAUAUGAUUGUUAAUGUUUGUACCGGUGGUAAGACAGAUUGUUGUCCCCAUAUGCGAUGGGAUCGGGCAUUGGUACUUGCUAGUAGUUAUUAUUACAGAGCUGCGCGCUGAGAUAUGGGAUCCACUGGCAAGCAGUAUGACGACAAACCUAUUUCUAAUGGAAGUGCAUCGCAUAGUGAGUGUAGCCUUUACUGAAACAGUAUAUGCAGGCUAUCACAACUUUGUAUCUUUUGAAUUUCAUGUUUUCAUUAAUAGCAUUUUAUACAUGGCGAUGAUUAAUGACAAUGAUUUGAUUUUACAGCUUAAAUGUUUGGAUGUGGUUCUGAAAAAUGAGCGGGCAAAUUUAUGUCCUGGUGGUAUUAUAUUUUCGAGUUGUGAAGUUUCACAUCCAUCAUUAAAGGCGAAAGAGCUGCAUGGCAUCGAUUGUGGACUAUAUGUUUGUCUGUUAAUGAAGCAACUUCAUCACAGGCAACGACCUUUGACAAAGGUACUGACAUGAGUAAUUCAUGACUUACCUUAAUAGAUAUGAGGCGUACAAAUCAAGAGAAAUUGCAUUAAUAUGUUUUUGUCUUAGAUGCGGUGCGAUUCAGAUGCAGAACGAUCAAGCCUUAUACUGCAGUUGGUACACUUUCGGGAGAACUUAGUUAAGGAUAAAAUUGUGGAGAGUGCUACCAGCUACCGUAAGCAUAGACAAGCAUUUGUUACCGUAGGAGAAGGAGAAAUAAAAAGACAGCAAAGGCGGAAUAGAUUGAAAUCAAAGAAAAUGGGGCAUGGCCAACGAAGGUAGAUGUUCUGGGAUCGAUCUGUAGAUUGUUGGUUAUUAUGUGGCUAACUAACCAAGUUUGUUGUUGCUGAUAUAUUGCUUUCCAACUGAAGACUAAUAAUUAUCCAUUUAUAUUAAUGGGGGUGGUAGGGUUGUAAUAUACGAAUUACCUUUAUAGCAUCCGGUAAUUACAAUUACAACUAUGUACAUAUGAACUUCUGUUAAUUAAUGAUUGAAAUGUUGUUAUAGCACUGACCAUUUUACACAUACACCUGCAAGAGUAUUAUUAUGGAUUACAGUUUAACCAACAAUUCGUCAGGACAUGUACGGUGUAAGUGGCUGUGGAUUAUUUUAUCAAUAAUGUGGUGCUUGUUAAACUAACAAAGACAACGAAAGUAUAUUGGCAAUGUGUGUACAUUGUGUUACAAAUAUGAUAGUAAUUUCCAGAAGCUACCGUUAUAUCCCCUGUAAUCCACACACUGUGGCCCUGCGUUGUACAAUUGUGAAGGCCGUGCAACAGAUAUUAAUUUUGCCUGCAUAUGGCUAUCAGUAACAUCAUUCAAACUAUUAGUUAAUUACACACAUUUGCAGUGUGAUGGUUAAUGCAGUUUAUCUGUUACCGUUACUGUAAAAGUUGCUUCAUUUUACUAAUUGUAAACCCUUUGACUUAGGAAGAAGUUUGGUUGUUAAAUUAAUAACAUUGACUCACUGUAAACGGAGGUAAGGGUUACUCCAUACUUUCAGAAACCAGGAUUACAUGGUUGAUUCAUAUUCGAUUCCCACCCCAAAUAUUAGCAUACGUACUGGCAAAAGUUGAUGCACUUGCGUUAUGGACAACAUAAUCUGGUAACAAGUGCUGCAGCAUUGUGUCCUCCGUCGAAUCGUUAUCUGUACUCAUUGCAUACGGCUGGGACCACGAAUUUGAACUGGUAGCACGGCUGUUGCGACUUUGCUGUGAGCAAUGUUGGUCGUAUUCGUUGGUCCUGUUAUGUUCUUUUCCCUUGUCUGUAAUUCCUGAACGUCUCGUUGCAGGCAAUGCAGUGUUCUCACCCAUGAACUGACUGCUUUGGUUUGGAUUGUCAUUAUGGUCCCCAUCCGGCUGUAUAAUAAUUUUGCACUUUCGUACGGUAUGUCCUCCAUUCCCACAUCGGCUGCAUUUUCUCUGUUGUGAAGGACCCAUUUUUGGCUUCUUCUCACAUCCUUUUGUCAGUACAACCACGGGGUCAUUAACGUCAAAUCUUCUCCCCAAAUUCCCCUUUGGUCUUUCUUUAGCUAUUUCACAUGACAUGGGCUCCAAUUGCAUGGACAAUUUAUGUAUUCCUGCAAUAGCUAACUCAUAUGCCUCACAACGUUUUGCUGCAACCUUCUGAAGGGUCCGACAAGCAGCAUGAAGGGAGCCCAUGCGUGCGUCAACACUCAUGUAAUGUUGCCUCAAUGUACAUUGGACCUCUGAACUGAGGCCAAGUUUGGCUUUUUUAGUCCAUCGAGCUAAAAUCAUGGAAUGCGGAAUUGAGUCUACAUUUUCUACCUUCAUGACAGCAAACAUAUGCGAACAAGGUAUUCCUAGUGUCUCUAUCAUCAGACAGUCACAAGACACAUUAUCCCAUUUCCCUUGUAUGUUAACCCGCCAUUCCUCAUUUGAAACUUUCCACUUCUUCACUGUGAAUGAUUUAGAUUUUUCUUCGCACGACACUUGUACGGCUAUAUGCAUCCCUUCUUGCAGUAUUUGAUCCCUCACCAGUCGAAAUAUUGGUCUGGUAUAAACAUCGGCAGCCGCUCACUCAAACGGCUUCAUAUGCGUCAUAAGCACAGGCUGGUCGUCUGCACUGUCAAAAUCAUCCUUCCCUUCAACCUCUCGUUGCCUAUCUAUUAGCCUAUCCAUUUGCUUCACAAAUGCUAUGAGCCGUAGUUUGAUGCUCACAUAAUGGUUAAGAUAUGCAUUCAAUCCUUCUGAUCGUUGAGUGCUUCUCAUUCCACCGAAGAAUUCCCCCCUCAAAUAUGCUUCAGCCCACAUAGUCUUCUCCCUAUACAUCUUCAAAACCCAUUCAUGGGUUUCAACAUUGUGGCGUUCAACCAUUUCUUUCCACUUUUGUUCAUGGGUUUCAACAUUGUGGCGUUCAACCAUUUCUUUCCACUUUUGCUCAAACCGAUCUUUGGUAUAUGCUCGCAACAUGCAUCGACUAAAAAAGUCUGAUGUGAACUCUUUGUUCACAUUAGCUUGUGCAUUUCGGCCAAGAUGCCAACAACAAAGCCUGUGAUGAGAAUGUGGAAACUUCUUCGAUAUAGCAUUCCGCAUGGCCUUAUCACCAUCGGUGAUAACUGUUUUUGGUUGUUUCCCCUCCAUUGCUGAUAAGAACGUGUGCAAUAACCAAGUGUACGUGUGUUCAGUCUCAUCUGACAACAAUGCAAACCUGAAAACAAUGGUCCUCCUAUGGUGAUUUACACCUAACAACACAACAAACGGCUUACGAUAGGCAUUUGUGCGGUAUGUCGCAUCAAAUGCAAUAACAUCACCAAAAAUGGCAUAAUCUGCACGUGCUCCACCAUCACACCAAAAUAGAUCCCCUAAUCUGUUAUUCUCAGUAACUGUGAAGUCAUGAUAGAAUGCGUGAUCCGCACUCUUCUUCCCUUCUAGAUAUGACAAACAUGUCUCCGCGUCAGAUUCCUUCAACUGUCGCCAUUUGUGAUCGUCCAAUCGAUUUUGGACAUCUCUCCUCAAAUAUCCAACCUCCCUGUACCCACCACACCUCUCCACCAUAUAUUCGUGUAUCUGUGAAGGCCUUACUCCCACUUUAUUCAACGAAGAUGCAGCUGCUAGAUCUGGCUCCGUUAUCCUUCUGUGAGAUCUGAUGUAGUGUACUUGCUGUGGAGGUGUUAAGGGGUGAUUAUGUUUGCCAUUAAAAUGAGUACAUACCCAUCCACUUUCCCCCUGUUUGGCCCCAAUUCGAAACUCAACCUCGCACCCUGUUCUUGUUAUAGGUCUUGCCUCUCGUUUUCGAUUAUCUCGAGCUAAAAACUUAUGACUCCUAAACCCCUGCUUACUGCAUACCCAAAUCCUUCCAAUUAACAUACCUUUUGUGUUCCAUCUCUUAUUGUGCCUUCUGACCCCAAAUCCUAUGGCCCUUGCAUAUUCAGUGAAAAAUAAUUCAGUUUUUUCUUCUGAUGCAAACUCCUUCCCAACAACAUCCAUUGAUUUCAGGACCUCGUAAUUAGUUGUCUGUCCCUCGGUAGUGCCUAUCUCCCCAUGUAAAUGGCUUUGUGAUGGAUUGUUUUCAGAUGGGAUUGGUGCUUGUUCAUUUGCUCCCCCAGUAAGUGUUGGAAGUUCAUCGCCUGACUCAUCCGGGCAGCCGUCUUCACUAUCUGAAUAGCUUCCAGUUUCAACGACGUCAACAAUUUCAUAUGCAAUGUCGCUGUCCGCUUCACUAUCUACAUCAGAAGACAUAAUAUCUCCAGCGUCUGCAAGAACAACGAAAACUCAGAAAUUGUGCUUAAGCAUUAGCCUCCAUCGGUAUGCAUUACAGGUAACGGGACUAACCUAUUAUAUAAUUAUUCAUAUGUAAUACAAAAUUCUGAAAUUCAAAUCAUAGAUGAAAGUGACAAAUUAACAAGGCAUCAAUGUAAACGGGAUUAGCAACGAAAAUAAGCUAUUUAAUUAUAAGUGAAAUUUACUUUAAGCAAGCAUGAAAACUACAAUAAAAACAGCGUUUGAUUUAGAAGACAGCAUCACAAAGCGCUCUCAAUGCCACAAUCUCAUAUCCGUAAGCCGAAAUUAAACUCCGAACUUGUCUUCUAAAUUGGUUGGUUAUACAUGCAGUAGCUAAUUUUUUUCUCUCGUUUUAAACAGAAUCAUAACAGCAUAAAAUUACCAAAAUUACAAAAUUACAGAAAAAUAACAUAGAAACCACAGAACCUGCGUAAUUUAUUCCAUGAUAACUGUUUGGUAAAACAAAACUAGGACAUAAAAUUGAGAGUUACCUCAAGCUUUUAACUAAAAAAGAUUUGCAAAAGUUACGACGGAAAGAUGAGAUUAAUUUAAAAAUACACAUAAUAUAUGAAUUAUGAAAGAGUGCGGAGGAAUAUGUGCGUGUGUAUUUCAUAUAUAUAACUGUGGGUACCCGCGUUCAAUUGUAAACUAAUUGUGGACAGGGUAGUAUUUUCCACUCAAUUGAGAUAGCCGAUAAAUUGCGCGGAGAUGACACAAACUUCCUGUUCUUAUCGGAUUUUGAAAGUAUGCUCGUUGCACUACGACGCUACCUCAAUGCAGUUACUUGGUGGUGUUUAAAUGUUAUCUUCGGCGGGAAAGUUACUGGUAAUUCCCGCUAUUAAGUUAUUUAAUUUUAGUGGUUCGGUACCUGGACAACUACGAUUGUCCACGUGACAACUUUAAACAAAAUAUUGAUGAUUUUGUCAUUAAUUUUGACAUGGGUCAAACCCGAACAGCGUUAAACGACGCCAUUUCGGGUAAAAAAUAUAAUUUCUUUUCUUCGCUUUCGAACGAUGCCGUUUACAGAAUAAUGAAACACAAAUCAAAAUAACUAUCGUCGAACCCAUUGCCCUUCAUCUACGAAACAACCCCCCUUUCCCUUGAACAAUGUUAUCAACAGUAAAUUUUUAAGCAGCACACGGAACCAAAAACACUUGGUUCACAGGAAAUCACAACAAACAAAACCAAAUGCAUUAACACAUCAAUGUCUACAUGCCAGAAAACAAUUCCAUACAUGACAACGAAAACUUAUCGGUAAACAUCCACAAGGUGGCCAUGACAAUUAUAGGGUAAACAGCCACAAGUGGUACUAAUGAAACAUCCAUAAAAAACUCAUACAAAAACCAAAAUUCCCCCAGGACCCACAUCAUUGCAGCGGAACCACCAACACAUCUUACCUGGAUGCUUUCAUUUAAUUUCAAUUGUAGUCUUCAUGGAUGCUCUCGGCAACUGCAAAAUUGACUCCCGAAGGUUGGCCCGGUUUUCUUUUGGUACGGAGGCCUUCGCCCACAUCAGCAUCUUCUCCAUCGUUGCUGCAAACUGUAAUAAGUACUUCAGCAGGGGCCUUUCAUCCUCGUCACCCUGAACGCCCUUGAUUUCAAUGUUCUUCACAGUGUGCACCAAACAGUGUGGCACAUCAAAAUCACUUUCAAGCCAUCCAAACUAUUCUUCGAUGAAUUGAAACCAACAUUCCUGAUGUCAAAGACGACAACGUAUUAACUUUUAAUGUGUUCACUGAACUCAUUAUCAUUGCAACUCAAUAAGAUACUGACCUUGUGCAGGACAAGACUUUCCAAGUUCGGUGAGCUUCUUAGCACGAUCGGCAGUACUCGCCAUCUGAUGGGUCCUACCCCCAUUUCUAUGUAGUUCAACUGACUAAAACUGGGGAAGCAACUAUCACAAGCAUGGUCAACAGCCUGCACAUGACAAAACUAAUAUCAGACUAUGUUUAAUUAUCAUCAAAUCUUAUAAGCAUUUACUAAAUUCUAUAGCUACUAAAGUUGAACAUAAGUCGAGAUAAUUUUGCUUUAUCAAUGCUGAAUCAGAGAUACGACCAUGCUAAACCAUGCCUGUAUAAAGAUACUAGGGGACGAUAAGUAGUAACUGUGAUUACUUACAGACAUAAUGCCCGCAGAUAAAUGGAGAUACUUGCAGCUAUUGAUCCCGGCGAGCAAUUGAAUUGCCCGGUAAGGAUCAACCUGUGCCCAUUCCGCAUGCAUAAUAUCUAAUUUUACUUUUUUCAGUGAAUGCAGGUCAUGCAUUACAAACGAUCCUAAAAGGUCAGAAUAAAUUUCCAGGCUUUCCAGUUUCGGAGCAGUAAUUGUUAACAUAUAGUCCACUUCCCGAAAUAACAUAUCCUCUGAUCGAACUAUCAAUUUGCAGGUUUUCAGUGUCGCCGACGAGAUGAUCAAAUUUGGAGGAGGAGUAUCAUCAUGCAAUUCACACGUUACCGACAACUCUUCCAACGAAGGGCAGCUGCAAAAAAGAUUCUCAGUGACACUCUUUUCUGGGUUUUCCAGCCGAACACUUAGGAUUUUGACACUUGGAAAACAUGUCCCACUAUAAGGAACUUGGAUGGAAAAAUCUGAGUCCAGUGUAAGUACUUUAAGACAGGCUGCACUGUAAAUGGCUUCCGGUAACUCCACGGGCUCUGCUGGCCAAGGUAAAGUUGAAUCUCCCCAACUUCACGCAUAAGGGCGGUCGCAAUCCAAUCAUAGAACCUUGCCAAAUUUGUAGGUCUGGAGCAAUACAAAGAAAACUUGCCAAUCUUGGCGGGGUUUGUCCGAAGUAGGACUGUAUGCACAAAGUCUGCAAACCCACGCAGUGGAACAUAAGUCGAUGCAGGGGGCCGUAGGCAUAAUCUAUCAUCAAAGGACAAAUUGGGCACUGCAGUCCAGACAUUUUGCCACCGUUUAGCGAUAACGGAUGUGGCCACAGCGUGUUUUGUGGGUAUAUACGAAAGAAUAUGGCAAAGGACCGAAUCAGGUAAUGCACUGAUCCUGUCUGCAUUACCACGAUUUGUUUUUGGCCUCCCUCUCUUGCGUUUAGUCACAUUAUUCUGUCUGUCAUGCGCCAUUACUGGAAAAAACAAAACCUGCCGAUUACAAACACAUACAAUGUUCGGUAAUUAAAUAGCACAAAUAGUCAUAUAAAUUUUAUCAUACUCUUGAACUAGGGGCAGAGCUCUACUAUCUGCCCUUAUAGUGAUUUAAAUCAGUACUUUGGUUAAUGCACAGGCACAGCAAUUACAGCCACGACGCAAAUAUGCCUUACGGUGUUAACACUAAAUUUGAGACAUUCACGGCCGACGUUAAUCGCGAUUCCAUCAUAUAAGUUCAUAGUUUUACAAAUGACGGUUCCGAUAAACUAUUGUGUUGAAAUGACGAAAUUAAACUACAAAUUCAAUAACACAAAAAAAUAAAGCAGAUUCAACAGUCCACCUUCACAAGAUACCCCAUAAACUGACCUUCGGUUAAUUGGGGCCAACCCUGGAGACAAAGUCCACGUCGCUUCCUUACCAGCAAACACGCAAAUCGACUGGGUAUUACUUUCAUUCAACGGCCACAGGGACUAUGUUCUGUCGAUUGCUUAAAAAUGACUAUCCACCACAUUCGAUCGUCUUAAAUUCUAAAAAACGGUUUGUAGUAGCAGAGGGGGUGGUGCAGAUAAACGCAUUAACCGUUUCGAAUCUCGUCAAAUCAUUUUAAAUUUUAAAUCCUCCUUUGAAGUCUUAACCCGACGUCGUUCCUGUUAUAUCUGGGCCUGUUCGAAAUUGCCUUACACAACGUGGCCCACCAACCUCGAGCCCCCAACAUCGAAAGUCUAUGAUAUGCCAACGUUCAGGCUUCCACGAAGACUAUCUUCAUUCCUAAGGCACAGUCUUCUGUUCCCGGUAGGAAGGUUAGGAAAAUGAACCUGCUUCACUAUGAGACAUAUGCACAGGUUUUGCUUAUAAAUAUUGAACUGCUGUAAUUUCAAUGAGAUUACGUUUGACACAAUUACUUUGGUGUUGAUGCCGGGUUUCUUAUUCAAAUUAUUAUUAUGAUACAUAAAUGCUUUGUCAGAGGACUUUAUUUCACAUAAUAUCCACCUUAUAGAUAGUUGUUAAAUUGGUUGGUUAUAAUUUACAUGGCUGACCGUUGAUUAAAUAAUCAACAAUGUUAUUAACUUGAAUAUAUUACUUUUUUAAGUACUAACAACUACAUACUGAUUCACCUAUAUUGUCUUGGGACGUCAAGGGGGUUAGGAACAUGACAAUCUCAUUUUCGUUUCUUACUGAAACAUAUUCCAUUUACAAUACCACGGCUCCGAACAACGCAACCUGGAAUAUAUUAAGUUACAACACGUGUGUUCUUACGCCAGUAUCUUAAUCAACACCGCACACACAAGUACAAUGCAACCGAUGAAUAAUGCCAAAUUGCCUGCUUCUUUUAACCUAUCACCUGAAGUGGUUGCUUCUUCCAUCUGACCCUUGAAGGCCCCUGAUAAGUUCCCCCUUUCGGCUUCUUGUUCAACACCCGUGACACAUAUGGCCCCCUGUGCACGAUGAAAUGCUUGAAAUACCUCCUCAGCCUCUGCUCUGGUGGGGUAAGAUUGGUAAGAAUUUCUGGGAAAACCAAUCACUUGUCUCUGGCAUUCCGACCAUGAACCAUAAAUUCCAGGCACCCGACCCAGAAACAUCACAUAGUGUUUCCCCCGAGGCAUUGUCUACAAACAAUCAAUAUGAUUAGUACUGUUAUUGGGCAUAAUUUAUGAAAUUAAAUAUUAAUAAUAUGAAUAUAGGAUCGUUACACAAGACUUGUCAGACCAGGGAUAUAAGAUUAAUGCAUACAAAGGAUCCUGGAAAAACCCACAAUAAGCUUGGCCGGUUCAAUACGAUGUGCAUCAUAGACCAUAUGUCUACGAGGAGACAUAUAUUUGAGAAUGAGUACGAAUCCACGGAUGCGCCGGUCGGACAGAAAACAGAAUAACUUAAAAAAACUGACCUUCCUUCGCUGUUGCGUGGCGUUUGCUUUGGCGACCGUGGACCGCUGGGUAACGGCAACGUUUGGGGCUUCAAAUCUUGAUUUGAGAUAUCCAGAACAAGAUAUCACACGAGGCAAAAAGCUCCAAAGAUAUCAGUGGACGGCAGAGUAACCUUUAUUUCCAAGUUUCAACUAAGUGUUUGCGUCCAUUGACUGCUUCCUUAGGAACUGGCUGACGCUUAUAUAGUACUCCAGUGUUACUCACGUGCCAAACUCUAUGUUAUGAACGUGUGCGCCAACUAAGUUGGUGUAGUUAUCACCUGAAGGCCUCAUUUGCUUUAACUAUAAAUGCAUGAGAUUGCUUAAAUAAUCCUACUGCAUUGAUAGCCUUAAAAUAUUCAUUGUGGCAUCAAAUAAGUGGAGUUACUAUUUAGUACAAUCAAGUUAAAAACUUUAUGUCAAUGGAGGUGUGCCGUGAGCUAAAAUUUAGACAUAGGAUUGGAUAUGGAAUGAAGUUAAAAAUUCGUCCCUAUUACUCUGAUAAUUAAUGUUAUGUUUAUAAUGAAAUGAUUUAGUAAAAUAUAACAUUAAAACUAUAUCAUGUUAUAUAUAAGAAAUUAACGGAAGAAUUAACAUCUUUUAACAAAUGAUGUUAAUUAUUUAGUAAUUUAUUUAAGUUAUAUUUCAUGUCAUUUUAAAAUAAAGGUAACGUCAUGUUCAUAAAUGAAUAUAUAACACAUAUUAGUAGUUAAUAGCCAAUAUCAUGUCACACUAAACAUUAACCUAAAUUAUUUCUAUCCCAAUAGAACUUUGCAUGAAACAUAAUAUAGUAUUAUAAAUAGUUAUAAUUUAUUGCAAUUUUUUGUAAUAUAUUUAUAAUUUUCUAUACAAUAUAGAAAAAGAAAAAAAUAUAUUAUGAAUUAUAUAAUUUUUCAAUACAUUUCGACAUAUAACACAAAUGCGGCACCUCAUCGCAUGCACAAGCACUUAUGCUGUUAAACACAUACAAUGUUAUUGUAAAUAUACUUUGUACCUACAGUUUGAUAUAUGUCAUUCGAAUUAACCUAUCAUAUUAAUAAUUUAUGGCUUCGGUAUUAUUAUAACGACUACCCAUUGGUUAAAGCUGAUAAAUGUACUUACAAUAAGUUAUAUUAUUUGUACAGACAUAUGCAAUGGGUGGUCAAAUUUCACAGUGAAAUAGAUGUCAAUGGUAUUGUCAGUACUGCUUCUGCGUAGUUGCAUUUACAAUGGCUCACCCAACAAUUCAGCCAACAAUACUCCAGUUAUUGUUUGUGGGGGAAGGGAAAUCAUGACUGUAUGUGCAUGCAUUAUGGUUUGCCCCCAUUGACAGUUAUAUAUUUCCAACACUAUACAGAAUAUAAAUAACAAUGUGCUCAAUUAAUGGUUAUUAAUUGUACCAAUGUUUAUGUUUGAGCAGGACAAAGAAUAGUCUUUUGAUUAAUGACGUAGUUAUCCGCUAAGCAUCGUUAUAAUUAUUAGUUAUGCUAUUGGUGUUGUUAUUAGUAUAAUUGGGAUUUUCAUGGACAAUUGUGUUAUUCUUACCACCAGUAUUAUGCAAAUUUAUAAAGCAAUUAUUACUAUAGGGUAGGGUAUAACACCAUAACUCCUCGCAUAGUAAACAUGGAGGAGGGCACAUGGCACAGGUAAUGUGGCGGCAGGAACUAUAUACAACUGCAUGUUCGCAUAAAUACAAAAAACAAAAACAAAAAACCCCACCACAAAAGCUGAAGUUGGGUGCGACACCAACAAAAGGAGAUAAUCCAGGUCGGGUGGUGACACGUAGGUAAGAAAGGAAGAAAAGGACAAAAAAACCCCACAUUACAUUAUCACUAUCAAUUAACUAGUCAAACAACUUGGUCUGGAAUCGCUGUCGGAACUUCUGCAUCUCCACUUGGCCCUCCAGUGCGUCGUUGCUCAGAUGACUGGAAUGCAAAUAACAAAAUGUCAAUUACUAUACACAAAACGUAUUAACCCAUUUUAUAAUUAUAAACAUAUGUGAAGUUACACACGAUGCACCCUGUGGAUAUAGUGUGGGUAGAGUUCAAUGUAUUUAUACCUCCCCUUCAUUCCUUGCACAUGCCUUGGUUAGAAUAGGGUUAACGAGCUUGCAUGUACAUUUGCUAUGGCCCACACGACCACAAUUUUGGCACUUGUACUUGCGACGUUCAUUGGACUGCUCGUUUCCACCCGGAGGCAACUUCAGCAUGAGGAGGAACAACUGUACGAAUCUGAGAAGCAAUAGCAUUGUUUGGUUCACCAGAUGCAACUGCGGGUCUUGGGGUGUUUAUAGGAACAGCAACUGGAGGAGCAGCGGUCUGGGAUGCACUUUCAACUACAACUACCUCAACUGGGUUAGAAACGACCGAACGUAAAGAUUGGCCGUCAUGGCCGUGUACAAGGUUGGAUACAGGAGGAGGCAGCGGCUGUGAUUCACGUGAGUGAUCGUGGUUGGAAACAAUUGGACUCACAUGCUGUACUUCAUGGCCCUGUGGCAGACCACCCAAGUCAUGAAUAGCGGGGAACUCAGACGAAUUAACCACCAUUCCAGGAAGGUGCUGAAGGCUCCCAUGUGCAAUAAAGUACAACCAAAUGUACAGUCUAAAUUCUCCCCUGGAAAUGCAUUGGUGGACGAUAACCCUGAGCAGAGCAUCGUUGUGCACCCUAACCAUUCGACCCAGCCACCGGGGUGCCACCAUUGGCCUGAAGAUAUGGUUAGGUGGGGAAAACUCGUUAUGCAAGGCAGAUGAAGCCACAUUACACAGGUACAGUAUUUGGAAUCGAGUGGGUUGAUCUGUGUGAAUUGCAAUUCUGUCACCAAUAUAUUCCAGAACGAAUGUGAAUUCAAGGACCGCGGGGUGAUUGAGGUUUGGAGGGUUAAAAAUUUGGUGUUGCAUUUGUUGUCGAGGGACCCCAGUAGGAAUCGGUGCAUGGUGGAUGAAUCCUACUGGGGGAUUUAAAGUUAUUUCAUGCACAAGGGGGUGGUUGAGUGGGAGGGGACUCAUUCGGGGGGCGCGGUGCAGGGGUGGUUGAUUUCGUAGUGGGUUCAUGAAAGAUGGUGGAUUCAGUGAUGGGAUGUUGAGAGUUUGUGGAUUCCUCGGUCCGGGGAGCGAAGGUGGUGGAUUCAGUUGUGGCAGGUUGGGAGGAGGUGGAGGAUAAUCCAUGGUGUUAACGGAAUACAGAUGGGACAUUUGGGGAAUGCAAUGUGAAUGUUGGUUGUCGUCCAGACGCGGGAAUGACGCCAUUUCCUCCCUGCAUCAACGGUCGUAGUGGGUUAGUUUGACUUAAAUAAACGGCCAUUUAGUUGAACAAUAAAAUCAGGAUCAAUGUCUACGUGCUGGGAAAUAACAAUCGUCCGCUGUAAAAGCAUAUAGGUGAAAAACAUGAUGAUAAAGCACAGGAAGUUCAGCUUCGUGACAAGGUGGUGCAUUUUGACUUUGUGAUGACCUUUUAAAAGACAGCACACGGCUUGUCUGCUCUUGGUUUCAAAGAUACACUGACAGUAACCAUCAUAGGAAAUUGACAUUCAGUAAGGCGUAAAUAUUCGUUAAAUUUAUCCAAUUGGUCGAAAACCCCAUCCAUGAGUCAUCCAUAAAUGCAAGGCAUUAAACAUAUGGGGAAAAUUAAUUAAGGCAAAAUUUCGCAUACACCGGGUUUUUUUGUUUAGUAAAUUAGAAGACUAUUGAAAGUAAAAGGAGACACAGUUGAAAUACAGUACUGACAACAACAAUGUCAUGCAAAUUUUAAAUAGCAAUUUGAAGGCAACCCGUAUACGAAGGCACAUAGCACCAAAACACCAGAUCCAUAGUUGGUAACGCACAAGCAUUGAAAAAAGGAGCGUAGAACAAAUUGAAAAAGUGAGGAGAAAACGCACCUGCGCUUAUGUCAAAGAAGAAUGGAUUUGUUGCAAAACUCGGCAGCAAAGCACGAGAUUUAUUGCAAUUUUUGGGUGGUACUAUGAUUGAUCACGUGGAGAUUGAAUGCAACUUUUUCCCAUUGUCCAGUCUUUGCAGGAGGAUUGACAGUCUUAUUGUCAAUUCCUGUAUAUGAUGUGACCCAUGCUCACGGGGAGUCAUAAAGAUAAACGGCAUUUUGAGAAGUAAAGGCGACAACAAGCAAAACUUUCGUUGGAUAUUUGGGUGUACCCCAUUGUAAUGUUGUAGCCAUAACAUCUGGUGGGUCACGUUAACAUUGUUGAAAGUGUUUUUCCACCAACCACACAAUCUCGUGCAAACAAGGUUAAUGGGGUACGUGGUCCCUGCCAUAUCUAACUACUGCAAUAGUUGCAACACUUAGUACCAAUAUAUUUGAACAUGUGAUAAAUUGACUCUGAAUCUUGGCAUCAGUCUGCCUAGGCCAUAGUGGGUUAUUCCUGCGAUCUUGGCUAGCAUUAUCUAAAUCUUCGGAAUAUUAUUAGUACUUCAUCCACUUUUACUUAUUCUGCACCGCAUGGACGGCGUAUCCCUUCUUUGGUGUAGUAAGUUUACUAUUACUACAUAAAUAACUAUAACGAAUAUAUUGGCUGUAUCGGUACAAUAAUAAAUAUUAAUUUCUUCAUUCAUCAAUUUGAAGUACUUAGUUGGUUGAACUAGUAUUUAAUAAUUGGUUCGAUUUGAUAUGAAUUAUUAAAUAAACAGUGGUAACCAUUAAAUACUAUCAGUACUGAGGGUUCAAAUGUUAAGGGGGAAACGAGACAAAAUAGUAUUACUUAUAUUGUUAAUCUAACUAAUUUUAUCAUUGUAUAGUCACCACGAUAAUAAUAAUAUUAUCGUUGUUAUUAUCGUUAUCAUACUGUAAUAUUAUUACCAAUGAACUGAACAAAGAAUUGGGGUUUUGUAUAUUGCACGGCUUAUAACUUCACAUUUGCAAACCUUUGGCCUUGACAAAAUUGAAGCAACUUACGUUCUUUGUGUUAUAUGUAGUUUAUCCCUUUACGCUGAACUCUGACCAAAACAAACAAUCGUUAUCAAUUUUAUUGGUCCGACAGGUUUCAACUAAAGGCAGGGACUGUUGAAUGAAGACUAAGUGCAGCAUUGGCCAAUAAAGUCAAUGAAGAGGACCCACUACAUCAAGUACAAAGGCUGCAGCGAACAAUAUACACAAAUCCCAAUAUUGUUACCUUUAAAGGGCAACUGACAGUGCAGCCAAAAAUAAUAACGCUAAAAGUUGGCCGUGGACAUUUUUUUGUAUACCAUUUUCACAUCUGUAACAAACAUAAGGCGUAAUACGACCGUCCGAUCUUCUAUUCUUUGUUUGUUCACUCCACAUCGAACCACUUCCAACGGCUGAUGCUGCAGCCUGUAGCUUACAGAUUAUAUAAGCUAGUCAAUUCCCAGUUUGACAGGUGACCAACGACGCCAACUAUGGCAACAUAGAGAUUGAUUGCUUGGAGCUUACGUGGUUGUAGAUUUCAAAUAACGUGUGGUAUGUUAUAUAUUCAAUUGUUCUUUAGGUCAUUAAAUCGGAGUGACACUCCUGACCACGCACAAUACAUGUUCUGAACCUGCUGUUGAAGGGCCAAAAAUGGGUCACCAGUCUGUAACAGUACGCAAUAAUGAAAUGGUAUACUUUGAAAACCUCGCCACUAUAAUGACAAAAAAACGCGGCUAUUUAUUACAGACGACCUUAGUAAUGACUGACUGAACGACAUGCAAAUUAAGGCACGUGUUUUUAGUAACAGUGCGAGUAUAUUAAAUCUCUGACAGCAAAAGCAUCGACCACAACAUUUACCCACGUGGAUGUUAUUGCCCGUAUACAUAAAAUUUAAUUAUCUAUAAAUAAAUCGUUAAUUAUCGAAAAUACAAGGCAGAAGGUUGCAGUGCCAAUAUGUAUAUUUCAGCAGGAGCUGGCUAAGUUACAGAUUCUAUAACAUACAGAACCCACGUAGGCAGCUCGUGAUUGGUUAGCUAGCUACCAAACUAAAACAAUUGCAUGCUUUUAGUCCAUAUGCAGGACAGGUGUGGUGCAUGCAUUGGCCAUAGUAAUGUGUGGGACAAAAUUGUUGAGUAUCCAUUGACAAUAUCGGCUGUACUCACAGUGGGUCAUACGCAGGCUGGUGCCAUAAGAAUGAUCAAAUUAUUCAAUGGUUAUAGAUGUAGUCAUCUGCACAUUACAUGGCCGAUGUAAUGCGACUAACAACAACAAUCGCAAUAAGAUAAAACCUGAGUACAAAUGAAGCAUUAGUAAACAACAAUCGUUAACUAAAGUAAUAUUAUUAUUGACCAGUGAGUAAAUUAAUCCAAAUAUAUAGAUGCGUAGUUCUUAAAUUAAGCGUUAAUUUCUUACCAUAGAGGUGGAAAAUUCAUAAACAAGCCAACAUAUUAAAUGAAUAUAUUGCAGGGACAAUAAAUUCCGGCAUAUUCACAAAACUUCCUGCGAAUAAUGAUAUGCAACGAAGCUAUGAUCAGUUAGUAUGGUAAGACCAUUAAUGUAGUAACUGGAUAUCAACUGCAAUCGUUGCAAGUAGGGGUGAGCAGUAAUUCAAUCUGAUCCGCUCAAUCUUUCCGAUCUGCUGAAUCUGAUCUGUAUAAAUUCGCUCCGUGGAUUGGUGGAUUAGAUAUGGAUUUAAUUCUGUAAAUCCGCAUAAAUUCAUGAAUAAGAUAAAUAAAUAAAUAUAUAUAUAUAUAUAUAUAUCUAAUUAGUAAAGAUUUAUAAAUAUAAAUUAAAAAUUUAUAAAUGUGACAUUGAAUAGUUACUAAGCACUAGAACAUAUCUUAGCUAUUACCCAUUAAUAAUAUGAAAUGAAAAAUAAUUAAAUAAUCAAACACGACGCAUAUAUAACUUGUUAAAAAUUGUUACACAAAUUUUAAACAAUUAAAUUUUGCGCACUAACAAAAGCAAAGUAACAUACUGCCAAGUUUCCAAUAAUAUGAAAACAACAAACCCUAAGCUUCCCCACCGUUACACACACUAGCAACACUCAAUACUGGUUUGAUACAGUAUCGACACGAAUUUAAAGGACAUCGUGCGCGUGAUUCCGGCGAGAGCAAGUCAUCUUCAUUCGCAAGUCCAUCGAGCCACUUGACAUUCACUGGUUCCAGCGGAACAAUUUCAUUAUCACAACGUUCAAGAUCGCCACCCGUACGGCUUCUGUUGUUUCGCAUCGGAUGGCUCCGCAAUCACAACUUUUCGACAGACGCAACAGCCCUGGUGAAGGAUCAAAUUGUGCAAAACACUAAUUUGUCGCUUUCAAUGUAGGCUUUUAGGUGCGGCCUCACCAGGCGGAGAUCAAUCCGAGCAUCCGGACUUCCGUAUGUAUGUCCCCACGUGCAUGGUUAAAUUUUGAUGUCCUAUGUUUUGUAACUAUUUUCAAUGUCACAUUUAACAUAAAACAUGGAUCAGAUGUGCAGUUUUUACUCACCUUUCAGGAUAACUUCUCUUACCUACUUCGCUUGCUCGCUGCGUAUGGAGAUGUUUUUAUUCCCGUAAAAACCAUUGCUAUUUGCAAUACCAUAUAAUAAAGUAUAUCUUAUUCACGUGUUACAUUAUUGUCUCUAUUGCCGCUUAUUAGUAAAACUACAAAUCGUUAUGUAAAUGUGGCCACACCUUUGGGGUUUUCCACAUGUUUCCUACAAUUUUUCAGCAUGUAGGGAUCUUCUUAUAUCUAAUAAUAUUUCACAAACCUGUUGCCUCAAACCAUGAAAUGUAAUUUUUGACUUUCCAUGUAAUUUGUCUCUUCAGAAUUAAUUGAACAAUGGAAAUUCAUAUCUUAGCAAAUGCAUCAAACAUUCCAUGUAAUUAUCUCUGCCGGCAUAUCUUUGUUUUCGUUGCUGUACGCAUUGCCCAAUUCAAUACCCAUGGUCUUUAAUUAGUCGUAUUUGCUGCACCUGGAGGCAAGUACUACUUUAUACGCAACCAACACAACCUUACCUAACUGGCCCAAGGCAGAAUGUAAUUAACAACACCUACAAAUUUACUUUCCAACCUGAUUUUACAUCAUUUGACAGCAAAUUUCUAUCGUAAUUUGGAGAUAAGUGAUGAUAAUACUAUAUUUAUGAAGAUAGUCCAUAAUUGCUCGACUAAAACUACAAAUUAGUUCUUUCUCAAGGGCCAACUGAGUUAAUAAGGUCCAUUUGCUAUUGUAUACACGCUUCUUUAUUUGACUUUGCAUUUUCAAGCCCAUAAUCUCACUAACACAGAAAUAUUUAAUUUCACAUAAGGUCCAUUCUUCAUUGCAGUUCAUUAUGCCAUCAACUUACAUUACCUUAUAAAAAACCUUCACUUACAAGAUAAUACCGCCUAUUAUAAUUGAGGGUCCAGCAAAAAUACAUGUAUUAAAACAAAUAUUGCAAGUUAAUUCAACUGCAUCGCGAUGUUGACAGCCAUUAUCCCACAAAACUCAAAAUUCCCACUAUCAAUAACAGUACCAACCUACUGACGUUGAAAUUUAAGUUAUUCAUGUCAAUUAUGCUACCACGAAGCAAUCAAAACACAAGCUAUGACGGUUUCUUUCUUCGUCAAUAACCACGCUAUCAACUCCAACUCAUACACUUAAAAUGGUAAUAGAUUUACCCUCGAAUAUGGCAGAACGUUAAAGGCCUUCAUAUCCACUUCUUAUGAAGGCCUCACGAUGGAUUGGAACUAACCAAAGCCCAAAUUAACAUGUACCAAUUUUUCCUUUUUCCAAUUGAAUAUUGCAUUAAUAAAUGCUUUGGUACCAAUGUAAAGCAUGUCCUCAUACUAUCGUCAUCUUCUUUCUUCAAACUAAUUAACUCUAACAUGUAAUUUCAUUCCUGUAAAUUUACUUUAUUCUCAUCGCAUACAUUACAUUAUUUAUUUUUAAUACAUAAUUUUUGCUAUAUUUAUCCUAUUACUUAAUUUUUAAAUUGUCAACAAUGAAUAUUCACCUGCAUUAAUAGAUUAUGGGACAUUCUCCUAUCAAGUUACUGUUUUCUAAGGAACUAUCUUUUAUGCCUUCUAACGUAACCCUUUUAUCUUCCCUGAUGAACAUAAGAUUCGAAAGUCCUGUAAUAUUUUUAGGUACGAGUCAUCUUUCACCUUCUAAUUUAGUAUACCGAAACUAUAUUAUUCUUACUUUAAAUAACCCUUCAUAACUUAUUGGUGGGUAGAGAGACAUUUUGCAUCCCGUGCCUAACAAUUUUCUUAUUGAUGCCGACAUUCGUGCGAUUGACAUCUUGGUGUCCGAUUGAUAUUGUUUAUCGCCUCCGGGGGGGGUGCAUCUAUCACUAUACUACUUAAUCAGGCCUUCAUUCUUCUCAUCCGCCGCCAAUAUCGUUCAUCUUUGUUCGUUACCACAUGUUCUUGUUCAUUUAAUUUGGAUAUGUUGGUCCACAUCCCCCUCCACACGAAGGUUCACUUUUACGGGUGUUCGCGUCUUAGAUUUUGCGGAUUGCACAUCAAUCCAUAUUUGAUCCACAAUUUUACGGAUUUUAAUGUGUUCAAUCAAAUCAAAUCCACUUAUGACUUAAACUGAAUCGAAAUCCAAUUCAUAUUUUUUCGGAUCGGAUGCAAAUCAUAUCCAAUCCAUAAGUAAUCCAUAGUUUGCCGGAUUGAUUUGUAGAUGCAAUUUUUUUUUUCAUCCAAUCUACGCAAUAUUUAUAUAAACAAAUAUCUCAUUCAUAUUGUUUUUUUAAAUUAAAUUUUCUAAUGCAAAAUUUACUUUACUAUCAGUUAAAAUCAUAAUUGAACAACAUAUUAAUUCAUAUUAAGCUACGAUAAUACAUUCAUAAUUUCCAAUUUUAACACACCGAUAUAAAAAUUUUCAUUCGUUUUCAUCAGUACAUCAAAUGUAACUAAAAUUAACAAUUUCUAAGUUCAAACUUCAAAGUUUCGGUGUAACAGCAAUAAAUUAUGAAACUCGAGAUGCUUCAAAAGAAAGUAAGCAAUUAAAUUUUAUUUCUUUAACUGCUGAAGUGAAAUAAUUAUGCGUUGUGCAUGCCGUCAGGGAUAGCUUUGGUGUUAUAUGAUAAAAUUUUUUGUUUUGCUUUUUAUUUCUUAAUGUUUACGAAGCUAUAUUUACUUAUUUAUUUAUUUUUUUUUCAAAUUGUUAUCGAAUAAGAUAUAAUAUUGUGUUACUUUAGCUAUAUCUAAAUUUUACAUUUUUUUGUACAGUACUCACUACCAUUGCUAUAUUUUUUAUUCAAUAUUUACUAUUUCUCCUGAUUUAACGAAAUUUGCCGCAUUUACUGACUUAAAUCCUUUUCCAAUCCAUCUAAUACGGAUUUUUUUAUUAUUAUAUUUUAUUUGGGUCUUUUUCUGUAACAAACUAUAAAACUCAUAGUUUCUAUUACUUACAAUAAACAAUUUAGACUGUCAACAAAAAUACUUAAAAUAGAGUGUCGAAGAUAUUUUUUUCUUUCUUGUUUCCUCUUUUAAUUGCUCCAUCAUCUCAAAAAUACCUCCAUUUCUUGGUUGAUCAUUUACUAUUUUCCAAAUUAUUAUUAUUACGCAAAUUAUCAUUGUCGUCGUCAUAAUUAUAAUAUUAAGCAUUAUUAGUUUUAUUAUUAUUGUUGGUGUUGUUCAAAUUUGGAAAUGACAUGGCCUAUUAUAUAAACUCUAGCGAUAAAAUUAAAAUUACAUAUUAUUCAGGUUAAAGGGGAAUUUUCCCCUUUUUUCCCCACCACUUACUUUUGCAAUGCAUUGCCUGAUCAUUUUAUUAUUAUUAUUAUUAUUAUUAUUAUUAUUAUUACACGCUACAUAAUUUUUCGUCACUAUUUUCGAACAUUUCAAAUCAUUAUUACCCCAACCCAUACUUGCACGCUUCCAACUUCUUGUUUUUAACCAAUACUUGCAUGCACCCCUUUUUCUCUUGUUUUACAUGCGUUACUUUAACAUCGUCCAACCCACUACAGCACUUUUUUUGGUCAAAAAGUGAUUUCCUGCAGUGUUACCGGCACAUUACCUUUAUUUCAGGUUACUCCCUUGCGUCUGUGUGUCUCUUCUGCAGCCAAUAGAUGAAAUCUAACGGUGCCCAUGCUACAAGACAAAUGACUUGGGUACGAAACCCAUGACGCAAAGUAGCUGCGGCCCUAAAAACAAUAAAUGGGGUAACUUGAUAUUUUUAUACUUUUAGGUGAUAAAUUAAAGAUUUUCAUUUUAAAUUGGGGGCAAAUUAAAAUCUAUCCUAUUUCUAAAGGCACCACGUGAUUUGGCAAAAUAACUAUAAAGAUAUUUUAUUUUUAGAAAAUAUCACACAUGUCUCUUUUGAGAUACACAGACUCUUUUUUAGCUAAAAGAUUGGGAUUUGUGUGAUUAUUUCUGAACCAAAAGGUUUGUGUUUUAAAAAAAAAUGAUUAUGUGACUGUUUUGCCUAACCGAGAGGGUCAUUAUUCAAACACCAAUCACAUUUUUGUUUUAAAACACCCUUUCAUUUAUUCUUUAAGCUUCUUCUUUUUUCCCAAAAAAUGAUGAAUAGAUAUUGAAAAUUUUGUUUUCAUUUUUUUAUUGAAAAAAAUGAAAAACACCAAAUAUUACUGCUUCCUUGUCCAUACUGUUUUUCGUCCUAUAUUACCUUAAUUUUAUAUCGUUUCUCUAUUUCUAUUUUUAUAGUCCAAUUCUGAAAAUACACUAUUAGACACAUUUUUAAAUUGAAAAACACCAAACAUAGUGCAUCAUUUUCAUUAUAAGCAUUAACACCAGACGUACACAUUCUCCAAAUGGGACUAAAAAUGGUGACUCCUUCAGAAAUGAAGUUGUACAAUUAGUUUGAAUUGAGUCGAUACAGAGACGUCUCCAUUGCGUCAUCUAUUCAACUGUCUUGUGCAACCUUAUUCUGUACUAGUAGGAUUCCUCAUUGGCCAAGUAUAUGCAUAGUUGCUGGUUUAUUAACCCCAAAACACCCUCCACUUAAUUCAAGGUCUUAAAGAGAAGUCCAAUCUUACAGGUUCGUUAACAUUUUAAAGGUAAGUUUUAUCUUGUAACAUUCACACAAAAUUUAUAAUCAACUAGGGAGGAAAUUUUGAAAAUACUAUGAUUAGCACAAGUAUUUCAACAAUAAAGGAUGUAAUAAAAGCUCAUUAAGUUUAAACUUGAAAGGAAAAUUAGGGCAAGGUCAUUUCUUUAAAAAGAAUAAGGCAAGAUGAUGCACGGCAUGAAAUACCUAUGACCAAGCCUCAAAAGAUUCAUCAAGCCCAGUAUUUUGCUUGCCCUCGGCAUAAUUACACUUGGCUUCCCAAACAAACAAUUGCUGGAGCUCGGACAAUGGAAGUAUUCAAUUUAACUACAUAAAUAUCAGCCGGAGCAUAAUUACACUUGGCUCCCUAACGAAUAAUGCUGGAGCUCGGACAAUACGAGUAUUCAAUUUAACUGUACAUAGAUGUGCGGGGUUUUGAUGGUAAGUAAAAAGACGUGCCACUAUCAGUUGAGGAGUGCAUAAGAGGAUUACAUCUAUCAAAUACUAUCCGCACUCCUCGGCCAAUUCUUCCAUGAAAUUUGUGAGUUCGUGCUAUAGUGCCAUUCCUCGUAGAAGAAUCUGACGGCGGAACAAUACCUGCAGCGUCCAAUUUUUCUGGCACAAGGGGUUUUGUGAACAACAAAACUGGCACAAGGGGUUUUGUGAACAACAAAACUGGCUCAAGAGGAUCCUGAAACCCCACAGUUACAUUUUCAAAAUGAUGCACUGCUGAUAUUCAGAAAUAAAACAAGGAUAAAACAUUUUCUAAAGUUUACUUAAAUCAUUUUUCUUUCCAACCACAGAUAGGUCAAUAAGUCAAAUAUGUGAGGAAAAAUACUAAAGAAACUGAAGCUGACAGAGGGCAGGCAGAAUUAACUACAAAACCACCAGAUUUAUCGUGUUUUGUCCCGUUGAUUAAUUGUUUUCAAUUAACACGGUAACCCGGCUCGGGUGUUAACUCUGUUUCUGUAAGUCUCUGUUGAAUAUUUAUGUUUAAAAAUCAGCACUCGCAUGUAAGUUGUAUGGCAGCAGCAAAAUAUCAUGUGUAAUAAUUAGGCUAUAUUAGUUCUGGGUCCAGGAAUCGAGAUAAUCAGAGUAGGUGCAAAAGCUAUAUUUACCAAUUUAUGUAGCCAUGCAUAAUAUAUUCAUUUUUUACUUGCAAAUUCUUCCUUUUCACAACUUUAGGUACAACUUUUCCUUUCCUUUUGAAGGCCCACUCCACUAGCAUAGAGAGUAAAAAGAGUUUCUUAUAAAUAAUUUUAGGAGGAUGGUUCUGCCACGACAAGUAAUACCAUAAACAAAUGAUUUCACCACAUUUCAAGAAAGCAUUUAACUUAUGCCUCAUUUUCAUUCUAGCAAUUUGCUUGCCAUUGGCUGAUUGGAAAAAGUGCAUUUAAGUGAUAGAAUAUUGUCAACCUAUAGCACGAAUAGGGGUUAAACAAAGUAAAUCCCUACCUUUACAUGUCAAAUAAAAGACUUUCAUAAUAUCAAAUAUCAAAACUCAUGUCUAGUAAACGAUUCCCCAAUGCUGGCUCUCACAAUUGCUUUUGUUUCAUGGAUGAGAUGAUCGAUUUUGUGGAUAUUCUGCUCAACUUGGAUUAUGACUUGGGUCAGAUCCCAACUUGCUGCAUAGCUCACCUGACUAAAUCUUAGUUGAUUUGCUUUUCCAUACUAAAUCCAAGCAAGUAAGUACAAGAGAUAAAAGCAAAAGUUCAAGCAUCUCAUUUGAGCCUGUCACUAACAAAUGGUCAACGAGCAAUGUCUAGCUAUGACUGAGCAACAGAAUCAAUAAACAGACAGACAAAAAAUAAUAAUCAAGUCAUCUGUCAAAUGCUAGUCCAUGAAAAUCAUAUAUAUAUAUAUAUAUAUAUAUAUAUAUUUCCUUCUGGUAUCAGAGCCAAGGGGAGGAUAGUGUAAAGCAGUUUAGAAUUUCGUGUUUAAAAUCUUGUGUUUUAUUUUGAAGUUUUGUUUUUGUGGUGAAUCUUUACUGGUUGUAAGUCCCGUUUUAGGAUAAGGAUUCCGCUGAGGGCUGUAAAUCCAUACCUGUAGCCAUUUUGACCAAACCAAAAAUAGACCAUAAGGUCUUAUUCAUGGAUCCUCCGAUCUGUAGAACAUCGUCCUUUUCUAGCUCUUCUUCCGGGAAGACUAGUGAUUCAAAGCAUGUUGUGAGUUCAGAAGAAUUCUUUAUUGAGAACUUUGAUAAAGCAAUUGAUUGUUGGGAACUUCCAAAAAUUUCUAAAGAAAAGAUUUACAAAACAAAAAAGCUUGAUUUUUUAAAGAAUGAUUAUAUCAUAAAGACUGAAGAACGUGAUAUAACUCUUUCAAAUCCUUUUGAAACAAUCCACUUGUUUUCUGAGCAUUCUUUAAAGAAAUUAAAAAAGAAUUUCAAUUAUGUUCACAUAGGUCUUAUUCAAGUCGGUAUAAAACCCUUAACCAAAGAAGGCUUGGAUACUUCUAUCCUUGCUGUCCUAAGAGAUGGACGAUUCAUCUCUUUUGAUGAUUCUUUGCUAAGUAGCAUCGAAUCCAGUCUCUGUAAAGGUCCAAUCUCAUUUGAUUGUUAUCCAAACAUAACAAUUUCUCUUAAAGAUAAGAAUAUUUUGAAAAGCAUGAUUUUACAAAUCAAAACCCAUAAUUAUAAUAUGAUUGAGGGAUCCAUCCCAGUUGCCUUAAUUUUUAAAAUCUCAUAUAAGGCAAUGAUCACUGCAUUCAGUACACAACAUAAAUUCCAGUCAAAAAGAGAUGAGACUCUUCUCUUGCAGACUGAUUUGUCUAGAGCCAACACUGUCAUUCCAAAACCUAUUCAAUGGAAAGAUGUCCAUCUUCCAGAAGAAUGGAUUCUUGAAGGAGCCGCUCCACCAGCGAUUCCGAAACAACUUGAGCCCAAUACAGAGUUGCAGAAUGUGACUCAGUAUUCCGAUGGUAAAGUCAAACUAUCAUUCAGAAGAUCUAACUCAUCUAGAUUUUCUGAUAAAGCUUCGUGCUCAAGCAUUCCUUCAUUAGAAAGGAAAUUCACAAAAGUCCCUUCUGUUAUAAAUCUCCCUUUUCAAAGUCAACCUAGGUUUUCAACUUCAGAUAUACCUAGUACCUCCAUUAGAUCAGUUGAUUACACCACUAGUGUUCCACAUCCGAUCUACACUAGCAAUCAACAUAUUCAAAGUCAGGAAGAGAAAGAACCUUCUCCUCCAACUUCCCCUACGUUUUCUGCAGUCACAGAAAAUGUUAUCAAUGUCAUUGAAAAAGAAUUUGAAGUAGAUAAGGCAUUCUUGCAUGAAGAUUUUUAUUCUAAUUCAAACAAAGAAAAAAGACUUUGGUUUUUCAAACACUUUUUAAACCAAAGAAAAGAAAUCCAACAAACUUACUAUGAUUUUGUGAAUCUUCAUAAAGCUCAUAUAUUGUUUUUUGAUUGGUUCGAAAUAUAUUCUUCUGAGAAUAACAUCUCUUAUCCUUUUAAAGAGUCAAACCCUAUUACUAUUAGGAAGAAAGUUCCUGAAUGGAAACUUCUCGAUAGUAAUAGAACUAUAGAAUCAGAACACCCACCUCUUCGGAGUUUAACCAUUGAUCAUGGUGAACCUCCUGUCGAGAUUCGAGCUUCACCUUACAAAAUUCCAAAGCCAAAUGAUUCCGAGGCAAAUUUAAGUAGUGUUAUCCAACAGAACAAUUUCUGUAAUACUAACUUAAAUACAAUCGGAAAGCAGUUGACUAGGAUAGAGAACCAAAUCCAGAAGUCAACCAUUACUGUUCCAUCGAUUUCUCCUAUUCCAACAAAAUCGGAUUCUGACAAAAAGCUUAAGGAACCUAUUUUCAAACCCUUUCAGGUUUCGAAAACUAGCCAAAAGCUUGUUCAAGAGUCAAAAUCAGAUUUUGCUAAAGCCAUUAGAGAACAAUUAGAUAGGAUAGAAGCUGCUUCUUCCUCAUCUAGCAAAGCCCAAAUAGCCCCUGAUACUCCUCAAUCUAGCAAGAUUGGAGUAUUAGAAAAAGAUGACCAAACCUCUAUAGCCUCUUCGGAUGUUGAAGCCUUCCAAGAGGAACCCAUUCCUAAAGCAAACAAAAUCCAUUGGGAAUUAGCCCUUCCCACUGUCAAGACUCCACCGGAUCUAGCAAUAGAUAAUAGACCAAGUGCAUUAAAUCAGUCUAGGUAUAAUGCAUCUUCAGUCUAUGAGUGGAAUAUUGACGGCAUGUCAGAAUACAAUAUCCUAGGAUUGUUGCAACAGAUGACAAUGGCAGCUAAUGCCUAUAAAACCCAAGCAGGAACCUCUGAUCGUGCUAUAUCAGAGAUCCUAAUUGCCGGUUUUACUGGUCAACUGAAAGGUUGGUGGGAUCAUCUUCUCACUAAUCAGCAACAAUUAGACAUCCUAAAUUCCAUCCAAGUCGAUGAAAAUGGAGUCCCUAUUCUUGAUGAGUUCAACAAUCCUAUCCAGGAUGCUGUUGCUACUCUUAUUUUGACCAUUUCCCUCCAUUUCAUUGGUGACCCUUCACACCUUCGUGAUAAAAACGCUGAGUUAUUACAUAACUUGAGAUGUAAGAAACUUAGUGAAUUCCAAAGCUACAAAACCGCAUUUUUUACCAGAUUAUUUCUAAGAGAUGAUGCAAAUCAUACAACUUGGAAAGAAAAAUUUCUUGCUGGUUUACCUACCCUUCUAGGUGAAAAGGUAAGAAAUUCCAUUAAAGCACUUUAUGAUAAUCGUAUCCCUUAUGACGAGCUUACCUAUGGUGAACUUGUCAGUUUCGUCAAUAAAGAAGGUUUAAAGAUUUGUCAAGAUUUGAAAUUACAGAAACGUCUUAAGUGGGAGCUUAAGAAGUCUAAACAAGAGUUAGGCGGUUUCUGUAAACAAUUCAAUUAUGACCCCUUUAAAGCUUCUUAUUCCAGAGAUUGUAAUGGUGAGUGUUCUAAACCUCGCAAGAAACAUUACAAAUCAAAGAGUUUUAGAAAACCUUUUCGAAAUUUUAGAGAACUUCCUUAUAAGAAACCCUCGAGGCCUUAUAAGAAACCCAAAUUCUCUAAAAAGAAAGAAUUCAAAGCCAAACCUAAGACCCCUUUCAACUUCAAAGAUGCUACGUGUUUUAAAUGUGGUAUGAAAGGCCAUACUGCAAGAUUUUGUAAAAUGAACAAAAGGCUCCAAGAACUUGAACUCGAUGAGGACAUCCUUUCCAAAUUAGCCCCACUCCUUGUCGAUUCUUCUGAUUCUGAAUCUUCCAUGUCGGGAGAUAGUAAUCCUUAUCAAAUUGAUGAGCUUUUUGACUCAGAUGACUCUGCAUCUAGCAGUAGUGAAUCUGAAUCUGAUUUUGGUUUAAAUAAGAUCAAUGUUUUGACAAAAGACCAAGAGACUUACCUUGAACUUGUAAAGCAUAUUUCUGAUCCAAAUCUUCAAAAAGAGUAUCUUGAUAAACUUUUGAAAACCUUGGAUUUUAAUAAAGCCGAGACUUCUAAAGUCCCAAUUGUCAAAAAGAGUUCUUAUGAUCUUACACAAAUCUUGGAUAAAAAGAAAUCAAAAAAGGCAGUUCCUAGCAUCCAAGAUCUUCAAAAAGAGAUUAAAGAAAUCAAAACCGAAAUCAGGGAUUUAAAAGAAAAACAAAAAUGUGAUUCUGAUACUAUCCAACUUCUUUUGCAAAAACAAUUGCAGGAUAAUUCAGACAAUGAAUCUAAUCCUGAUGUUGGUGAUGAUAUCAAAAUAGAAAACAUUGAGUCUGUACCCAAUGAUUUUCUAUUCGUUUUAAAGCAAAUCACCACAAGAAAGUAUUUGAUUAAAGUCACUUUAAUCUUCUCUGAUGAUUUUGCAAUGGAUGCCAUUGCCCUUUUUGACACUGGUGCCGAUUUAAAUUGCAUUAGAGAAGAAAUCGUCCCCAAAAGAUUUCAUGAAAAGACAAAAGAAAGACUUUCUGCCGCUAAUAAUUCAAAAUUGAAUGUUAGCUCCAAAGUUGAAGCCUCGAUUUAUAAUAAUAAAAUUGAAUUUAAAACUUCUUUUGUUCUUACAAAUGAUAUACACCAUGCUAUCAUUUUGGGAUCCCCUUUUAUAAAUCUUAUAACCCCAUAUGCUGUCGAUUAUAAUGGUAUAUAUUUCAAAGCAAAAUCCAAAGACCUUGUUUUUUCAUUUAUUGAAAAACCAAAAACUAGGAAUUUAAACAUUAUCAAAGCUUGUUCUGUUUACCAAAAAAGAAUCAAUGCCAUUCUUAAAUCCAAACAAGAUGAUUUGUUUUGUUUGCAAAAAGAUUUAAGUUUUCAAAGAAUUGAAAGCCAACUACAAAGCAAUUUCAUACAAAGAAAAAUUUCUGAUUUUAAAAGCCUUGUUGAAAGAGAAAUAUGUGCUGAUUUACCAUCUGCUUUUUGGAAUAGAAAACAACAUCUGGUAGAUUUGCCAUAUGAAAAUUCGUUUGAUGAAAAACAAAUACCCACCAGAGCACGUCCAAUCCAAAUGAACAUGGAUUUGGAACAGCAUUGCAAAAAUGAAAUCAAAGAUUUAGAGUCAAAAGGACUCAUUGUUAAGUCAAGGUCCCCAUGGUCUUGUGCCGCCUUUUAUGUUAACAAAAAUUCUGAGAUUGAAAGAGGUGUUCCUAGACUUGUGAUAAAUUACAAACCUUUGAAUAAAGCUUUGAAAUGGAUUAGGUACCCAAUACCUAAUAAAAAAGAUUUGCUCCAAAAACUUUGUUCAUCUUUCAUCUUUUCUAAAUUUGAUAUGAAGUCUGGUUUUUGGCAAAUUCAAAUCCAUCCAAAAGAUCGUUACAAAACAGCUUUUACUGUUCCUUUCGGGCAAUACGAAUGGACAGUAAUGCCCUUUGGUUUAAAAAAUGCACCCUCAGAAUUUCAAAGAAUCAUGAACGAUAUUUAUAAUCCAUAUUCUGAGUUUUGCAUAGUCUAUAUUGAUGAUGUGUUGAUUUUUUCUCAAAGUAUUGAUCAACAUUUCAAACAUUUAAAGACUUUCCAUCUUGUUACUAAAAAAGCUGGGUUAGCCCUUUCUAGUUCAAAGAUUUCUUUAUUCCAAACAAAAAUCCGAUUUUUAGGACAUCAUAUUUCUAAAGGAACCAUCACUCCUAUAGAAAGAUCACUCUUGUUUGCGGAUAAAUUUCCAGACAAGAUUUUGGACAAAACCCAAUUACAAAGAUUCCUUGGUAGCUUAAAUUAUGUUCUUGAUUUUUGCCCAAAUAUCAAUAGGAUGUCUAAACCUUUGCAUGAUAGGUUAAAAAAGAAUCCUGUUGCAUGGUCGGAAGAACAUACUAAAGUAGUUAGAUUAAUAAAGCAGUCUGUUAAAAAUAUCCCAUGUUUAUUUCUUGCAAAUCCUGCAUUACCUAAAGUUGUUGAAACUGAUGCAUCUGAUAUAGGUUAUGGAGGAAUUUUGAAACAAAAAGAGAAUGACAAAGAACAGAUAGUCCAAUAUGUUUCUGCACACUGGAAUGAUUGCCAGAAAAACUAUUCUACUAUCAAAAAAGAAAUUCUUUCCAUCGUUUUAUGCAUUACAAAAUUUCAAAGUGAUUUACUAAAUCAAAAAUUUUUACUUAGAAUUGAUUGCAAAGCUGCAAAACAUGUUUUAGAAAAGGAUGUUCAAAACAUUGCAUCAAAACAGAUUUUUGCACGAUGGCAAGCUAUAUUAAGUGUUUUUGAUUUUGAUAUUGAAUUUAUUAAAGGUGACAAAAAUUCUGUUCCUGAUUUUCUAACUCGGGAAUUUCUUCAAAACAGAUAAUGCCUCCAAAGAAGAAAGAUAAAGGUAAAGCAGUUGUCAAAGUUACUGGAUCUCAAGAACCUUCCAAAGAAUCCUUUUCUACCCCUUCCAAAGAAAAAUUACUUUCUUCAGCCUUACCCAUCAAAUCCUGGAUUGAAGUGGUUGAAGAACAUGGCUCCCAAUAUAAAUCUAUUUCUUCUGAUGACCAAGUAAAGCAAUGGAUGAAUUCCAUUACAAAGUCUCCUGAGCUCAUGAUCGCCCUCCAAAACCUUUCUCAAAGCCAAAUUUCUCCUAAAAAAGAAAUUGAAAUUUCAAAGCCCUCUUCCCAAAAUGUUGUUGUCUCUGCUGAAAGCUCAUCUUCCCAAAUUGUGCUUUCUCAGCCAACACCUCCAAAGAAACCCUCCGAUUGGUUUGAUAAAACCCAUUUUCAAAACAUUAUUUCUAUGGAAGAUGGAUUUUACCAUACUGAUCCUUUUCAAAGUAUUUCAAAGUUUUUCCCCAAAGGCUGGUUUUUUAAACCAUGGGAUUUAACAAAACCCCAGUCUUAUUAUCAAAGCAUUUUGGAAAUAACUGAAUCAGUUAAAUUCAAACAUUUCUUUCUUGAUAAAGCCCAUUCGGAACCAGCUUAUUCCACGGCCACAAUCCUAAAAGUAUUGAGCCCAAAUCAGUGGGGUGACCUACUCCACAGUUAUAAAACCUUCCCUUUAAAUUUUGAGACCCGUUUACCACAUUGUAGGACCUUCUCCUAUUGGGAUUACCAACAAGCGUGGUACAACACCUUUUUUAUCCAGAACCCUAAAAAGUCCCAUUCUUGGUUAUUUUUCUUCAAUACGAAGAUAACCGUCCAAAGUCUCCCAAAUUGGUUUCAUCACUGGUGGAAUCUUUUUGGCCCAGUUCCUCAAAUCCUAACCCUAAACGCCACAAACUGUCUAAGCCUUUUCAAAGCCCAUUAUCUUCCUUCCGAUUCAGAAAAAAGAUUUCCCCCCUUUCUUUGCUUUUGUGCAAAUUUCUUUCUUCCUUGGGUUUGUUCAUGGAACCUCCGUUUCCAUACCCAAGAUUCCCAAGUCAUUCUUCAAAGAACCUUUAAAGUCAAAUGGUGGUCAAAGUUUGAUGAACAGUCCAAAUUGACUGUUGAUAUGAUCAAAGACUGGCUCUCUUCUAAAGGCCUCCUUCAACCUACCAUAACCACCUCUAAAGCCCAACAAACUUUCUUGACCCAAAAAUCCAAAGCCCAGUCACUGUUGGCAGGUGCCAAGACUGAAGAUGAGUAUUUCAAAGCCAUGGAACAGCUCCUCGCCUCGCGUUCAAAGUCCUCAGUUGCAGCCUCCUCUGAAGAUGAAGACGAAGAGGAUGAUGAUGACGAAGAGCCUUUCAUUUCUCUCGGAGAUGAUAAUGAAGAUGACUGUUUCGGCAUUUUCUCUCCGAUAAAGCAUUGUAAAUAAUUAUUUGAUUAUUUACUUAAAAAAAAAAAAAAAAAAAAAAAAAAAAAAAAUCAGAAAAGUUAUUUACUUUCGGGUGGUCCUUUGGACACAAGUGAGAGCGCACAUGUCUCUUCACCCGUAUCAUACUAUUCAAAGCUACGAUCAGUUUACUAUUCAAAGCUACGAUCCAUUUGUUACUGUGCACUUAAAACCCCGCUACAGUGAACAGUGCAGUUUGCCAGUUGUUACUGUGCACUUAAAGUCCCGCUACAGUGAACAGUUUAAAGAUUUUUGUAUAUAAACCGAGAGGAAGACUUAGACUCCUCAGGUUUUUCAUUUCUCUUCUUCUCUUCCUUCUCUCUAAAAAAUCUCUCUCCCUCUCUCUCUAAAGCCCGAAGAGUUCAAAGAAAUUUUCUGUUUACACAAUAGUUCUAUCACAGAGCUUUGGGUGAUCAGACUAGUUCUUUAUCUUCAAUCUUCCCGUCUUUCAAUCUUCCCUUCUGGAAAGAUUUGAAAAUUUGUAAAGACCAGAAAGCAAAAAUGUAUGUUUAAAUUUCAGUUAUUUAAAUUUUUAAAGUUCAAUGUAAUUUACAUUUUCGCAAUUUACUUUAAAGCAUUUACUUUUCUGCAAUUUAAUUUUAUGCACAUUUAAAUUCCAGCAAUUUAUUUUAAAGCACUUUUCUUUUCAAAAGCAUGCUUGCAGACUGAUCUGUAUCAGAUCUGCCAUAUAAAUUCUACAUUCCUCUGAGGCAAAGAGACCGGAUCUCGAUCCUCAGUUGUAAAUCUUCUCUUCUCCCUCCAUUCCUUCAGAGCACCAUUUCCGGGAUCCGGAUCUGGUACUGUGUAUGUACCUAGGCCCUUAAAAGAACCUAAUCUAAAGUUGAUAAAAGCCCAAUAAAAAGAAUCAACCACGUUUAAAGCAAAUUAAUUAUUAUUUGGUAAAGCAAAAUUAAGUUGGUAUAUCGGCUGGAAACCAGAACGUGCGGAUUAUUGAUCUGUUCUAAGUCAGAUCUGGAUCCAAAGGCUUGACUACGGUCGCAUCGUUCCGGUAGAACAACGCCACGUACUAAUUUAAUAUAAAAAUUGACCAACCGCGUUCAAAUUUGUUUGAACAUUGUAUGAUCUAAAGCAAAUCUACUUAUAUUCAAAGCUGGUAAUUUAUUUUAAAAUUUGGAAAAGCCGAUCCAUUAAUUGUUUAAUUUAAAGUUUUAAUACUGAGAUCCGACGAAAACACAUCCAUCCUUCGAUGGAUGUAUAUGUAUAUGUAUAUGUAUGAUCAUUCAUUUCUCAAUCAACCACCAAAUUGAUGUCAACAAAGCCAGGAUUGUCUCACAAGUCUUUCAAUUUCCCUCUCUUUAGGCCAGAGACCAGUAAACCAUUUGAAAUAUGGAUGUGCAAACCAGUAAAUAAAUCAUGAAGUUACACACUACUCUGCUUUCGCACUCAUUCAGAACUAUCAAUGAUACUUACUGCAGGUACGGUGUAUACAUUAUACUAAAGUGAAGGCUGGAUCAAUAAGAAAUUCAAAAUGUUUCAUCACAUUUGGGGCUUGAUGAUGCCAAAAAAAGACCAUACCAAUUAUGAUGAACAGUAAAAUGUGAACAAGAACAAGCAUACAUUUAAGAAAGCAGAGAAGCAUCAUUAAAAUAAAGUAUUCUUCUUACUAUUCUAUGUUGUUGGAAAAUGGACCAAAAUAAAAAAGAAACCAUAUAUGGUUAACGUCACAACAAGAGUAUUUGUGCUUUUGUACAUCAUAGGAUAUUGGGAAGACAUCAGCAGAGAAGUGCAAAUUUUUUUUUUUUUUUUUGAGGAAAGGAACAGAGAAGUGCAAGUCAAAAAGGAGAAAAAAUGAAAAGAGAGAGAUCAAAAGGAAUGCAAUCUAAUUAAUCGUCUAAGGAGACUACUAUGCUACAUUUAGCCAUUGGUUGAAUAGGCAGCUUGUUUUCUAGUACAACUUUAAAUUUUCCAAGAUUUAGAAUUUUCCUACUGAAGAAAACUAAUUUCUAAAGCUGCUAUUACCAUCUUCAUCCCAACGGUAAGCAGCUCCAUACUAAGGAAAGAGUGAAAUAAGUGUGCUUUACUUAUAGAAGCCCAUUCCUGUCCAGAGUGAUUAGUAAGUUGUUUCACUAUGACCCCCAUUAUGGUGACUGAAAAAAGAAAAAAAAUAUAUAUUUGCCGAACAGAAUAAUAGCACCCAAGAAGUCCUACUUAAGAGGCUUCAUACCCUGCACAAAUCAGAAAGUUUUUUAAAAUUUUCAUGUUUCAAAUGAAGAUUGUCCAUUAAAAAAUUACACACAUAAUGUAUGUAAAGCAAUUAAAACAAAAAAAAAAAAAACAAGGAUAACCCAGAAACAAUCCAACCAUCAAUGAAAGUGAGCAAUGUUAUUGUUUUAUUAUUUUUGAACUCGUGGUGGCUCCGUAUUAUUUGCAAAUUAUUUGCAAAAUACUCGUAUAAGGAGAGGGACAUAUUUUAUGAUGGAAUAUUUUCAAUAUAAAUGGUGCUCUAAAAAUGUGUCCGACUGUAAAGAUAUGUCUAAUUAAACAGUGUCAUAUGUAAUAAAAAUGUAUCCUUUUAUUUAAAGAUGCAUCCUUUCACGGUUUCAUGCUUCAAUUUGAAAUGACGAUAGUUUAUUUUGGACCAGUGAUGAUCUAAUUCAAAUUUUGAUUUAAUAACCAUGAAUGAGAUAACCACUUUCUGUUAGUUCUCUUAAAAUUAUUAAGAAAUCUAUAUUGAAGGCUAUUUCAUCCUUUAGUGUUGUAGAAAAUACACUUUACAUUUUGAAAUUUAAAAUGACCUUCUUUUAAAUAAAAUUUUAAAACAAAUGUCUCUAACUAAAGAAGAAAUUUUAGAAUACAUUAGAAGUACCAUGUUAGCCAUGCAACAAGUGAAUCAUGCUACGAUACAUGUGCACUUAUUUUAAAAAACUAUUAUUCAAAUGGUGGUUAUAUUGAAUAUAAAUAUGUACAUAUCAUACAUGACACAAACCGCGUCAACCCUUCUGUUGGAUCUUGGGUGAAUCAUGCAAUUUUAUAUCUAAAGCUCAUAACAUAAACUUAAUUCAUGAAUAUAUAACACUAGCCUUGGGCUUUUUUAUAAACUUAUAAUAAUCUAUGUGCCUCAUUCAAAAAUUUAUUAAAAACUUACAUAGUUCAUAUCUCAUUGUACGUACAUUCACUUCGAAAAUAUACAUAUAAACAUAAACGUGGUCAAAAUGUAAGUCGUGCAGUAAUGCGUGUUGUGGUCCAACCUCAAUUGAUCAGAAAUUGAACUACACGAAAUCCUAUGGAAACCUUAGAGAAAUGGGGUAAAUAGGAAAAUAGUAAGCUUGCAGCUCAAUGAAUGAAUAUAAUUAUAUAUAAAAAUAAAUUAGUGUUUUAGUGCUCGUCAUAAUUGUAUGACAUAACUUUACACUGAACGCUUUACAAAAGCAAACAUGAACUCGUAUAUACACACAUGACAAAAUUGCACCAAAUAAUAUACAAGGAAAAUAACUCUCAAUACUCACUGGGAUCAUCAUUGCACGAGUAAAAAGAGGGAAAAACCUCUCAAUACUCAGUAGAAUUAACAACUUCACAAGGGUCGAGUAAUUUAACUCUCAAUACGCAUGCGUAGAGCCUAUGGAGAAAUGUACACAUAUGGUGCCUGUCAAUUACAUCUCAUGACUCAAUCAAUCAUAUAAUGUACAUACAUUUAAUCAUAACAUUAUACUAAAUCAAACUAUUAAACAUAAAUGCUUUGUAAAAUACAUAAUAGUAAUAAUAAUCCACUCACAGAUCCUAUUGAUGAAGCACGCACGUGCUUUGCUUUAAGCUAACAGCUUGCUAUUGCUUUGACAAUUAACCACAUGUGCCUCCUUUUAGCUUGCACGUGCAUCACAAUACAUGCAUUAGAAUUGGUUGUAUUCUCAUGGGUGAAGCAUGAAUGUGCUUUGCUUUAAGCUAACAGCUUGCUAUUGCUUUGACAAUUAGCCACAUGUGACCCGUUUAUAGUUUAGGAAAUAACAAUAUUGAAUAGAAAUAUUCUUCGAAUAUACUAUUUAUUUUCCAUUCAAACAUUUUCUCAUUUAGGUAAAGGUCACAAAAAAAAAUUAUUUUUUUAAUUUAAAUAUAAAUAUUUUAAAAUCAUAUAUAAGUUAUAAAAAAUAAAUAAUUAAUAUUUUUUUUAAAGUUAGACUUUAUAUGCUUAACAGUCAACCCUAAGGAACAUGGAUAAGAGCUACUAAAAAAAAAAGAAUAAUUUUGAAACUAAAUACAAUUAAUUGAGAGAUGAGGACGGAUAAGACAAAUUCAGAGAUAAAAAUUAGGGAAAUUAUCACCGGUAUACCCUUAAAUGUCACCGGUAUCAAACGUACUAUAACACUUUUUUCUUAUAUCACUCGUAUACCCUAAGUUGACAAAAGAGUUCUGGCAUCCACCUUUCCGUUAACUACUGUUAAGAACUUAACAUAAUUUGAGCAAAAUGACUAUUUUACCCUUUAAACUCAAAAUGAGGUAAAAAACAAAUUUGCCUUGAAAAUUAAUGUAAAUUUUAAUACACAAUUUUUUUAUUUUGUUAUUAACAAUAUAUUUUUUAUUAAAAAAAUGAAUUAUUAAUGGUACAUAUUAUUAACAAUUAUCCAUAAAAAAUAUCCAUCUUAUACCAUAAAAAAUUAUUAACAACAUAUUAUUUAUAAUUAUACAUAUUAUACCAUAAAAAAUUCAAGUUGGACCUUGGAGGAGUAGAUCUUCAAUAAUUUAGGUUAAAUUUUGAAGGAGUAGAUUCGGUUGUAAAGUAAUUUUUUUUAGCAAUUAUUAACAAUUAUCCGAUAAAUAGGAUGACAUGUCAUUUGUAUCAAAAUAUAUCAUAUGAUAUGUCGUUUUUUACUAGGUAAAUGGGAUGACAUAUCAUUUUUAAAAAAAGACUAAAUUACUCUUAUGAUGUCAGCGCUCGCAAACGGUAGUUAACGGAUCGGUGGACGGCAGAAGUGUUUUGUCAACUUAGGGUAUACGAGUGAUAAACUUAAAAAGUAUUGUAACACGUUUGAUAUUGGUGUCAUUUAAGGGUAUAUGACUGAUAAUUUCCUUUAAAAUUAAAAUAUCACCCUACUUAUUGCUGGCAGUUAUGAGCAUUAAAGCACAGAAGCACGUGUGUUGAAAAGUAUGGUGCUCGUGUGGAAUUUUCAGCUAAAAGUCUACAAGGCAGUUGAAUUAAUCAAUCAUCGUGGAGUGCACGGUGGUUGGACAAUGAGAUGAAAUUGAAAAACUAUCACGGAACUUGAAGGAAGGUUCAUAGCAUCGAUUUAUUCUACGGAGUCACGCACAUUUGGUUCAAUAAUUGUUUUCAUCCGAAUCAAAAUCUCUCUCUCAUCAAUUCAACUGUUUCUGUUGAUUAUGGCUUCUUCUUCUCGAAACAACAGGAAGUAUGAUGUUUUUGUUAGUUUCAGAGGAGAGGACACCCGCGACAACUUUACUAGCCAUCUCUAUUCUGCUCUGUGUCGACAAAAUAUCCAGACUUUCAUUGAUGACCAACUUAACAGAGGAGAUGAAAUUUCGGAGUCAGUUGUGAAUGCAAUUGAAGCAUCAGCCAUUUCAGUUAUCGUCUUCUCAGAAGGGUAUGCAUCUUCCAGAUGGUGUCUCGAUGAAGUUGUAAAGAUCCUCAAGUGCAAGAAGGAGUAUGCACAGAUUGUGAUUCCGGUUUUCUAUCGGGUUGAUCCAUCGGACGUGAGAAACCAAACUGGGAGUUUUGGGGAUUCAUUUUCGAAGCUUGAAGAAAGAUUAAAGGAGAAUUCAAAGAAGCUGCUGACUUGGAGGAAUGCUUUGAAGGAAGCAGCCAGUUUGUCCGGCUUUAAUUCUCUUAACAUCAGGUGAAAAGUUAGCUUUAAUUUCUCAUACUAAUAUUCAACACUGUAAAUAAAAUUCACGCAGCACUCUUAGUUAAAUUUUCCAGAUGAUAAACUACACUUUUAAAUUUUUUCAUGCAUCAAAUUCUAGACUUCUUGAACUUCCCCACUUUUGAACUCCUAUAAAAGAAUUUUUGCAGAAUUAAUAAUAAAAGCUCCAGAGGUUUACAAUAUAUUUUAACAAAAUUAAUGGUGUUCUGUCGUUUUUUAAUCAAUUUCAAUCUCUUACUCAUAUACCAUUAGGAAAAAAAAAAUCUCUUCCACAUAUAACAUAUUCCUGUAAUUAAAGAGUUAUUAAUUUAUAGGGAAAUUAGAAAUUUCCUUACUCAAAUCAAUAUAUACCACUUAUUUUGACUAUUUUUACAAUAUUUAAUAACUCUCCUGGAGUCCUGGUACCAUCACUUUGCAAUAUUAUCCUUAUGAAAAAAAAUAAGUGGUAUAUAUUAAUUUCAAUAGGAAAACUAGCAAUCUCCUUUAUUUCAAAUUUUAUGCAAAUCCCUUCUAUUUGAAGUUACCGCUGCUAAUUUUAUGUAUUUGGUAGGCCUGAAUCGGAACUUAUAAACGAAGUUGUUCAUCACAUUUUGAAGAGACUGCUGGAUCACGUUUUUCGGCGGAAUGAUAACAAAAACCAUCUGGUUGGAGUAGAAUCAAGAGUUGAGGAAAUUGAGUCUCUACUAGGUGCUCAGUCGAAAGAUGUUUACGCUUUAGGGAUUUGGGGCAUUGGUGGUAUAGGCAAAACAACAAUCGUUAGAGCUAUUUUUCACAAAAUCUCUAGCGGUUUUGAAGGUUCUUGCUUCCUUGAAAAUGUUAGAGAAGAGUCACAAAAACCGGGAGGAUUAGCUUGCUUGCGACAAAAACUUCUUUCAAAUUUAUUGAAAGAUAAAAAUGUGAGUCUUGUUAUUGGUCUUAAUUUUAGAAGGCUCAGCCGCAUGAAGGUUCUGAUUGUUUUUGAUGAUGUGACUUGCUUCAGCCAAUUAGAAUCUAUAAUUGGAAGUCUUGAUUGUUUGACGCCUGUGAGUCGAAUCAUAAUAACCACAAGAAAUAAACAAGUGCUUAGAAAUUGGGGGGUGAGGAAAAUAUAUGAGAUGGAGGCAUUAGAAUAUCAUCACGCUCUUGAGCUUUUCAGUCGACAUGCCUUCAAACAAAACCAUCCUGACGUUGGUUACGAGGAAUUUUCAAGCAAGGUAAUGAAAUAUGCUCAAGGUGUUCCUUUAGCUAUUAAAGUUUUGGGUUGCUUUCUAUAUGAAAGAGAAAAGGAAGUCUGGGAAAGUGCAAUAAAUAAAUUGCAAAGAAUCCUCCAUCCAAGUAUCCUAGAGGUAUUAAAAAUAAGUUAUGAUAGUUUGGAUGAUAAGGAGAAAAAUAUUUUCCUUGAUGUUGCUUGUUUCUUUCAAGGCGAGGAUGUAAAUCUAGUAAUGAAAUUCCAUAAUGCAAGCGGUUUCUACCCAGAAAUAGGAAUAAGUGUUCUUGUUGAUAAAUCUCUCAUUGCUAUUGGUUCGUACAACAAGAUAAGAAUGCAUGAUUUACUACAAGAGCUGGGUAGGGAAAUUGUUCGACAAGAAUCAAUUAAUCCUGGAAACCGCAGUAGGUUGUGGCAUCAUGAGGAUAUCUAUGAAGUUCUUACAUAUAACACGGUAAGCAGUUUGUUGUGUAUAAUUAUUUUGAAAUAUUCUAGCAUUUACAAACUUGAUAUGAAUAUAUUUAUAUCUGCUCGAACUGAUGAGUCUUAGAAUUAUUAGAAGAGCAACAAUGAUUGGAAAAAACCAUAGCGGUUAAAUGACGUAGCAAUAAAUUAUAAAUGCCAUGACAACUUGCAUAAUCGUUUGCAAGCAUAAUUGAUAUGCCAAUUUGUAUAGUACACAGACGGAAUUUUUCUUUGUGCAUUUGCAAUUAAAAGUUUAACUGCCGAGCAAUAACUACAAGCUACCUCUAAUUGUGAAUUAGUGAGAAAAUUGCCCCAAAAAUUAUCCCUAUGUAUUGUUGAAGGGCGAUUCAUUGGUGGAAUACAAAUAUCUUUCAUUUGAUUUUAACUUUAUUGCUUUUUCAUUUAUUUUUAGGGGACAGAAAAAAUUGAGGGCAUAUGUUUGGAUAUGUCAAAAGUAAAAGAGCUCUGUCUUAAUCCCAAUACUUUCACACAGAUGCCUAAAUUGAGAUUUUUAAAGUUCUAUAGUUCAUCAGUCAAUGGAGAGAACAAAUGUAAGAUAUCUUAUUUGCAAGAUUCCGGAUUUGCUGAAGUGAAAUAUCUUCACUGGUAUGGAUAUCCGUUGAAGUCAUUGCCGUCAAACCUCGGUGCAGAGAAACUUGUGUUACUUGAAGUGCCUGAUAGUGACAUUGAACGACUUUGGGAUUGUGUGAAGGUAUGCAUAUCUUAUUAUAUAUGUGCAAUCUUUCAAUAACAACCUUAAAUUAUUAUACGUGGUAACGAUUUUGUCUUGGCCUCUUUUUUGACCGAGCAGCAUUAUAGUAAGUUAAACCAGAUAAUCCAUGCUGCCUGCCAUAAGCUAAUUGCCAAAAUUCCAAAUCCCACGUUGAUGCCACGUCUGAACAAGCUAGUUACGUUGAAUCUAAGAGGUAGCAAAAGCCUGAAAAGUCUUCCAUCUGGAAUAUUUAACUUAGAAUUUCUUACCAAACUUGAUCUUGCGGGCUGCCCAAAACUGAAAAGGCUUCCAGAGAUCUCAUCAGGUAAUAUAAGCUGGUUAUUUUUAAGGGGGACCGCAAUUGACGAACUGCCCUCAUCAAUUGAGCGUCUUCUUAGGCUCGGAUACUUAGACCUUUCAGAUUGUAAAAGGCUUAAGAGUCUCCCAAGCAGCCUCUAUAGAUUGAAAUCUCUUGGAAUUCUUGAUCUCCAAGGUUGCUCAAAUCUUCAGAGAUUGCCCGAAUGUCUUGGCCAAUUAUCCUCGCCAAUAACAUUUAAUCUAACGAAAACCAAUAUUGAGAGAAUACCAGAAAGCAUUAUCCAACUUUUCGUGUCGGGAUACCUCCUCUUAAGUUAUGGUGAGAGGUUCCAAUUCGUACAAAAGUCUCCAUUCCUUGAACGAGGUUGCUUGGCACUGCAACCAUUUUUAGGUUUGUUCUCUAAGUUAUGAAUCUUACAGGCAAUUUUUUUUUACCGGAGCAAUAAUUUUAAAUUGGAAGGUAAUUCUACUGCAGGAAUUGUUGAAGAUACCCUGAGAAUUCAGCUGAAUGUGUGUCUUUAACUCUCUCUACUUACAAUUUCUACAAUCUUUGUUUUUUUUUGGGUUUAAAAUUAUGUUUUUUUGGUACAGAGAGGUUUUUCCUUGGGCAAAGGUCAUAUAGUACUACCUGGGAAUGAAAUUCCAAAGUGGUUUGAGUUUCAAAGUGUGGGAUCUUUUAUAACCUUGGAGAUGCCCCUAGAUUUCUUCAAUAAUAGCAGAGUGCAGGGCAUUGCAUUUAGUGCUAUUUUAGCAUUUUCAGACCGUCAUGUAGCUUGUGGCAGAUGGUUUUCAUUUUCUUUUGAGCUCAAAGUGAAAACCACCAAAGAUUGUGGUACGCAUGGCACACUAUUAUCUCAGAGCAGAGUUAAUUAUGUAGAAUCAUAUCACUUACAUUUGGGGCACUAUUUGUUCUGUGAAGAGGAUUUUAAUGGUUUUUGGAAAUGCAAUUGCAUUCUUGAGGCAGUCCACUUUAAUGUUUUUCCACCUUUGGAGUGCCAGUGCUGCGGGGUGAAAAAAUGUGGGAUCCAUUUACUUCACACCCCAGAUCCUACGUCAAUGGAAGACCCAAGCACAUGUUUCAACUGUAACGAAGAAGACUGAGAUAGGUGUCAUUUUCACUCAACUCACCUGAGUUGUGAAUCCAUUUGCUUAAACAUGUAUGCACUUUUUCAAGUAUCUCUACCAAUUCCAUAUUUGGAAUGGUGCAUUUGAUUCCAUAGUUGAUGUGGUAUCGUCUAUGGUUAGAAUUUAUAUUUACAAAAAGGACUUGUAAGGAAAGGAUUGAAGAUGCCCGUGUACUUAUAUUUCGAUUUAGAUUAUUAUAUCUUUUUCAUGUAUAAAAUUGGAUCCUAUCAUUCACAUAUCAUUGACAUGAGCAAUAUGGAUUACUAAAUCAUUAUUCUUUAUUAUUGUGCUGAAUUUGAUUUUUUAUUGAAUAAUUUGAUAUAUUUCUUGAAUCAAUUUAGAGCUUCUACAACAUGUCAGAGAUCAGUUUCUCCAACAUUCCUUUCGGCGCCAAAAGAUAACCAAUCGGUUGAAUAAGAAUUGAUAUAUACAACAUAAAUACAGGAGUUGUUUUGUCUUUUUACAAUAGGAAUAAUAUAUAAUGCUCGUUAAAACUUGCUGAUGAGAAAGUAAAUUCCUCAGAAAUUAAAUGUUUCAGCCAACCAAGGAAGCAGCUUUUCGUGGACCAAUUCAGGCCUGUCGUCAUGGGGGCAAUGUCCUACUCCUUUCAAUACAGUUAACUUCACGUUUGAGAGUUUAGAAAGCAGAGAUGAGAAGUAUUUACCAACAGGUCCAUCGAGGGGUGUGAAUGGAUCCUCAUCACCCCAUAAAACUAGUAGAGGUAUAGAGAUCGAUGGCAUCAAUUCAACUGGGUUCGGCCCUGGUGGGCCGGUUACAAUCGAAACAAAUGCAUCAAGUGCCCCUUCCUCAUUGGCAGGCUCUCGUAUGAUCUGCAGUUUUGAGGUUGAUUCAUGAAUUCUGAGUAGCCAUUUUUGUAACAGGUUAAAAUGGCAUAUAAGAGGAGAAUAUUAAUACCUCAACCAGUGUUUCAUCCACAGAUUCCUUAUUUGCAUAAAUGGACAGUAAAAUAUUCCUCAGUGUUUCCCUACAGCACCAAUAUAUGCACAUCAUAGAGUUUUUUAAUUUUGACUCUAGUGUCUUGGGAUAAUGAACAAUGGACUGAAUAGAGAGAAGAGAAAAUACCUUUGUUUCCCACGCUCAAAUAUAGCAGAAGCAAUUGGCCUUUGCUUCAACAAAAAAUCAAUGAACCAAAGCAAUGGGAACAAUAGCUUGAUUCUCCAAUCAUCAACAAUUGCCUUGUUGUUCAUGCCACCAGCACAAUUCAACAGAACAAGCCCUCGAACAAGGGUUUGACUAGAUUCUUAUGGUAGAAAAUAUAGCAGGUUUAUCGUAAACCAUAGAUACCAAAAAGGAUAAUUAUGUGCAAGUGUUUCUUUGCAAGCAAGUUGAAGAAUAUCUGAUGUCCAAGGGGAAGUUAAAAUAAAUAUACCUGAGGCAGCAAUAACACAAGCUAGGCUUCCAACAGAGUUACCUAUAAGCACAGUUGGCUUCUUAACAACUUCAUCCAAGAAAUCCAAUAUUAGCUGUAUCAGUGAAUCUCACUAUAACUAAAGGUCAAGCAAUUGACAACAAAAGAUCCAACUUCUGGCUAGGGAACAUUGCAUACCUGAGCCCAUCCCUCCAUGGUAUAUGAAUAACCAGCUGGGUUAUCUGAAGCACCAAAUCCAAGAAGGUCAAUUGCAUAAACCGAAGGUCAAUUGCAUAAACCGUGUAGCUCUUUGCCAGGGUGCCGAUAUUCCUGAAAUUACCUCAGAGAUGACAAGAAAAAUAUCAAUUCCUCGCAUUAUUUAAUAGGAUAAAGGAGUAGUGAACACACAAAUUUUCAUUCCCCUUUUCAACGGAGCAGUAAAAUGAAUACUUUUUCACUAGAUUAAGAAUCGGAAAAUGGAAGAAGCAUAUAUCCAUAAAAGGGUAAUAUGAAAUGGAACCCUGAAACUCAGAUCACUGGUUUGUCAUCAUCUAGGUGCAAGGAAUAGAACUAGGUGUUAAUGCCAAUGCACCGGGAAAUAACGAAUAGAUUUACCUUCAUUAUUCUUUUGCUUCAUUGAUCUUAAUUAAUUAUUAGAAGUAUAACACAUAUAAAUCCAUCCCUGGAGUUCAUAAUACAUAACAGACUCCAUACAAAAAAAAAAAAUUACAGUCGAAAAUACCCAGAACAUAAUUUGAAUUGAAUUCACAAUAAAGGAGCUACAUUUGAAUUGAAUUCACAAUAAAGGAGCUACAUUUUUGUGCACCCAAUAAUCAACCCGCUAGACAAUUCACAACAACAAAGAGGAAUGGAGGCACCAAAGCCAUGGACAAGGAGUAGAGGAGGAGAAUCGGGAUGUGAAUUUGGAGUUGAAGAAACCAAGUAAUUGAUGGAGUACUGACCCUUCCAUUUCCACAUUUUGUAACUCUCCCUUAUCUCAUUAACCUCCAGUUCCAGUGCAGCAGAAGCAGAAGUUCCAGUGCAGCAGAAGCAGAAUCCCCUCCACUGCUACUGUUAGUAUAACUGAUGGUAACAGUUUGUCUCUUCUUCUUCUCCUUAUUCCUCUGCUGCAACUGCAACUGAAACUGCCAGCUCUUAUUGCUCAACAGGGGCAAGCGCAGGCCUUUUACAUCUCCAUUUCCAUUUCCAAUCCUGAGCGUUGUUAUUGGAAUAAUGAAAGAGGGAGCCCGAGCCCUUACCAUCCACACGCUCAUUCUUUUCUUGCUUUUUCAAUUGAAUAUUUUCUGUGGCCUGGCUUGGCCUGCUCCUCCCCUGCUUCCACCUCUAUGAGACUGUGGCUAUGACAAAAACUUUUUAUGUACUUAUUUAUUUAUUGGGCUUAUUCCACUAUUUUAUGAAAAUUUUACUGAUAUUCCUCGAAAAUCAAAAUGAUAAUACUUCGUCUAAAAAAUAAUUAUAAAACAUACAUGCUAUGUUUUUAAAUUUUCAAACAAAGAAGAACUUUGUAGAGUUAAUUAACUAGAUUUAUUUUAGUUUACUUUCUUGUGAUUUAGAUUAUUUUAUUAUAUUUAGCUACAAAAAUUAUUUUGUCAUAAGUUUAAAUUGAUUAUUUUACUCUUAUAAGGUAUAACUAUUAAGAAUUUACUUUAAUUUUAAUAUUUUUCUAAUUUUAUUCCAAACUCAUUAUUUCUAAUACUACUUUACUAGUAUGAGUUUUAAUCUUUAAUUAAACUAAAAUAGUAUCUUUAGGGCAUGAUACUCACGUAAAUUAUUGGGAUGUCAAUUUUAUGUUAUUUACACACUAAAGUAGAGAAAAUCACAAUUAGAUUUUAUUUUAAAAUAUUAUAUUAUAAGCCACAAAAUUAGAUACAUAAAUUAUUAGAUAUAAUAACUCCUGUUUAUUAUAGUAAUUUAGUUGCAUAUCAUAAUAAUAAAAUACUAAAAUAAAACUUGUAUUAAAGUUUAUGAUUAAAGAUGGUCAAAGAACCCAAGAAGAAAAUCAAUUGAAGGAUUUUAAUGAUUAAUUAUACAAAUUUUUAUUAAUUUGUAUUUUUUUAAAAAUAUUGUAAAUUCAUUGCAAUUAGUUUCUAGAAGUAGGGUGGAUUUAUAAAAAUAGUGGGGUGCAAAUACAAUUACUCCAUAAAAAGUUAAAACUAUUACCUUUUUUAAUGUACUUCUCUUGAAUUUUUUAUUCUUACGGAUAAACUUUAAUUCAUCCCCAAAUAAAAUGAUAAUCUCUAAUUUGCUCUCAAUGUAAACCUCAAUUUAUUCUUCAUUUCCGUCCAAAAGAUGAGGGGCAAAUAAGAAAUGUGUUGAUGGGUUUUUUUUUUUUAAUAUUCUUAACAAUAAAUGGGGUAAAUUGAUAUUUUUAUACUUUUAGGUGAUAAAUUAAAAAUUUUCAUUCCGAAUUGGGGGCAAAUUAAAAUCUAUCUUAUUUCUAAAGGCACCACGUGAUUUGGCAAAAUAACUAGAAAGAUAUUUUGUUUUUAGAAAAGGUCACACAUGUCUCUUUUGAGAUACACAAAUUCUCUUUUAGAUAAAACAUUGAUUUGUAUGAUUAUUUCUUAACCAAAAGGGUUUGUGUUUCAAAAAAAUGAUUAUGUGAUUAUUUUGCCCAACCGAGAGAGCCAUUAUUCAAACACCAAUCUCUUUUUUUUUUUUUUUUAACAAACACCCUUUCAUUUAUUCUUUAAGGUUUUUUUUGUUUUUUUCCAAAAAAUGAUGAAUAGAUAUUGAAAAUUUUGUUUUCAUUUUUUUUAUUGAAAAAAAUGAAAAACACCAAAUAUUACUGCUUCCUUGUCCAUACUUUUUUGUCCUAUAUUACCUUAAUUUUAAUCGUUUUCUCUAUUUUUAUUUUUGUAGUCCAAUUCUGAAAAUACACUAUUACACAUUUUUAAAUUCAAAAACACAAAACAUAUUGCAUCAUUUUCAUUAUAGGCAUUAACACCUGACGUACACAUUCUCCAAAUGGGAUUAAUGGAAAAAAAUAAAUUAAAAAAGGUGAUUCCUUCGGCCAAUCUUAUAGGUUCUAACGUUUUGAAGGUAAGUUUUAUCUUGUAACAUUCUCACAAAAUUUAAAAGCAACUGGGACGAAAAUUUUGAAAAUACUAUGAUUAGCACAAGCAUUUCAGCAAUAGAGGAUGUAAUAAAAGCUCAUUGAGUUGAAACUUGAAAGCAAAAUUAGGGCAAGGUCAUUUCUUUAAAAGACUAAGGCAAGAUGCACGACAUGAAAUACCUGUGACCAAGCCUCAAAAGAUUCAUCAAGCCCAGUAUUUUGCUUGCCCACGGCAUAAUUACACUUGGCUUCCCAAACAAAUAAUUGCUGGAGCUCGGACAAUGCAAGUUUUCAGUUUAACUUCAUAAAUAUCAGCUCCCUAACAAAUAUGCUGGAGCUCGGACAAUACGAGUAUUCAAUUUAACUGUACAUAGAUGUGCGGGGUUUUGGUGGUAAGUAAAAAGACGUGCCACUAUCAGUUGAGGAGUGCAUAAGAGGAUUACAUUUAUCAAAUACUAUCCGCCCCCCUCGGCCAAUUCUUCCAUGAAAUUUGUGAGUUCGUGCUAUAGUGCCAUUCCUCGUAGAAGAAUCUGACGGCGGAACAAUACCUGCAGCGUCCAAUUUUUCGGGCACAAGGGGUUUUGUGAACAACAAAACUGGCUCAAGAGGAUCCUGAAACCCCACAGUUACAUAUUCAAAACGAUGCACUGCUGAUAUUCAGAAAUAAAACAAGGAUAAAACAUUUUCUAAAGUUUACUUAAAUCAUUUUUCUUUCCAACCACAGAUAGGUCAAUAAGUCAAAUACUGGAGCUGACAGAGCGCUGGCAGAAUUAACUACAAACCCACCAGAUUUUUCGUGUUAAUUGAUUGUUUUCAAUUAACACGGUAACCCGGCUCGGGGUUACCUCUGUUUCUGUCAGUGCUCUGUUGAAUAUUUCUGUUUCAAAAUCAGCAUUCAUAUAUGUAAGUAGUAUGGCAACAGCAAAAUAUCAUGUGUAAUACUAGUUCUGGGUCCAGGAAUAGAGAUAAUCAGAUUAGGAGCAAAAGCUGUAUGUACCAAUUUAUGUAGCCAUGCAUGUGGCACAUGUCGCCGCCUGAACUCUUGCUUCAUGCUUGCUGUAGGAACUGGAACUAGGUUGGAUUCUGUGAAAGGCUGAUUCUCAAUUGCAGUAGAUUGCGAAUGUGGAUGGCUAGGCGCAAGAUCAUCUGAGUCCAUAAAUUCAUCCUCACUUAAACCGAACUUGCAAGAGACAGAUGGAAAUCCAGGAAGUGCCACAUCUUCAAGGAGCUCAAUUUCAUGCUGAUAAUUCAUAGGAGUCGGGCACAAUGUGAGCAGAAAUCAAUAGAUUGUACAUGCAACAUGGUUCAAAUGCAGAGACCAUUUGAAGUUCGGGCCAAGUAGGAAUUAAAUUUUAAUAUGCAAAAAUAAAUAAAUGAAAAAAAAAAACAAAAGUUCUUGCAUAAUGUUCUUGGAAACUUCAUUGGGAUAUCAUCUUGCCCUUAGAAUAAGAAGGCCAUGGGCAAUCUGCCCCCAGCACAUUCACCAUAAAGAUCCAGUCUUUUUCAUCGUGACUAAUUGUUAAAAUCUCUUCCAUCCGUUAUUGUUAGCACAAGACAGUUAUUGCACAAGUUCCUAAAACUUCCUAAGAUAGAAGGCUAUUGACAACAUUUCCGACAGCGAUGCAAGAUGAUGCAAUGUAACAUCAUAGCAUACCUUGAAUUUCAUUUGGAUCCUUUGUAGGUUAACUUCCCCCUCCAUGACCUCUCUCUUUUUUUCUUCUCUCUGCAGACAUGACAUUCUAAGGUAAUCAGAACUCCACAUUCUGAAAUCUGAAGCAAUGAAAACUCCAAAUAAUUACAGAAAUUGGUAUUACCGGAAAAAUAAAAGAUCAGUGAACAUUUAUUUUGCUAUUUCAGUUAAAAAGAACACCUUUAUCAAGGCCUCAAGUAUACUCUUUGCUUGGUCAAGGUUGCGUCUGACCUGAGAAGAGUAAAUCCAAAAGAGAAUAUUUCAAUUUUUAAUGAGAAUUAUGAAAAGAUAGCGUACAUAAAAUUUGAACACCCCCCCCCCCCCCCCCAACCCCCACAAACAAAAAGAAAAAAAGGUGUUACCAGCAUGUAAAGGUAGACCUUUGGAAAAUAAGAACAUAUUUUUGUUUCUUCAGCAUCAUCAUAACAAUAAUUCAACACCACAAAAAUGAAGGACAAUCUUGUUAUCAAAAGCACCGGAAUACCAGGAAAUAAGCAAAGUAAAUUUCAGCUAAGGAAACUGCAGACAAUAUAUAGUCAUUGUCUUCACACUAUUGUUCGGGCCCUUACAUAUUAACUUAGUGGCAAAUUUAUUUGACAUCAGAGCUAGUUUAAACCAUGAGGCCCUGUGUCCGGCUUCUCCCAUGAGAUUACAUCAGUAUCUAAUUCUUCUUCCCGUCUGUAUUUGGGUGAUUGCGCAUUAUUGCAAUUGUCUCUAUUUCUAUGUUCUGUCUCUGCUUAGCCUUGAUCCAUAUGACAGGUACUUUUGCUAGUAGUCACACAUUUGAGGGCCUGUUAGAGAUUUUAAUACUAUUGUUUGGGCUCUAACCUACUAGCUUAAGUUUUAAAUCAAGCUAAAUAAAUAUUCAUAAAUAAAAUUGGAGAUUAAGGACUAUUACAGCAAAAAGGACAUAAAUAAUACAACAUUAAUUUUUAACAAGUUAAAGUCUUGAAUAAAAAAGAACUUGGUGGCAAGAUUAUCCAUUAUCUCAAUUUUCUUCCAGUCUUUCAUUAGAAUGCAAUAAGACAAGUGUUUACACAGAAAAAAGUCAUAGGCUCCUCCAAGGGAAUACAAUGUAUCAAGCUUGGGAAAAUGACUUCAUACAAAUGAAUUGAGUAUAUUGUUUUAAGUUACACAAAGUCCAUAGCGAGGAAUCAGGACUGACAUUAAAAUAAAGAUAUCGUGCUUACCUGGCGAAGCUUUUCAAAUGAUUGCACGUUAUUCUCCCUCCUUUGCAUCUGAUCAAAAGAUUGGCCAGCGUUAGCAUAUUUGCCAAUUCAGUAGCUUACUUAAGGUCUACAAAAUAUGGGAAAUAUUACUUCCCUGCAUCCCCAUAACCCCCUUCUUUUUUGCGGCCCCACCCCCUUUUUUCUCCUUUCGAAAAUAAAAUUUUCCAAAAUUACAUACAAACACAGCUAUCUCAGCCACAUACCCUUCGUGUGUGGAGUCUGUGAGCUUUCUCCCUCGGUCUGAAGACAUUAUAUGGGUUGGUAUCAUUAACUGGUGGUGGAGGCUGUACAAGUAGUAUUAAUUAUUAAAAAAAAAAACUAUAAUUGUCCACUCCAGAAUCCAAAACAAAAACAAAUUAUAUUAGAGAGAUACAUGCACAGAAAACACACACAAACUCAAAGGUACAAAAAGCUGAUUCUACAAUCACCAGCCUGCCCAAAACAAUAUUUGCAAGUACAAUAUUCAAGUUCUUUUAUUUUCAAUGGUUUUGAGAUAACAUUGUAAUGGCUGGUUCAGACCUAUAUAGGGGUGGAUAGGCAUGCUUUGUACAGAAUGGUCCUUAUCUGUUUUUGAAAAUUUAUGUAGAUUUUGUAUCCCUCCCUUUGGCAUUUACCACUUUGGAGGACAGCUGACCUACAUUUCUGAUGUACAAUCCUUCAUCUAAAUCAUCUCUAAAACAUUCUGGCUUUGUACAGGGGGGAAAAAUUCUAAAAAAGAUACAACUUUACACACUGAUGAUGAAAUUUACUAUUUUGAUAAAUGAAAACGAUGGAAAAGAAAUUUGAUGACACCGCAUGUGUCAAACUGCCAAGCAGUGAUCAACAUAAGCACUCUCCAUACAUAACUAAUUGAUAACACUAACCUGCAAACGCCGCAAUAUAGGUUUCUGCCAUCGUUCACGCUGGCCUCAAACAUGAAAUAGCACAAGUGAAAAGCACAUACAAGUACUCACAGUACAGAAAAAACUACUUAACUUGGUUUGCACCAAUAUUUAUGAAUUGAUACAUCAAGUUCAAUGAAACAUUUAAAAUUUUAAACCAUACCUUUUCUUUCCAAUAGUGAUAAACAGACUGGAAGACUGCAUAUCCAACAGUGGUCUGAUCUUUUAAGGCCUGACAUAAAAAAGGGGAUAGGUAAUAGCAAUUGUCACAACUUCUUGUAUCCUUAAUAAAUCAAUCAACAAAGCCACAUAGUAACAAUAAAACAAAAUGCAGAGACAACCAAAUAUUUUAAACAUGACUCUUUCUUUUUCUAGCACUAAAAACUAACAGUUCUAGGCUUAAACGACAAAUUUUAAAAUGUCAUGCAAAGGAAGGCGUAUACCCACUAAAUCGUAUGAAUCACUAAACAGACAGUAAAAUCACCAGAGACAGACAUUAGUAUUGACUCUUAAGCCAUCUGCAUUCGCAGGUGAUUGAAAAAAGACUAAAUUGCAUGAGUGCAUACAAUUUCACAAACAGCAAAUAGUUAGCAAAUGGUCUGGACAAAUUAGUUUCAUAUAACUAACUAUGUCUUUGGUUAAUCCACAGACACAAAACAACCUUUAAAAUGGAAAUACACAAAAAGUAACUGAGUAGGCUGCUGUGUGACACAACAAAAGAAACAGUUGUGGAAUGUCUAUUGUUAAGUGUCAAAUAGCAGAAGCAAGAAAGGCACUAAUUUACUAAAAGUUCCACAGCCAAGGUCCUUAAUCCUUACCUGCUAGUUCUCAGAAUCUGUAGAGGUCACAGUCUGUUUCAUUACAGUGCGCAGAAAGUAUCUUAUAGUUUUUGUUGUUCUUGUUUAGUGCCUAAUACUCCUAUGAGGUUUGAAUAUUAAUAUAUAUAACUUCUUAUUUCUUAACAAAAAGGCAGGUCAAUCUAAUUGAAUCCAUCUCUUUUGGCAGAGACAAGUUUCUGAUCACAGGUAACUCAAGUAACUAGUAUUUAGGAACAAACAAUUUCAUAUGAUAUAGCUAGUCAAGGAACAACGUGAGGUUGAGCCAUAACCAGCACUGAAAUUAGAGAGCAUUCAAACAGUCAAAACAAAGUAUCACCUCAAUAGCAACACCUAGUUGCAGUAGUAUGGGAAUGGGCGAACCAAGAGUGGGUGUUAUAAGUCCUGCUCUUUCCCGAGCUUUAUGAUCCAACACCUCCAACUUAAACAUAAGAGUCUCAAAUCUGUGGUUCAUGCAUGUAAUCAAAUGAAUGAAUUGGAGAUGAAUAAGAUUUCCUGUAUAAUCUUUUAACCCAAAUUAAAUUACAUAAGUUAAAAUUGCAUCCACAUAAAAUCAUUAGAAAAAAAUUUAUAUUAGAUAGAUAUGGUGAACUACUUUUCAGGGGGAAGAAGUUUUUGAUCUCUAUUGAAUUCGUCAAGCCAAUCCUCGUCUUCAUUGUCUAAGUCAUACUCAACAAAAUCCCCAAGCUCAGCCCGAGCUGCCAAUGCCAAUAAUUGAAAUUUGACAAGCAAAGUUAAGUUAAACAAACAUUAUAAUUAUCAAAAUAAUCUGGAUAGAAAAUUUUACAUCAACAACAACAGACCUCCUCUUGCACGUAAAUAGGAAGUUGGCUGAUCAAAUGUCUGAGAAUAGUCCCGUUCAUACGUGUCAACAACCACAAACUGAGGUGUGGGUAUUUCAGAAGCUGACUUCUUGCUAGGGACUUGAUGCACCACAACAAAUUACGGCAGACUUUAAAGGAAAAAUUAAGUCAAGAUGUCAGGUUCGUUAUAAAUUUUUGUAGUAGUUAAUAAAAAAUAAUGACUACAAUAACAGUAACGGGAUGCUUACACGGCACCUUCCAAAAGGAAAGGGGACACCAAGCAAGGCUGACACUGUUGCUGCAAAAUCAAGCUGUAGCAGAUUUUAUUCAAUACAUCGUUUUAAGAAGGAAAAAAAAAACACAAUUCCAAUUAGGUGAAGAGAGAAACACAAAUGAGCCACUGAAGGAAAUAUAAAAUAAAAUAAAACAACUAUUCUAACCUGUUGGAAGGAGCUGAUGCAUGUCUUUUUCUGAUCCUGAAAUUGGAUGAUGAAAAAUGAAAUUGAUGUAAACAAUUAGCAUCCUAAAGGGGUCUCUAAGACAAAAAUGAUGCUAGCAAAUAUUUAGUCAUCAGAAAGCAGAGAGAAUACCAAAUCCAUUUCACAAGAUGAAGUAUCGAAUUCAGAUGGCAUGGUGGAUGGAGGUUUUUUAAAACUCAUGGCAAAAACAGAUGUUUCAACCUGCAACAUGCAAGUCAAGUUAGCAUGACUGAGGAAUUAGAUAAUUAACUCAAUUUCCCAUUCUACAAACAAGAUUGACAUUACACCUCUUCAGCACUUCCUCCACCAUGAUCACCAUUAAUAGUUUGCCCAUGGUCACCCAUCACAAGAAGGAAAGUAUUCUCAUGCAAACCACCCGGUCCAGACUGGUUAUCCAGCACUUCAAUUACUUUCUGAACAAAAAUAAAAAGUUGGUCCAAAAACAUAAACAGAAAAGGUAACAAGAGAUAUAAACUCAAAAUAAAUUCCUAGGCAACAAGAAAGGAAACAGAAAAGGUGAACGGAUAUGUCAUUUUAUGUGCCUAAAGAAAAUGUUUUCAAUAAAUCCCUUAUCAUGGAGAAACCAACAGAAAAUUAAUCAUUAAUAAUGAAAAAGACCAACCACUUCUUUAGGCAACACGUGUUGCACCUCAAGAACCAUUGAUCAAUUUACCAACAAACAUAGACGAAAAUUUCCUGGAAGCAAAAUGCAAGUUCAAGACUAUUUUAAGUGUAACCAAAAAGAAAAUGUAUGUCGCCAACAAACUCACAUCUAAAAUUUCAUUGUACUGCUCCAACUUUUCUAUCAUUGGAACAGAAUCUACACCAAGAAUAUGUCCUGCAUGAUCCUGAACCAAGUAGAACAUAAAAAUUAGUUUAUCUAAAAGAGCCUGCAGAAUUACACAAAGGUAAAUUGUGUGAAUGUAAAAACCUUGGUAACUUGAUGCAUGUUGUCAAAAAUAUAGAAGAAGAAUAAACUCAUAAUUUGUUGAGAGAAAUAGACAAUUAGGAGAAUGAGAAAAAGGGCAGGAAAAAAAAAAAACAGUAUUUGACCAUAUUUGCUUCAAAUAAGAACAACCUAGAUCUAUACUAUUCUUUUGGAUACCAACUCCCCAAUUCCUUUUCAAUGCCUUUGAUAACGAUAAAUUCCUUAACCCAAUUCUUCAAUCCAAAAUUCUAUACAAUAAAAAAUUACUCUCAAUACAAUGGAGAAAAGGUUGCAAAAAAACUAAAUAAGAGCUAUUUAUUCAGGUCCUUGAAUCUUCAUCUGUAGAAAUGCUUCCCUGGAAUUUUACGGUGUAUAAUUUUUAUGGGCAUAGCUUGUGUCAAUAAGCUUCAAAAUGUUCCAGGUUUAUACCUAAAAGUGACCAAAUAUGUUUUACAGAGAAAGCGUGUUUACCACACCAAGAAAAUGAGCUAUAAGAACAUCCCAAUCUUCUUCGUACAAAGACGGAAGUAGAUGCUCAAUGCAUCCGUUGUCUACCUGAAAUAGAAAUACCAUCAAAAUCUCCAUGAUGGAAAGAGAAGAUUAAAGUCGAAUGCACAUAAGAACAUUAAAUAGCCUACCGUAUGAAGAUCUUUAACAUUGAAAGACGGGUAGGGAUAAGAUUUUUUGAAAUGAUGAGGAAAUAACUGCACCCAUGUGUCAUCUCCCAUCAUCACUACUCGCUUUCCAUUUGAAGCCAACUGAAGGUGAGUCAUAGAUUAGAAUAAUUUAUACAAAAUAAGAAGUGCUCCAGGUUGCAUAAACAACACGUAAUCAAAUAUUUUCAUAAGGAAUACCAAUAUACCAAAAAUAAAAAUAAGUAAAUACGACUUCCACGAAGAGAGAUCAGGAAACAGACCUGGUGUAUCAAGUUAUCUUCAAGAAUAGCUGGAGCACCAAAACUAUUUCCAACAUCAAUAAAGGUUGGCAGACCACCAGUUGUCAAACCCUAUAAAAAAAGGGAGGGAAAAAAAGAGAGACGAAGACAUAACUAAAGUCAAAGAAACUGUAUAUAUGAAACAUGUACAUCAUGCCUUGGGAACUGGAUUUUAAAGAACCUAAUAACUUAGCAGAGAAAGAGCAGAAAUGACCUUCAAUCUUUGCAAACUAGUAGUAGGUGGAUCAGCAAUUGCUUUGAAGAUACGGGCAGAUGUUUUAGUAGAUGCCAGCUUCUGAAGCACUCGCAAUUUAUCCAUCCAAGGUUUUGAUUCUACAUAAUUUACUUGUGGUUUUAAGUUUGAGCAACAAAUAAAUCAAUUAAAACACUGAGUUGGGAAUAUGUAAAGGGGAAAAUCUGGGUGAUAAAAUUCCACAUAUUGAGAGACAGGGUUGUUUUUAAUGAGAACGGAAAAGUAGCGACAAAGGAGAGUAAAAGGAAUACUGACCUUUGAAGAAGGUACUGGGAGCAACGAAAUCAAAUCUGAAUAGCAAAGCAUGAAACAGGAACACAUAUCAGAUUGAACCAAUUUCAUAAGUAUUAGUUUUUAUUAGAGGUGUUCCGGAUCGGAAUGAGUACCUGAGGGCAUCAAGAACAAUAAUGACAAGACGGUCAACAGCAGGCCUUGUCCAACAGUGUGAAUUAGAUUGGUUUUGAUAGGGAUUUGAUUGACCAGUGAAGCAAGGGGAUUCAGAAACAUCAGAGCAAUUGCUGUAAUACGGGAGCUCAGUUCGAGUUAACAGAAACCCUCGUGUGAAUAUGAGUAUGCCUACUAUGUGUAACAUGGUCAGCAUCACCAUUAUCCUCCAUUUCCCUCUCCUCCACCAAUCCCCCACCUCCAUCAUUUAACUUUUUCUUAUCUUCUGUUAUACUCUACCAAGCGCGAAAUAAUCAUCUCAAAAAAUUCAGUGAGUGAACAUAGAAUGGGAGCUUCAGGGACAGAGAAAUCUGUCAAUUGAGCAAGGCAACUUAAGUUAAAUGUCACUGUCAAGCAAUUUGUAGUAUAUAUGCCUAGAAAGCUGGAUAUUGUCAAGAGUAUCCUGCAAUCUACAAACUUAACCAUUAAAUUCUCUUGAAGAAACAACAAAAGUUGACAAGUUCCUUGCUUUCUUUAUUUAUUUUGCCGCCAUGCCGAGACUGAGACUAAACCCAGAAACAUAAACAACAAAUUAAAUAAAAAUCAGACAAACAAUUAAACGGAAAUAAAGGCAAACUCAAAUUAAAUUCAAAAACACAGGAUAAACUGUCUCUAUCUUUCUCAAAUCCUCUGACUUUUGAUUCUCUCUGAUUCACUCUCCAUGUGAUCACAUCAAAAUCAAAAGCUAUAUUAAAUUCAAGAUCAAAACAGUAAAACAGCUGGAAGCAGUACGUUGUACAAAAAUCCAAACACCUCAAUUCUGAAUCAUUUAGCAAUCCUGGGAGAAUAGACCAAACACAAUAGUAUAAGACUACAGUAGACUAAGCAUUUAGAGUGUUUUAUUAUAUUGCCAUUUUUUUAAGGGAAGCCGAAAUAUAAAAAUAGCAUUUUAACAAAAUGAAUACAUUAGUUUAGUGUUGCUAAACUAAAAUAAACAGUCUACUGUCCUGGAUAAAUACAGAUUCAAGCACAAAUCAUAAAUCACAUUGACACGAAGCCUGAGAGGUUGUAAUAGCAUACAUUAUGGACAAACACAAUGCCAAGAAACCAACAAUUUUAUAUUGAGAAACAAGACGCUGUGUUUGCAUGAAAUAAAUCGGCGCGGCUACCUUGAUCAAAAUUCGGCAACUGAAGAAAUUAUUAAUUAAGACUACGAAACUUGAAAAAUGAGAAAUGAAAAUACCAUGAGAUGAUGAGAUAAACCGGCGGCGGCGUGGCUGGCAGUCCUUGCGGCAGUCGUCGCUAGUCAGAGAGUCCGGGAUGGGUGGCUGUUUGAAGUCUGAAGUCGGAUCACCGUUUCGGUCUUCGACAAAGAGAUGAGAGAGGCUGACAAGCGGCACGGCAGCCAGCUGUCGUCCGCCUCCGGCCGUGGCGGGUGGCGGGUGGAGUGUUAUCGGCGGCGGAUGGGGUUAUGUCUGAGAGAGUGAGAGACGAGAGUGAUGGUUUGUUUGUCUAAACUAUUUAGAACUUCAGGGCUUCUGCGUUUUGAAUCAAAACUCUUGAUUGAAUUUUUGUUUUUCCCUUAAAAUGAAAUUAUUAGUCGCCCAAAGAUUAGAUUAUCAGUUAAUCAUCGAUUACAAAAACAAAAAAAAAAUUAAAAACUUUUAUUUUGCAUUCGUCCACUUUUGUCAUUCAAUGAUGGUGCCAUUUCUAUUAUAUAUUUAUUUUCCAUUUAAUAUCUGUGAAGAGGUCAUUGGCCCUUGGCCCGGUGGUUGGGCUUGUGAGGGCAGCGGUUCAAUAUUUAUAAGUUAUUUUUUUUUGUAAAAUAUUAGUGGAGAAAAAACAUUCUUUAUUUGUGAUGUAUAUUUAUUUAUUGAGUAUGUAUUUUAUAAAAUUUAAUGUAAUAAUAUAAGUUUUAGUUAUGUAUAUAUGAUUGUGUGUAAUAUUUAUUAUAUAACAGUUGUAAAUAUCUGUGUAAUGUAGUAAUUUGGUGCGUAACCAGUAUUAAAAAAAAUUCUAUGAAGAAUAAUAAUUUUUCAUCCGAUAAAUAUAAAUUGAAUUAAUUUUUCCUUCUUAUUAAAUAUGAUCCAUUUUAGUAAAUGUAUCUUUUAGUAAACAUAAAAUAAAAGCCAUAGUAAAACUCAUGCCAUGCUCAAAGAUAAUAUCUUAUUGUUAAUAAUAAGAAGAGGCAAAUUUAAGUUAUUUUUAAAUAAUGAAAUUAUACUCACUGAAGUAAAAAUGAAAAUAAAGGUUUCGAAUGUACAGGAUGCGUUUGGCGCGCGCGGGUCAAUCAAGAUGUGUUCUGCGCAAAUGGUUCGGACAAAGGCGGCCGAAUUUGACCACUCCUGAAGCCAAGAAAAGACCCGCCCUCGUCGUGGGUCUAAGCGGGUCUGUAAUUUUCUUUUUUGAAAACAAAUUUUAAUUUAUUUAUUUAACGUAGUUUAAUUAUUUGAAAUUAUUUUAUUUAAUAUUUAAUAUAUAAUUACCUCCCAACGACCAGCAUCACCGCCUGGCGCCUGCCAUUGUAUUUUGCAGCCAUCUGCCAAUCUUAGAAAUCAAUUGCUUAGUAUCAUUGCUUAGAGAUUGAGAAAAAAUAAAAUAAAAAAUCAGACACUAGAUAUGACUUAAACAAAAUACUGUAUUUAUAAGCUUCGAUGGUUGUUUCGUUUUAAAAUAAGAGUAAUGAUAUUUAGCCACAUCAGCAUAUAAGAAAGCUAAGCUAGAAACGUCAGGUUUCUUGUGCCAUUUUGAAUUUUUAGAUUUGAAAAUUAAAAAUGGUCUUGGCCAUUUCCAUCGUCGACCAGCCUUACAACUCUCGUCGACAGUAUACUUGAUGAUUUUGGACUUUUUUGUCAUCUGCUCAGAUAAUUAAAUUUAGUAUGUUUGAGGAAAGUUUUGAUUUUUACUGGGUCGGGAUAGAGGUAAGUGGAUUUGAUAUUGUUGGUGUUCAGUCUUUUGCAAUUUUUUUUUUUUUUACUAUUGGUGUUUUGAUUUUUUUGGUAUGUAUAUUUAAAAAUUACUAGAAAUUAGUUAUUUGAAAUGUAGAUUUUGUUUGUUUUUCUAUUUAUUAAAUCUAUAGGAUUUGAUGAAGUAUGUCUACGUGGGGUUUCGAUUCUUUUAGGAUAUUAUUAGAUUUCACAGCUGAUUUUGAGUCCAAUUGAUAUAUAUUGUUUCUGCGUAUAUAUAUAUAUAUUAUUUCAGUUGCUUAAUAUUAGUGACUUUUGGAGGCCUGUAUGCAUGUUAAAUUGUUGGACAUAUCUAGGAAUUAUUAUUUGGUAGCUGAGAAAUGAAAUAGAAAAAUGAAAUAUUAAAGUUGUUUUCUUUUAAUAUAUAAUUUUAUCUGAGUUAACUAGAGGGUUUUUUUUUUUUGUUUAGAUCUUUGUUAAAUUUUUCAGUGGUUUUAAAGUCAUUUAUGCUCAAUGAUAUACCUUAUGGGGCUUGGAUAAUUGGAACUUAGAGGUUUGGUACUUUGAUUUACUUUUCCUAAGCUUAUUCAGAAAAAAAAAAUGCAAAAUCUUAUGUAGGUAGUUUAGUCUAACUAUUUUAUUGGAUGUUGUAAUUAGGUUUAAGAUGAUUAAUGUACAAAUCAUAUCCUAGAAAAAUAACCCAAUUUGGAUCAUAAUGAAAACAAGUUCUAUUAAAGCAUACAUAGAAUGCAUCCUUUUUCUUUUUUCAAUUUAUAUUACUAAUUUGUAUUUGGUUUUCAUCAAAUGUAGAAACUUAAUGGCUCAUCAUUCCUAUUACAUUGUAUUUGAGGGACGUAAGCCUAGCAUAUAUGAAUAUUGGCCUAAUUGUCAAAGGCAAGUAAAUGGAUUUAUGGGUAAUUCAACACACAAUGCUUAGAAUUGUGAGAAGAAAAUGAACGACCAAUUGCAUUCUUCAGUUACGUUAUAAACUAGGGAGACUAACAUGGAAUCAUGCGACAAGGGUGUGCAAAUUGAUGAAGUCAUGAAUAAUUGUUGGAAUUUUUAGCUUAUUGUAUUGUGUAUUUUAAGAAUAGUGAUUUCAUUAUGUAAUUUGUUUAAUUGAAUAAUUGUACCUGAUUUUUUUUUUUUUUUUACUUUUGUAAAUUUGGCGGUUCUAAGUCAUUCAUGUUGCCUAUAUUACUUUUGUUGUCAUAAUGGUUUACGUUUAUGUUAUAAACUACUCUUUUCACUAGUAUUUACCUUCAUCUUUACUUUAAAUAAUUAUUAUUUACAAACUCAGAUAAAUGAAUUGUAAAUUGGAACCUAUACAGCAAUCAAUCAUGAAAUGCUUUUAGAACAAAUCUUCAGUUUACUUAACUGCAUGUAUCAUUAUCAUGUUUACAAAAUAAAAGAAGGAUUUGACAAAAUCUCCCGAAAAUAUGUUAAAAUUUAAUUUACAGCCCACUUAGAGUGGGUAUC
rnacentral:lncRNA from 1 species